GCGUAUCUACUGACAUGCUUUUAAGAUUCAAGUGCUUGCAUGUUCUCAGAUUGUCCGGCGAUGAUGUCAAGUUUCUACCGAGCUCCAUUGGCAAACUACUACAUUUGCGGUUGCUCGACAUUUCAUGUUCUCUAAUCACAAGUUUGCCGGAAACUCUUUCCAAGCUAUAUAAUAUGCAGACACUAACGAUGAGAGAUCAUGCAUUUGGAGGAGGUUUUCCAAAACAGAUGAGUGAUUUGAUCAGCUUGCGGCAUCUAAACUACUACCAUGGUUAUGCGGAAUUUGAAAUGCCGGUGCAGAUGGGACGAUUGACUUGUCUUCAAACUCUGGAGUUUUUUAAUGUAAGUCAAGAGAGGGGUCGUGGUAUCGAAGAGCUUGGGACCUUGAAAUAUCUGAAAGGAUCGUUGGAGAUAAGAAAUCUUGGACUAGUGAAGGGCAAAGAAGCAGCUAGACAAGCAAAAUUGUUCGAAAAGCCAGAUCUGUCUCGCUUGGCAUUUGAAUGGAAUAGGAGGGAUCUGAAAAGUGAUAACCAUGAUGAGGAUGUGUUGGAAGGUCUCCAACCUCACCCAAAUUUGGAAAAGCUGAGGAUUUAUUGUUUUAUGGGUAAUAAAUUUCCGCAAUGGUUUAUGAAUUUGUCAAAAUUGGAGACAUUACAGAUAGAAGACUGCAAGAGAUGCAGUGAACUCCCCUCAUUAGGGCAACUGCCAUCCCUCAAAAGUCUCUAUUUGAGAAGCUUGGACAACAUUCGAUUUAUUGGAGAUGAAUUCUACGGUAUUACUGCUAAUGAGGAGGAGGAGGAGGAGGGCAGAUCACGAGCAUCAGGGAGCAGCACUAGAAGACGAAAAUUCUUUGCUGCCCUUGAAGAACUCAAAGUAGAAGAUAUGGAGAAUUUGGUAGAGUGGAAGGAUGCAGACCAAGUGAGGUCAACAGUAGGUGAAGCAGAAGCAGAUGUCUUUCCCAUGCUGAGGAAAUUGAGCAUUCAAUAUUGCCCACAACUGACCACUCUUCCAUGCUCGUGUAAAAGUCUACACGUGGAGAGUUGCGAUAAUCUAACAAGUAUAAAAAUGGGUUACGGCGCUGCUUCUGUUGAGGAGUGGUGGAUCGACUCUUGCGACAAUCUUAGGGAGCUGCCAGAUCUGGAUCUGUUUGGAUCGAGUUUGCAGCGAUUGACCAUCGCAAGUUGCCCAAGAUUAAUUAGUCUAGGAGUAAAUGGACAGAAAUGCCCCCUACCAUGCCUUGAGAAAUUGAGAAUUAAUAAUUGCGAAGGGUUGACCACUAUAUCCGACAAAAUGUUCGAGUCAUGCCCGUCUCUGCGGUCCCUGUGGGUGAUGAGGUGCCCCAAUUUGUUCUCGUUUUCGCUUAAUUUGCAGGAGAUGUCUUCUCUCGAGGAAUUCAUCUUAGUCGAAUGUCCCAAAUUGAUCCCUCAUAGGUUCAAUGGAUUUGCUUUUGCCACCAGCUUAAGAGAAUUGAGGAUUGGUCCCUUCUCCUCAGAUGACUCCUCAAUCGAUGAUUUUGAUUGGUCCGCAUCAACACUUCGUGAGCUUGAAUUACGAGGGUUGCCUCACUCGGAUUCCCUGCCACACCAGCUUCAAUACUUGACUACCCUCACUUCACUAAGGCUGGAGAACUUUGGAGGAAUAGAGGUGCUACCUGAUUGGAUUGGAAACCUUGUGUCCCUUGAAACCCUAUCGCUAUGGUCUUGCCAAAAGCUUCAGUCUUUACCACCCGAGGCCGCCAUGAGACGACUCACAAAGUUAACUCGUGUCGACGUCUUUGAUUGUCCUCUAUUAAGACAAUGAUACACUCCCCAAAGAGGCAUCUACUUGGAGGAGGAGAUUUCAAGUGAUCCGGUGAGAUUUUCCUAUCUAAAGUUCACACUCAUAUAUAUGUAUACAAAUUUUUUGUUUCUGCAUCUCAUUGACAUAUAUUUGCUCUUCAGUCUCUUGUACUCUUUUUCUCCAUCUCUUUUCCCCAAAGUUAUUCUCCGUAAUUAAUUCUCUUCUUUUGGGCAGACCUUGGUUUCUUUUCAAAGAUUAGUUUUAACAAAGCCUGGUUUUGAGCAAAUUAGAAGAGACCAAAAUUCUAUAUUUUCUCUGCAUCUCGCCAUUGAAAGAUUUUGAACAUCUUAAAAACUCAACUUGUUACCUUCUAUUUGGCCAAGCAUGAAAUUAUUAGCAACGCUGCAUACACAAUUAGCCUCUUUGUUUGAAUGUGUUAGCAAAUGACUCGAAUCAAAGGACACAUAGAAUGCUCUCUUUUUUUGAAUCGAAUUCAUCAAUAUCUUUCCAUAUAUUUAAAUUAAUUUUAUUAAGUUUUCUUCUCCACUAAUCCGACAAGUUAUCUUCAGUCUAAUCCAACAAGUUAUCUUCAGUCUACUAAAUUUAAAUAAUUCCAUUUCUCAAUUUGAUUCAUAAUUACAUAAGCAAUCAAGAAGCUGGUUGAUGAAAGGAAGAAGUCCUCAUCCAUUUUAAAUCUCUUUGUUUCCCAUCUUGAUUGCUUAAGUAGUCAAGAAGAGUUGGCUUAAUUGUUUAAGUAAUCGAGAAGAUUCUUUGCAGUGUGAAUAACAAAUAAACAUUGAGAAAAAAGAAAGAAAAAGAAAAAUGCAAAGUAGGAAGAUGCAUUUUCGAGGAAGCAACCACCAGGCAUACUCUAAUACCAACCAGAUUAAAUAAAUGAACUCGAUAAAUAAAGUAGAAUAAAUUGAUUAAUCAGGGCGAGAUUUCAGAUCUAUGUCUCCUGUUGCCAGCCCUCAAUCAGUUUAGUUAAGUCAACUCUUCUGAGUUUUGUGCACUGUUACAUUAAUCGCAAUUAUACUAAUCUGAAUCUCACACAUCAAAUUUGUUGAUUACUACUCCAAUUACCCAUUCACAACAUAGGUAUCAACUGCCACGCAUUGCGUGGGACUCUCCCCUAAUAGUUAAUAAGAUGAAGAAGUCAUUAUCCAUUCUCGCUUCUUUUAUUUCUUGUCUUAAUUAUUGAAGUAACCAAGAAGUCAUUAGAUGAAUGAUCCCAUGAUCCAUUCUCCUUUCCUUGUUUCUUGUCACAAUCCAUUGGGAAUAUGUUUAGCAAGAUGAUUAAUUAUAUGAAUCCCAUUUUUAUUUAUUUUACUGAUAGUGCCACUGAAAACUACUGCUGAAUAGGAUCUACUAAUAGUAUCACUGAAAAUAACUACUGCAAACUCAACUCGUCCAAAAUUUUCUCAACUCGUCCUACCUUUCAUCACUUUAAUUUCAGUUUCAUCCAAUCACUUUCGGUUUUCAAUUUCAACAAAUAGGAGAAACUGGUUAUGUACAUUUCCCAGCUCUGAAAAUUCAUUUAAAUUACCAAAAGCUAUAGCAUUGACACAAGAAAGUUAUGAAUGAAAAAGGAACCAAACCAUAAUACUUCUUAAUCGCAUCAAAAAGCACUCUUUCCGCUAUUAAAGUUUUUAGCUUCCGAAGCUUCAAAAAAAAAAAAAGUGUACGUGACCGCACGAAUAAUUGACUAAAAAAAUUGAUGUGAAGAUGUCAUAUGCCAUUUUCACUUCUUUAUUUCAUUUCUUAAUUACUGUUUAUCGAUGGAAUCAAGAGGAUGCUUGCUGGUGUAAAUAAUACCAAAUUGAAAUGUGAAAAAUAAAAAGAGAAUCAAAUUGUGCAACUUCGAGGAAGUUGUUACGUGCGUCCACUCUAUCCAUGGUCACUUUAUUAUUCUUUGUUCUUGGCCUCUGUGGCGCUUUUCACAUUUUCCAGAUCUGAAACAAGUCCUUAAUCUGUUUUUUUUUUUGGCAACCACUUUCAUUUCUUUAUCUUUUAUUACACGAGAAGAUGUUUGAAGCAAAGAAGAAGCAAUAUUGCCCAAUGAGCAUCUAAAGUCCACAUGUAAUCACAAGCCGCUAGAGUUGCCGAGUGGAGGGCACUUUUUAAUAAUUUUAUUCCUAGAGAACAUAAAAAAGAGGUACUGCCUACUACUAGUCACUUCUCCUUGAGGACUUGGGAGGCGGAGUUGGAACUUUUGGGGUGUUGAUAUGGAAGUGAUGGAAACUUGAAGCUUGGAGUGCAAAAAAGAAAAAAAAAAAGAAAAAAGCGUUUGGUCAAAAACUUGUUUAUCAAACAAACCCAAAAAAUUAGUUUGGUGAGAAUAUAAAAGAGUUAGUGGGAGAUCAUUAUUCGUUAUUCUACCAAAUUGAAAUUUCUCGAUCUUUGCUUCUUCCAUUUCUCCUAGCAAAAACCCUUGCUUUCUUAGUUCUUUUCAUUUCCUCACAAACGAUCACACUUGGGAAAUCAAGCUUAAGCAAGUGCUUCUCAAGAGCUAGGAGAUCUUCCUUUAUAACUUAAUCAAGGUAACUCUUGCAUCUUUUAAGUUUUCUUUACUUGACUUGAUUUGGUUUUGGGUUUAAUGUAAGUUAAGCUUUGGUUUUGAGUGGACCUUUUGGUAGAGAUCCUUAUAUAUGUGGUAGUUUGGUGAUUGUGGUUAUUUUUUUAUUGAGGGAUAAUUGUUGAAGUUUUGGAUGUUUGGUGAUGUUUUGGGUUGAUUUGUACUUGGUUGUUGUACUGGGUUGGACAUAGGUAGAAGAGGUGAAAAAGGAAGUAAAGCUCGAAAUUUUUAUUAUCACAAUGACAAAACUAAUUAGUAUCACAUUUGCCAUUGAUCUAAAACAAGCUAUUGAUGAAAACUAGUGUCACGGAUUCAUCUUAAUGGAGUACUAUUAAAUGGAAUUUAUUUGAAUAACUAAAGGCCACCAGCGUCACAAGUCAUUAGGGGUGUGAAUCGGAAUCGAAAUUGGUAAUUUGGAACUUUGAAAUUGAAAUUUUUUGAAAUUUGGGUAUUAGAAUUUUCGACCAAAUUCGAUUUCAAGUUCACCAACUCCAAAUUCAAUUUGGAAUUCCGAUUUCACCGAAUUCAUGAAUAUAAAAAUUAUUAUUAUUAUAAUAUAAAUAUUAUAUUACAUAUAUAUAUAAAAAUAUUAUAUAUAUAUGUGAAAACAAAAUUGAAAUCGAAAUAGGAAUUCCGAAUUCCGAUUUCGAUUUCGAUUUCAAUUUCGAAUUGUGAAUUCGAAAUCGAAAUUUUGGAUUUGAAAAAUCUCAUUACCGAAUUCGACCAAUUCGAAAUCGAAUAUUCCGAUUUCCAUUCCGAAUUAUCAAAUUCGAAAUUUCGAAUUUAAUUCGAAUUCAGUCGAUGAAUCGAAAUUUUUUGACUUUGCACACUCCUACAAAUCAUUGACCAAAGCCAGUUUUGCAGUCUCAUCAUACCUAGGGAUGGCAACGGGGCGUGGUUGGGGCGGGGGACCCCUCCCCCACCCCCCGCCCCGUUGCCUAUUAGUUCCCCCCGUCCCCCGCCCCGUCCCCCGCCUCCCGCUCCCCCAGCCCCGCCCCUCCCCCGCCCCGUCUUGCCCCGCUUCCCCCGCUGGGGCACCCGCGGGGUUAAUAUAAUUUUAUUAUAAUUAAAUUUUAAUAAAUAAUCAAGUACUAAAAUAUCAACACAUCACCAAAUUAUUAUUCAUUGUAAUUUUACAAUUGAAACUCAUAAAAACAAUCAAACAGAAGUUAUUUGAAUACAAUCCAAUAUGAUGAAAUAAAUAUAACUAAAAUAGUCAAGUUUUCACUUUUAGUACAAAUGCAAUCACUAAUUCAUUAUUGUAUUUGUGCUUUUUUUUGAGAAAAAAGUGUUAUUCUAUUAAGUGUAAUUAGAAAUUUAGUAUAAAUGUAUUAGUAAAUUUAGUAUAACUAAUUAAUAAAUUCUAUUAGUAGACAUGUAUAAUUAUUCAUAUAAUUGAUAAUAUCAAUUAUAUUACAUAAACUAAUAUACAUUAUAUAAUACAUCUAACUAAUAAUAUCAUUAUCAUAAGUUUAUAACUAAUUAACUUACAUAUUAUAUAUAAUUAUAUAUAUAUAUUUUUUUUUGUUUUGCGGGUGGCGGGGCGGGGGUAUGCUCCCCCGCCCCCCGCCCCGUUUCUUAGCGGGGGGAAAAAUUCCCCCCGCCCCCGCCCCAACCCCCGCCCCGAGAGCCCCCCGCCCCCAUUGCCAUCCCUAAUCAUACCUUAGAACGAGUCUUUGUGAUUAACAUAUUUUUUUUAAUAAUUCAUGCUUUUCUUGGAGCAUUGGGGAGCCAUCAAUGUAGCAAUUAUGAGAGGUGAUAACAAAUAUUGCAGCACAGUGAAGGGAAUUCAAGCAAAAAGCAUCCAGUAGCUGUGGUACAAAUACACGAUUAAGUGAAUAAUUAACAAAUAGUCGAUGAGAAGCUGUCCUCACUUCUUUAUUUUUGGUCUUAAUUACUAUAAUAAUAAUAAUAAUUAAGAAGUGGCUUGAUGGGAUGAAAAUGUCACAGCACAUUUCUUUGUUUCUCGUCUCAGUUCCUUCAGUAAUCAAGAAGAUGAUUUGUAAAUGCAAAUAAUAAAGUAACAAUAAGAAAAAAAUUAUAAAAAAAAGAAAAAAAAAAGCAAGAAGAUGCAAUUUGGAGGAAGUAGCCACUGUGUUUUGACCAUGACAGAUGCUUAUCAAGAUGACUAAUUUAAACUAGAAAACUUUGAAAAAGGUAAAGUGAUGCAUCAUGUUUCUUUUUUUUUUUUUGGGUGUUGCUUUCUUGACCAACAAAUAUCUGAACUAUAUCUUACCUACUUAGUAAAAAAAAUUAAAAAGAUAAUAAAAAAACAUGUCCUAGCUGCAAUUGUACUUUUCCACUUCCUUGUUUUUUUAAAAUUAAUUCCGACGAAGCAAAUUAGCCAUACUUUCUGCUAGAUAGAAUUUUUAGACAACCAAAGGCCGCCUACAUUGGCAAAACUAAUUACUCUCACAACUAGUUUCGGGUAGAAUUUUUAAAUAUCCGACAAAGGAAAAUUAGCAGCAUUAGAUAGAAUUUUCUAAACGACCAUUCUAUCUAAACGACUAAUGGCCACCACCAUUAAUCAAACUAGUAUUGAUACGGUCGACAAGAUUUUUUUUUUUUUUUGACAAAACAUAUGUCAAUAUUAUUAACAAUCUAGUUGGAAAUCAUCCACCACAAUUUGUUAAUUGUUUGACAAAGUAAUCUACACUAAUGGUAGAAAAUACAUUAAGCAUGUUACAGAUAUAUUUCAUCUGAAAAAUUAUAAGAUUUAAUAGAGUUACAAAAUAUAAAAGAUUACGCUGUAAAUCACAAAUCAUCAAAUCUGACUAAUUGAACGAGCCGCUUCAUAGAUAUCUAUGCAUGUCUAUUCUUUCAGAUCUAUUGUCCAACUGGUUUGACCUCAAAACUGAUGUUGAGAUUUGACGAAAAGACCUAAAAAAUUUUAGACCUAACAUAUAGAUUUGAAGAAAUUCUUAGAUUUGAGAAAAUAAAUAACAAAAAAAACACUAAACAAAACUCUCACCAAGAUAGUUUGGGAGAGAAAAAAACUCUCAUUAGGAUACUUUAGAAGAGAUUUUAUUAAAUAAAAGUAAGCACAAAGAGGAAGGGAGACCUUGGCUUAGGGCCAAGAUCUUCCUAUGGAGGACGAAGAGUAGAGAGAAAGUUGAGAGAUAAGGGGAAAAAGAAGGUUGAGGGAAAAGAGAAAAUAGCCCCUACGGCCGACAAGAUUUUCGUCUAAGCUUUCACACAGCUAUUCUUUAUCAAAUCAUGCAACACAUAUUUAUUUGCGAACCAAAACUUGUAACAAAUAUUACAACCGGUUGACACAUUAAAAUCGUACUUAGCCAUAUUUCUAGAUUACAUAAUCUUGAGGGAUGCUUUUAACUUCUCUGGCCAAUACAACCAUAGACACGGAUUGGUUAAAUGAGUAUAGGGGCAAUUUUAAUGAUAAAAAAAUACAGAAAGUGGAAGACUGGUGGAUGAGUAUUGGUGUGUCAACCAUCAUUUACAGAAAAAAAAAUACAGAAAUGAUAAAAAAAAAUGGUGGAUUGGUUAAAUGAGUAUAGGCGAAAUUUCAAUGAUAAAAAAAAUACAGAAAGUGGAAGACUGGUGGAUGAGUUUUGGAGUGUCAACCAUCAUUUACCUUGUAGUUCUGAAUAAUAGCAUAUAGAUUCUUUAUACUUUUAAGCACAUUCAAUUAAGAUGUCUCAAUUUAGAACUUAGAGACAGAAUUUAAAGUUUAGAGACAGACUAAGGGUCUGUUUGAUAAUAUAAUAAAGUGCUGAAACUGAACCUUUUCAGACAUUCAGAUGUUUUGAGUGUUUAAUAAAUGAAAAUCCAUCUGCUGAACUUGUUAAGUAAUGCUAAACUUGCAUGUAUUUUUUUCAGUACAAAAAUCCUAACUGAAUGCUUAAUUCUGAUAAAAAUCAGUAGAAUUAUUUCAACUACCUUAUCUUAUCUACCAAAUCUACCCUUGUUUGUUAAUUAUAUUCAAAAUUAUUAUCUAAUUAAACAACCUGAUAUUCUCUAUCAAACGAUUUUCUGUUUCUUUUUUCUCCUUUUUUAAUGACUUUCACAUUUUCUCCAUACUCCUCAUAUAAUAUAUUUCAUCUUUUAUAUUAAUUUGAUUUAAAAAUAAAUUAUUGUCGUUUUCAUACCUAAUAAUUUUAAACUAAUUAAAUCAUAGGUUCUAUUUCUUUUUUAAAUGAAAGAUAUAAGGGCAAAAUUAUCAAAUUAAACUUAUUACGCACUCGGUUAUAAAUAUUUGUCAAACAGUAUAAAUAGGUUUAACAUUAAAAUUUAGACAUUCAUAUAUUUUUCUUUUCAGUGCUUAAAAUUCAGCAAAAUAAUUGUUUCAGUAUUCAAAUUUCAAAAUUCAGACUUCAGAAUUCAAAUAUAGUUUAAUCAAACGGAACCUAAAUUAAGAAUCAUGCUAUAGUUAAAGGAUUAAAGUAUCCUAAUUUAGAAUUUAAGAGCUAAAGCGUCAUGUGCGGUUAUCACAAUUCUUACAGGCCCUUAAUCUGGUAUACCACCAGGGCGGAAUUAAGGUGGGGGCACUGGGGCACGGACCCCCACUGUCCCCCUUAAAUUCUUAUAAUAUUUGUACAAUUUUAACGUAAUUUUGAGUGUGCCCCCACUCCCCAAAUUCCCUUUCCUCCUAUGUCCCCAAUUUUCCCUCCCACAACUGAUGGUUUCUCUUUUUUAAUCCAUCAUUUACUUCCUUUGUCCCCACUUCCCAAUUUCCCUUUCCUCCAUCAUUUAUUGCUCCUCUGGUUUCCCAUUUUCCCCCAACAGAGCCACAAAUCUAUCCGCACCGAACCUUGAUCAUAAGGACCUCCUAUCUGCCGUCCCACACUGAAUUGGAUGUUCUAAGUUGGAUAUUCUUGCACUUGACACUGAAUUGGAUACUUAUAUUAAUGACUUGAAAUCAGCCAAGGAAUUUCUUGAUUUAAGAAAAAUCUCUGAUCUAGCUUAAAGGUUGGUGGAGACUAAGAGAGAUAUUGUGUAUCCAUUGGUUAAUAUGCUCUUAAAGUUGGCUUUGAUUUUGCCUGUUACUACAGUUACAGUAGAAAGGGCUUUUUCAGUUAUGAAUAUAGUGAAGAAUCGGUUACGAAAUAAAAUGGGAAACACUUUGAUGAAUAAUUGUUUAGUUACUUAUAAUGAGAAAAAUAUACUUCGUGAAGUUCAAAAUGAGAAAGUCGUAAACCGUUAUCAAAAUAUGAAAACUCAUCGUGAACAAUUGUAAAUAGUUUAGUUUGUUUUUGAAAUAAAAUUAUUAUUACAUUAAUAAUUUUGAGUUUGUCUUUUUUUGUUUUUCAUGGAAUAUACGUAUUAUUUGUACUUGUUGGUGAAUUUUUUUUUUUUUUGCUUAAAAAACUAGAAAAAGAGCAGAUAAAAAAAUUUUACUGUUAUUUUUGUCCCCAUUGAGAUUUUUUUCUAGCACCGCCACUGUAUACCACCACUAUUUCUUGAGGUUUGCUUAUUUUAUUAAGCAACAUAUAAAUCAAGUAGUAAUUGAAGUUACUGGUUUAUACAAUUGUAAUUUCAUUCGAAUGCCGAGAUCAGAGAUAGUCUCUCUUUUUUUUUUUGCAAAACAAGAUAAAAACCAAGCAAGUUCCAUACUAUGAAAGUCCUGUCAACCUCAUUUUAAUGUUAGAAUGUAAGAAAGAAGUCCUAACAACCACCGAACACUUUGUUAUGAUUCAAUUAAUUCAUUGGGUUGAGCAAAGAAACUGAGGUUUCAAUUCCAGCAAGAAAAGGAUACUCUGUCUAUCAGCCACCUCUUUUUAGACAUAUUUUAAAAGACUAAAGGGCUCCAGCAUUGACCCAACAAAAGAGGUAGUUUUUUCAUUUUUUAUCUAUUAGAUUUGAGUUUUUUCACGAAUUGAUUAUCAAAUUUGGAAUUUCUUAGGUCCAUUUGCUAGAUUUCGCUAUAAUAUUUGAACUUGAAAUACUUAAUUAGCAGAUCUAUCAAUUGAAAACAUACAUAGAUAUUCGUGGGACCAUAAUUAUUUUAUUUCACUUUUUAAAAUAUUUUUUGGAGGUUUACAAUGUAAUUUUUAUCUAUUUUUCGGAUCUAUACUAUCCAUACUUCAGAUUUGGUCUUUGAUAUUUGUGUAUAUUUGAUGAUAUAAUUUUUGCCAUUAGUGCAAAUUUUAAUGAAAUUAUGAUGUUUGAUAUAUAAAAAAAACGUCUACUAAAUUUAAAUAAUUCCAUUUCUCAAAUUGUCCUCAUCGAUUCUAAUCUGUUUGUUCCCUGUCUUAAUUGCAUAAGUAGUCAUGAAGAGUUGGCUUAAUUGUUUAAGUAGUCGAGAAGAUUCUUUGCAGUGUGAAUAACAAAUAAACAUUAAGGGAAAAAAAGGAAAAGAAAAAUGCAAAGUAGGAAGAUGCAUUUCGAGGAAGUAACCACCAGGCAUAUUCUAAUACCAGCCAGAUUGAAUAAAUGAACUAGAUAGAUAAAGUAGAAUAAAUUGAUUAAUCAAGGCGAGAUUUUAGAUCUAUGUCCCCUGUUGCCAGCCCCUCAAUCAGUUUAGUUAAGUCAACUCUCUUGAGUUUUGUGCACUGUUACAUUAAUCGCAAUUAUACUAAUCUGAAUCUCACACAUCAACCCACGAAGGAAUCGUUAACUCAUCUCUUUCUUGUUCUGGGCUUCUAUUCUGAUUUCUACCAUUUGUUGCUGAAAACAUUCCUUCCAUCUCUGAUAUCAGAAAACCUUUCGAUCCCAGUUCCAAUUCCAAGCAAGAAACAAUGGCUGAAGCUGCUAUCAGUGCAACUGUUAAGGUCCUCUUGGGGACAGUUAUUUCCAUUGCUGCGGACCGCAUUGGUAUGGUUCGGGAGGUCGAAGCGGAGUUGGAGAGACUAAGCAAUACUGCUGCAAUGAUCCAAGGUUUCCUGGCUGAUGCUGACGGGAAAAUCCAUAGCCAAGGGGUGCGAGAGUGGCUCAAGCAGCUAGAGGAUGAGGUUUUUAAAGCUGAUACCGUGCUGGACGAGCUCCACUACGACAAUCUUCGUCGGGAGGUGAAGUACCGAAAUCAACUCAUCAAGAAGAAGGUAUGCUUCAUCUUCUCCUCCUUUAAUGCAAUUGGUUUUAGUUCCAGUUUGGCUUCAAAGAUCCGGGACAUCAACACCAACCUAGAGAGGAUCAACCAGGGAGCCGGUCGCUUGGGAUUGACCAACCAAAUUGAAGCUGCACCCCCUGCUGAUGCCGCUGGUGCCAGACAGACCGACUCUAUUGUCGUUCCGAACGUUGUAGGAAGAUCCGGCGACGAGUCAAAGAUUGUGGACAUGUUAUCGAGCCCAUCUGAAAAGGUUCUUUCUGUUAUUCCCAUAGCAGGCCCGGGAGGUUUGGGAAAGACAACUCUUGCUAAAUCAGUCUACAACAAUCCAAAAAUUGAUGAGAAUUUUGGCAUAAAGAGUUGGGUUUGUGUGGCUAGAAAAAUUGAUACAGUGGGGCUGUUCAAACUCAUUUUAGAAUCGUUGACAAAAACAAAGGUUGAAGUGGAUGGUAGGGAAGCCAUAGUUCAAGAAGUUCGAGGAAAGCUCAAGGGACAAAGAUAUUUCCUUGUUCUUGAUGAUGUGUGGGAUCAUGAACAAGGAUCGUGGGAUGACUAUUUCAACACUUUGAUGGGACUCAACGAAACCAAAGGAAGCUGGUGUCUUCUCACUACUCGUCUAGAAUAUGUGGCUAAUGCUGUGCCUAGAGAUUUGCAAAUGAAUGAUCGUCCUUAUUUCUUAGGAAAGCUAUCAGGUGAUGAGUGCUGGUCCAUCAUAAAAGGAAAGGUGAUGAGUGCAGGGGAAGAAGUACCAGAAGAAUUGGAAGCACUGAAGGAGCAAAUUUUAAGGAGAUGCGAUGGCCUACCCUUGGCGGCAAGUUUGAUUGGUGGCUUGUUGCAUACCAACAGAAGAGAGAAGUGGCACUCCAUUGUGCAGGAGAGCCUUUUGAAUGAAUAUCAAAGCCAAAUUAAUCAAAUACUUAAGGUGAGCUUUGAUCAUUUAUCAUCUCCAUCAAUUAAGAAAUGUUUUGCAUAUUGCUCGAUUUUUCCCCAGGACACUGAAUUAGGAGAAGAUGAACUAAUUCAGCACUGGGUUGCUAAAGGUUUUGUUCUACCAGAUCAGGAAAACACAAGAAUGAUGGAGGAAAGAGGAGGCGAGUAUUUAAGGAUUUUGUUACAAAGUUCCUUACUAGAAAAAGUCGAAGAUGAGGGGAGCACAUAUUAUAAAAUGCACGAUCUCGUGCAUGAUUUUGCAAAAUCAAUUCUCAAACCAGAAAGCAGCAAUCAGGAUCGCUACCUUGCAUUGGACUCUUCUAAAGGUUUGGAAGAAAAUACCAUAAGGACAAUACCAGCAUCAAUUCGCACAUUAUUUCUCCAUCUAGAGGGUGGCGUAUCUACUGACAUGAACAUGCUUUUAAGAUUCAAGUGCUUGCAUGUUCUCAAAUUGUCUGGAUAUGAUGUCGAGUCUCUACCGAGCUCCAUUGGCAAACUACUACAUUUGCGGCUGCUCGACAUUUCAUCUUUUGGAAUCACAAGUUUGCCAGAAUCUCUUUGCAAGCUAUAUAAUUUGCAGACACUAACGAUUGAUGAUUAUGCACUUGAAGGAGGUUUUCCAAAACGGAUGAGCGAUUUGAUCAGCUUGCGGCAUCUAAACUACAAUCAUUAUCGUGCAAAUUUGAAAAUGCCGGUGCAGAUGGGACUAUUGACUUGUCUUCAAACUUUAAAGUUUUUUAAUGUAAGUCAAGAGAGGGGUCGUGGUAUCGAAGAGCUUGGGACCUUGAAAUAUCUGAAAGGAUCGUUGACUAUAAGAAAUCUUGGACUAGUGAAGGGCAAAGAAGCAGCUAAACAAGCAAAAUUGUUCGAAAAGCCAGAUCUGUCUCGCUUGGUGUUUAAAUGGGAGAGUGGGGAUCGGGAAAGCGAUAACCGUGAGGAGGAUGUGUUGGAAGGUCUCCAACCUCACCCAAAUUUGCAAGAGUUGGGAAUUUAUUAUUUUAUGGGUAAUAAAUUUCCACAAUGGCUUAUCAAUUUGUCAAAAUUGGAGACAUUGCGGAUAGAAGACUGCAAGAGAUACAGUGAACUCCCCGCAUUAGGACAACUGCCAUCCCUCAAACGUCUCUAUUUGACAAGAUUGAGAAACAUUCGAUCCAUUGGAGAUGAAUUCUACGGUAUUACUACUAAUGAGGAGGAGGAGGAGGAGGGAAGAUCACGAGCAUCAGGGAGCAGCACUAGAAGACGAAAAUUCUUUCCUGCCCUUGAAGAACUCUGGGUAAUACGUAUGGGGAAUUUGGUAGAGUGGAAAGGUGCAGACCAAGUGAGGUCAACAGUAGGUGAAGCAGAAGCAGAUGUCUUUCCUGUGCUGAGGCAUUUGAGCAUUCAACGUUGCCCACAGCUGACCACCCUUCCAUGCUCGUGUAAAAGUCUACACGUGAGGAAUUGCGAUAAUCUAACAAGUAUAAAAAUGGGUUACGGCACUGCUUCUGUUGAGGAGUUGAGGAUCCACUCUUGCGACAAUCUUAGGGAGCUGCCAGAUCUGGAUCUGUUUGGAUCGAGUUUGCGGCGGUUGACGACCGAAAGGUGCCCAAGAUUAAUUAGUCCAUACCUUUUCUUUGCUUUCGUAGUUUGUCAUGAUUGAAGCUGUUCUGAAAUGUAAUAUUAUGAUGUUUAUUCCAGAGUCUUAGGAAGCAGACCUCAUGUUAUUGGACAAAGGACACCACCAUUUGCCGUUGCAUUUCUGACUAGAAUGCUAAGGGAUAGAAGUUAUUUUCAUUGACCAGACAGGGUUUGAAGAUGAAGGCAGUUAUCAAUGAUGUUAAUUUAGCUCAUUAGAUAGCAUUAGCUUUGAUGGAUGUUUCACAAAUAGUUGGCUAGGUUUCUCAAACAACUAGUAUUUAAGGGUUGGCUAGGUUUCUCAAAAAAUUGAAGUUUAACAAAAAUGUCAUACAAUUCUAACAACUAGAGUUGUCAACAAUUGAAAUUGGUACUGACUAGUAUUUUUUUUUUUUUUUGUCAACGAUAACAGUAGCAUUAUUCUCCAAGAUACGUGUAAAUUACUUGCUAAUGUCAAGAGCCUAAUCUUCAAAACAAAAAACUUACUAAAGCUGUUAAAUUAAGUAUUUGUACUAAGAUUUUUAUUUUCCUCUUUUUUUCAAGUAAGGUGGGGAGAGAUAGGCAAUCCAUAGCAUUCUUUAAUCUUCAAUUUAGAGAAUAGGAGUCUUUUCUUUAAGGGUGCAUUUGAUAACAUAUUGAAACUUGAAAAUUAAAAUCUAAAAUCUAAAAUCUAAAUCCAUUAAGUUACUGAAUUGUUAAAUACUAAAUUUGAUACAUCUAAAUCCGUAAUUGUUCGAUUACCUCCGUUCCGGUAGCAACUGGUGUAAUUGGGUUUAUGUCAGGAAAAUAUACGAUCUAACUUAAACAAAUCCUCGUAGCGUGUUUGUUACUUUGGAUUGGACUUUUCUAAAUCUUAGUGCAGAUUAGAAAUUAAAUCCUAUGGUCGUACCUAGGAUUGUUUUCGGGUUAGAGAAAUAGUUAACGAUCAUACCUUAACUAUCGAAAAAUUAAGGAAAGACUGGUUGUUUAUCGUAUGUAUAAUAACUAUAACCAAUCUAUUAAUAACUGUUGGAAUUAUAUUUGAAUCGAUGAUCAGUUGCAUGAACCAUCUCUGAAGUGCACCCUUGGCUAGAGUUCUCCCUUUUAUUUCUUCCAAUCAAUUAUUUUUCGCAUUUAAUUUAUUUAGUUAGCAUUUAAUCCUGAAAUCCCCCAUUUGUCUUAACUCGAAAGGAAACGAACUUUUCCCCAGUCCCUGAGGAGAUGACCUGCUUACCACUGUCUACUAGUUAGUAAAUUUUGUCAGUAAUUAAUUCUGGUAUAUAGGAUUAAGCAAACUCUUCAGGAACAAGGUGAAUCAAGUAACCCAUUGCACACCUAAGGUCCCUGCUCCGGUACCUAGAAUUGAUUAUUGACAGCUUGAGGGUAGUUAGGUUUUAUUAUUAUUAUUGCACAGGUUUAGCACCUUUUCAAAAACCUAGAGUGCACGCAAAGUGACAGGUGCCGAACCUGUGCAAUAAUAAAUACCUACUCGAGAAAAAUACAGAUUUUGUAUAUAGCGGUGAGUAGGGUCGAAUCCACAGGGACUGGGGAUAAUUUGUUUCUUCUAGAGUCCAAAGUAUGGGGGGUUUUGGAUUAAAUGCUAACUAAAUAAAUUAACUGCAGAAAAUAAUUAAUUAAAAGAAAUGAUUGGGGAAACUCUAGCCAAGCGUACACAUCAGAAAUGGUUCAUGCACUGAUCAUUGAUGCAGAAAUAAUUCCAACAUUUAGCAAUAGAUUAGUUAUAGUUGUCAUGCACGCGAUAAACAACCAACCCUUCCUUAAUUUCUCGAUAGCUAAGGUACGACCGUUAGCUAUUUCUCUAACCCAAUAAUAACCCUAGGUACGACCGUAGGAUUUAAUUUCUAGAUUGCAUUAAUAAUUAGAAAGGCCCAAUCCUAACCAACAAACACGCUACGAGGGUUUGUUUAAAUUAGAUCAUAUGCUCCCCUGACAUAAACUCAAUUACGCCAGUUGCUACUGAGAUAGAGAUAACGAACAAUUACGGAUUCAAUUACCCCUAUUUAGCAAAAAUAGCCUAUAUGAAUAAUUAAUUAUUGCGCACUAAUCAAUCAUACACAAGGCCAUAGCAAUUAAAAUCAAGAAACAUAUAAAUACCAAUAAAUGAAGAAAAUAAUUAAAACAGAUUCGAUCUCACAGUAAUUGUCGAACCAAAUCGUCAGUUGUCCCCUUGACUAGAAAAGCUUAAUCACGCCUCAUGAGAAAAUCUCCCCGUUGGGGAAUAUUGUCGAACACCUGGCGUGUGUCAGAGGCCAGUCCAAAGAAAAGAAACUAGAACUAAACUAAAAAACUAAAACUAAAGCCCUAGAUAUCUUUUGCUUCUGUACGUUGUCCCCUUUUAAAGCAACAAAAGAAAGAUGACUAAAAGCUAUCUAGAUGGUCCCCACACAUGUGGACAAAGCCUCCCAAGUACUUCUUGUUCCAAGUCUCUCUACGUUGUUUUCUUUGAAGCCCAAAUGGCCAAAUGCCUUUCACUAGCUUGUGGUCCCCCACCAAUUCAAGGGCCCAAGGAUUGAAGCCCUUAGAAGUCUCCAUAUUUUUCACAAAAUCCCUCCUUUUUGGUAGUUUUCUGCUUCAUUCCUGAAAUUGAUUCCAAAUACCAAAUAUGAGUAAAUAUCAGCAAUUAACACAAUAUUUGUCAGGGAUAGAAGGGAAAAUUAAUAAUAAAAAUACUAACAAAUUAUACCCUAUCACAAAGGGCCAAGGUGUAAAACCCAAACAACACACCAAGUGUUUAAAUUUGAUAAUCUCUCUAUCUAUCCUUCUAUUAUAUCCACAUCUAUAUCUAUCUAUCUAUCUAUCUAUAUCUAUAAUCUAUAUAAAAGGACAAUGAGUUUUGGUAUUUUGGAGUGUGGGUGUAAGCAUUGUUAUGAUCUUAUUUUGUGUUAUUUGAAUUAUGCCCUUCUUAACUUGUGGUUAAGUUUCAUACAAUCUUAAGUAUGGGUUAAAGUUUAAUUAUGAAUUUCUAAUUAUUACAAUCACUAUAUUGCAUCAUACCAUAGUGAUUUAGAAAGAAAAAUCUCCUUAAAGUUAUAAAUAGUGAAAUGGUUUGAGAAAUAUUUGUCAAAUGAAUUAUAUGAGUUGUACACAUCCAAUUCAAAAGGGGAAGAACUUUUUAUGUUGCACACAAAGGACUUUCAAUAUACAAAAAAUUAGACACCUUCAUAUAACUGAAAUAACAAUAUUAAACUGAAGAAAAAGGAAAUCUGAAAUAGCCCAUACAAUCCAUCAUUAUUAUUAAUAGCAACCCUUCAUAACAAGAAAAACUGAAAAAAAAUGAAAAUUAUUCAUAAAAUGACAUAAAGCGAAUAGAAGUGAAUCAAAAAGCUAAAAGUACAACUCAAAUAAUACCACAAAUAACCUUCAAAUCACUUGAAAUUCUAAUUCAGGUGAGUCAAAUCUAAGGGAAGACAAAAAUUUGUUAUUGAUAGCAAUAGAGUAGUGCUUCAUUUAUAUUGUUUCGAGCAAAUCGAGUUAAUCCAGCAAGCUAUAUAGAAGCCAUCAGUCCAAGGAAAAGGAGAAGAAGAAAAGGUAGUCUGCGGUGUUGGUUGGUCUGAUACUUUUAGCUCUUUGUGGAAAUAUAAAUAGUAUUCAAGUGACACUGGAGAAUUCAAAAGGAACCAAAUCAAAAUACUAAUUACUAAACACACAAAAGAAGCACUCUUUUGACUCUUUAAAACUUUAGUUUCUAAACUACCUACACUUAAAAGCAUUGACAAUUUCCCAAUUAACACGGAUCAUACCAAAUAAAUUGCUUUUCUUUCUCUUCAAAUUAAUUUUGUUAAAUUUUCUACUUUAAUCCAACAAACUUAUCUUAGUCCACCAAGUCUAGUGAUUUUGUUUCUCAAUUAGUCUAAUGUAACCAAGAAGUUGCUUGAUGAAAUGAUGAAGUCCUGAUCCCUUCACACACCAUUUUUUUUUCCUAAUCCCUUCUCAUUUUUCUGUUACUUGCCCUAAUAAUUUGCGUAAUAAAGAUUUUUUAUAUUUUAAACGAUAAGUUAACAAUAAGAAAAAAAAAAGGGGCAUAUUAAGAAGAUGCAUCUUCAGGAACUAGCCGCCAGGCAUCCAAUUAAUUGACCUACAGAGAUGAACAAGCAUAAAUUGAUUAAUUACACUUGUGCAUGUUUUCCAGACCAGGCAACAUCUAAAACAUGUAUUCCUUUCAUUUUUUUUUUUUUACAAUAUAUUACUUACUUGCUUUUGUUUUUUCAGUUCUGACGAAGAUUUCAUAAACAAAUAUAAAGUGCAUUACUCGCUUGCCUUUUUUUUUCAGGUAAUUUACUAAUUAGUAACUAUAUUUUUCUUAAUAAUUAGCAAAUAUCAAUUAAUUAUAUUCUAAUUAAUUUCAUCCACUGCAAAUAUGUUUAGCAAGAUGACUUUUGAUUUAAACAAGUUUUUAUUUAUUUUACUGAUAGUACCACUGAAAAUUACUACUAAAUAGGAUUUCCUUUAGUGCAGUUUCGAAGUCAAUUCGUCCAAAUUUUCUGAAGAAGUGCUGCCUUGUCUUUAAUUACUUUAAUUUCAGUUUCAUCAAAUCACUUUUUCGGUUUUCAAUUUGAACAAAUAGAAGAAACUGGUUAAAAAAAAGGUACCAUUUUCCUAAAAAAUUGAUGUGAAGAAGUCAUAGACCAUUUUCACUUCUUUGUUAAUCAGACUUUUAUUUAUUUUACUAAUCGAUAUCUAAAAUAGUUCAUACCUAGUGCAUCCUAUAUAGUACUAGUAAACAGAAUUUCUUAAAUAAAUAAAGGCCGCCAGCAUCACAAGCCAUUGACCAAAGCUAGUAACAUGGCCUCAUCUUAAUGUGCUACUGGCAGAUAGAAUUUCUUAAUGAAGAAAUCACAAGCAAUUGACCAAGCCAAGAAUGAUGGCCUCAUCUUAAUGUAGCCUUAAAACUGUCUCUCUUUCUUUGAUAUUACCCCUUGUUUGGUACAUGGAAAUGCACGGAAUAGAAAGGGUUUCGACCAGAAUAUGUAUCCACCAGGAUGGUAGGGAAAAAAGUUACUAUUCCAGGGUUCGAUAUACAAGUUAGAAUGGAAUAUUUACUCAAUUUCCAAUUUUUGGUAUAAUCCAUUUUUAGAUGUUAGAAUGGAAUAUACUAAAUACAAAUUUGAUUUAAUUACCAUAGAUUAGUUUAUAGGACAUAAUAUAUCUUCUUUUUUUUUUUUGUUUUAUUUGGUCUACAAUAGCAUUUGUCUAUUUACGUGAAAUUUUGAUAUCUUUAUUUAAAAAUAAAUGAGGAUUGAUAUCAAAAUUCUUCAAUUGUAGUGAAGAUUCAAGUUAAAUUUCGUUUAUUACCAAUAUCAAUAGUAGCGUAAAAUGUAAAUUACAUGAAGUUAGACAAUUAUAAUUUAUUUUGAAUCUAUUUUCAAUUUUAAUAUGAGAUUCAAAAAAGAUUCUUGAACAGUUGUUCAAAAAUCAAAGAAUAAAGUAUCUUAAAACAUUUGUUUCCUAGUAUAAAAGAAAAAUAUUAUUCUAAGUACAAGGAAAAUUAAUUAUUACAAUAAUUACAUUCAAAUAUUAAUUGAGUUUAUAAAUAGCUUAAGAUAUGGCGAUGCAGUAGACUUGUGACGAUAAAUUGGAUAUCCAAGGAUGAAGGAGAAAAGAGCUUUCCCUAGAUUUUUUUUUUUUUUUUUUUUGAGGAAUGGGAUUCUAGAAAAAGUUAGAAUGAGCAUUUCAGGAAAAAAGAACUUUUCCACUUAAAUGAAUUAUACCAAACACUGAAAUGGAAUGAACAAGUUGGAAAGGCCUUUCUUUCUUGGUGUAUUUGUGAGGUGCAUUUAUGAGGAAGAAGCUGAAGUAUUCAAGAAGAGUUGGCUUAAUUGUUUAAGUAAUUGAGAAGAUUCUUUGCAGUGUGAAUAACAAAUAAACAUUGAGGGAAAAAAGAAAAAGAAAAAUGCAAAGUAGGAAGAUGCAUUUUCGAGGAAGUAGCCACCAGGCAUAUUCUAAUGCCACCAGCCAGAUUGAAUAAAUGAAAUAGGUAGAUAAAGCAGAAUAAAUUGAUUAAUCAGGGCGACAUUUCAGAUCUGUGUCUCCUGUUGCCAGCCCCUCAAUCAGUUUUAGUUAAAGUCAGCUCUUUUGAGUUCUGUACACUGUGUUACAUUAAUCGCAAUUAUACUAAUCUGAAUCUCACACAGGAAUCGUUAACUCAUCUCUUUCUUGUUCUGGGCUUCUAUUCUGAUUUCUACGAUUUUUUGUCGAAACAUUCCUUCCAUCUCUGAUAUCAGAAACCUGUCGAUCCUAGUUCCAAUUCCAAGCAAGAAACAAUGGCUGACGCUGCUAUCAGUGCUACUGUUAAGGUCGUCUUGGGGACAGUCAUUUCCAUUGCCGCGGACCGUGUUGGUAUGGUUCUCGGGGUCAAAGCGGAGUUGGAGAGACUAGGCAAAACUACUGCAACGAUCCAAGGUUUCCUGGCUGAUGCUGACGAGAAAAUGCAUAGCCAAGGGGUGCGAGGUUGGCUCAAGGAGCUAGAGGAUGAGGUUUUUAAAGCUGAUACCGUGCUAGACGAGCUCAACUACGACAAUCUUCGUCGGGAGGUGAAGUACCGAAAUCAACCAAUGAAGAAGAAGGUAUGCUUCUUCUUCUCCUUCUUUAAUGCAAUUGGCUUUAGUUCCAGCUUAGCUUCAAAGAUCCGGGACAUCAACACCAACCUAGAAAGGAUCAACCAGCGAGCCAAUGAGUUGGGAUUGGUCAUUAAGUACCAAAUUGAAGCUGCACUCCCUGCUGAUGCCGUUGGUGCCAGACAGACCGACUCUAUUGUCAUUCCGAACGUUGUAGGAAGAUCCGGCGACGAGUCAAAGAUUGUGGACAUGUUAUCGAGCCCAUCUGAAAAGGUUCUUUCUGUUAUUCCCAUAACAGGCUCGGGAGGUUUGGGAAAGACAACUCUGGCGAAAUCAGUCUACAAUAAUCCAAAAAUAGAUGGGCACUUUGGCCAAAAAAUUUGGGUUUGUGUGGCUAAAGAACACAUUAAGAUAAUGGAGCUGUUCAAGCUCAUUUUAGUACAAUUGACACAAGACGAAGUUAAAGUGGAUGACAGAGAGGUUAUCGUUAAAAAAAUUGGAGAAAAGCUCAAGGGACAAAGAUAUUUCCUUGUUCUUGAUGAUGUGUGGGAUCAUGAUCAAGGAUUGUGGGAUGACUGUUUCAACACUUUGAUGGGACUCAACGAAACCAAAGGAAGCUGGUGUCUUCUCACCACUCGUCGGGUACCAGUGGCUGAUGUUGUAUCUACACAUUUGAAGAUGAAUAGCGGUCCUUAUUUCUUAGGAAAGCUAUCACGUGAUGAGUGCUGGUCCAUCAUAAAAGGAAAGGUGAUGAGUGCAGGGGAAGAAGUACCAGAAGAAUUGGAAGCAUUGAAGAAGCAAAUUUUAGGGAGAUGCGAUGGCCUACCCUUGGCAGCAAAGUUAAUUGGAAGUUUGUUGCUUAACAGUGGAAAAGAGGAGUGGCAAUCUAUUGUGGAAGAGGGUCUCAUUGUGGAAGAGAGUCUUUUGAAUGAAUAUCAAAGCCAAAUUAAUCAAAUACUUAAGGUGAGCUUUGAUCAUUUAUCACCUGCAUCAGUUAAGAAAUGUUUUGCAUAUUGCUCGAUUUUUCCCCAGGACACUGAAUUGGGGGAAGAUGAACUAAUUCAGCACUGGGUUGCUAAAGGUUUUGUUCUACCAGAUCAGAAAAAUAAUAGAGUGAUGGAGGAAACAGGAGGCAAGUAUUUGAGGAUUUUGUUGCAAAAUUCCUUGCUGGAAAAAGUCGAAGAGUCGUGGAGAACGUACUAUAAAAUGCACGAUCUCGUGCAUGAUUUUGCAAAAUCAAUUCUUAAUCCAGAAAGCAGCAAUCAGGAUCGCUACCUUGCAUUGGACUCUUCUAAAGGUUUGGAAGAAAAUACCAUAAGGACAAUACCAGCAUCAAUUCGCACGUUAUUUCUCCAUGUAGAGGGUGGCGUAUCUACUGACAUGAACAUGCUUUUAAGAUUCAAGUGCUUGAAUGUUCUCAGAUUGUCCGGCGAUGAUGUCAAGUUUCUACCGAGCUCCAUUGGCAAACUACUACAUUUGCGGUUGCUCGACAUUUCAUCUUCUAGAAUCAGAAGUUUGCCGGAAUCUCUUUGCAAGCUAUAUAAUUUGCAGACACUAACUAUGAGAUAUGGUGAAUUUGAAGGAGGUUUUCCAAAACGGAUGAGGGAUUUGAUUAGCUUGCGACAUCUAAACUACUAUCAUCGUCGUGCAGAAUUUAAAAUGCCAAUGCAGAUGGGACGAUUGACUUGUCUUCAAACUCUAGAGUUCUUUAAUGUAAGUCAGGAGGAGGGUUGUGGUAUCGAAGAGCUUGGGACCUUGAAAUAUCUGAAAGGAUCGUUGAGGAUAAGAAAUCUUGGACUAGUGAAGGGCAAAGAAGCAGCUAAACAAGCAAAAUUGUUCGAAAAGCCAGAUCUGUCUCGCUUGCUGUUUGAAUGGAAGAGUGGGGAUCGGGAAAGCGAUAACCGUGAGGAGGAUGUGUUGGAAGGUCUCCAACCUCACCCAAAUUUGGAAAUGUUGGAAAUUCAAUAUUUCAUGGGUAAUAAAUUUCCACAAUGGCUUAUCAAUUUGUCAAAAUUGGAGACAUUGUGGAUAGAAAACUGCAAGAGAUGCAGUGAACUCCCCUCAUUAGGACAACUGCCAGUCCUCAAACAUCUCCAUUUGGAGGGAUUGGACAACAUUCGAUUUAUUGGAGAUGAAUUCUACGGUAUUACUGCUAAUGAGGAGGAGGAGGAGGAGGGCAGAUCACGAGCAUCAGGGAGCAGCACUAGAAGACGCAAAUUCUUUCCUGCCCUUGAAGAACUCUGGGUAGAAGAUAUGGGGAAUUUGGUAGAGUGGAAAGGUGCAGACCAAGUGAGGUUAACAGUAGGUGAAGCAGAAGCAGAUGCCCUUCCCAUGCUGAGGAAUUUUAACAUUCAAAAUUGCCCACAACUGACCACUCUUUCAUGCUCGUGUAAAGGCCUAUACGUGAGGAGUUGCCAUAAUCUAACAAGUAUAAAAACCGGUUACGACACUGCUUCUGUUGAGGAGUUGAGGAUCCACUCUUGCGACAAUCUUAGGGAGCUGCCAGAUCUGGAUCUGUUUGGAUCGAGUUUGCGGCGGUUGACGAUCGAAAGGUGCCCAAGAUUAAUUAGUCUAGGAGUAAAUGGACAGAAAUGCCCCCUUUUACGAUGCCUUGAGGAAUUGAGUAUUGAUGAUUGCGAAGGGUUGACCACUAUAUCCGCCAAAAUGUUCCAGUCAUGCCGGUCUCUGCGGUCCCUGUCGGUGAAGUGUUGUCCCAAUCUGGUAUCAUUUUCGCUUAAUUUGCAGGAGACGCCUUCUCUCGAGAAAUUCGUCUUAGACACCUGUCCCAAAUUGAUCCCUCAUAGUUUGAAAGGAUUUGCUUUUGCCACCAGCUUAAGAGAAUUGAGCAUCAACAGUCCCUUCUCCUCAGAUGACUCCUCAGUCGAUGAUUUUGAUUGGUCUGGUUUAAGAUCUGCAUCAACACUCCGUGAGCUUCGAUUAGAAGGGUUACCUCACACGGAGUCCCUGCCACACCAGCUUCAAUACUUGACUACCCUCACUUCACUAAGUCUGGACAACUUUGGAGGAAUAGAAGUGCUACCGGAUUGGAUUGGAAACCUUGUGUCCCUUGAAACCCUAGAGCUAUGGGAUUGCGACAAGCUUCGAUCUUUACCAUCCGAGGCUGCCAUGCGACGACUCACAAAGUUAAAUCAUGUUGAAGUUUAUUGGUGUCCUCUGUUAAGACAACGAUACACUCCCCAAAGAGGCGUCCACUUGAAGGAGUAUAUUUCAAGUGAUCUGGUGAGAUUUUCCUAUCUAAAGCUCACACUUGUUACCUUCUAUUUGGCCAAGCAUGAAAUUAUUAGCAACGGUGCAUACACAAUUAGAGCCUCUCUGUUUGAAUGUGUUAGCAAAUGUUUCAUUGGAUGUGCAAUGCUAGAUGUACAUGCAAGCAUUCGUCAUUUUUUUGUCACUGAUAUUGCCAGUCUGAAUGGACGACAUUAAAGCUAAUCAAGAAAUAGUUGUGAAGAAAAUUUGCUGUUCUUUGGGACUCUAUGUUCUUAUUGCCAUGAAAUUAUAUCAGUCUCCUUGAAGUUCAAAUAUGUUUGUUGAGGAACUAGAGUGCUGCAAACCUUCACCCCUUACAAUUGCUGAUGCAUGCUUCAUAAGAAUGACAAUAAUAUGGGAUGGUUGUUUAUCAUCUUCCACAAGUUCGUACAUUUGCUUUUUUGUUUUGUGAGCUGAAUUACUGUAUUGUUACCUUGUAGACAAGUGGUGACAGCGAACAAGAAGGCAAUAAUGGUGCUCAAACAUCAGUCUCAUGUUGUUUCCCAUCGUUGCUGAAGAAGGAGAAACCAGGAGGUAUGAUGGUUCUCAAACAUCAGCUUCUCUCCCCAAUAACUCUUUUAAACCUCCACCCAAUUUAUUAAAAAUACAAGGGAAUUGGUGCAAGUUUUUAUCAAAGUAUGCUUGAGUGAAAACAGGGUGUUUUUCUGCACUUUCAUGUACUUUGAACUUUUGUCCUAUGCUAUAUAGCUUAGUUUUUAAUCUUUAAGAUUGUACAUUUACUAGGUGCCUAACAUGUCAUUUGAUUGUGAAAGACGCUGGUUUUUUCCAUUUUCUUGUACUGGUUACUAGACCAUGCCUUUUCUUUGCAUUCCUUAGCUGUCAUAACUAAAUUCAUACUGAAAUGUAACAUUACGAUGGUAUUUUCCAGAGUCUUAGAAAGCAGACCUCAUGUUGUUGGACAAAGACACCACCCUUUGCUGUUGCAUUUCUUACAAGAUUGCCAGGGGCCAGAAGUUAUUUUCGCUCAUUAGACAGGUUUGAAGAUGAAGUUAGCAAUCAAUGAUGAGAAUUUUGCACAUCAGAGAGCGCUAGCUUUGAUGGAGGCUUCGCCAAUAGGUGGUUCUCCCCAGGUCUCCCAAACAUAAUUUUUUACUCAUCUCCUGCUCGGGCUGCAGAAAGAAAGGUAAUAAUUUAGCUUGUUCAUCUUCAGGGCAGUUUUGAUAGUUUUUAUCUGCAUUCUUGAUAUGUAUUUUGUAAAUCAAUUACCAAAACUUCUUUUUUCCCUUUGGUGUAACAUGCUGAUUGCUGAACAAAUUGAAAGAGACCAAAAUUCUGUGUUUUCUCUGCCUCUCUGAACUACUGAAAGAUUGAAACAUCUUAAAUCUCUUUAAGUGCAACUUGUUACAUUCUAUUUGGCCGAGCACAAAUUUAUUAGCAAUGGUUCACAUCCAAUUAGCCUCUUCGUUUGAAUGUGGUACAAAAUGUUUCAUUUGAUUUGCAAUGCUAGAUGUACAUGGACACAUUCUUAAUUUUUCUGUCACUGAUAUUGCCAGUCUCAAUGGAUAACAUUAAAGCUAGUUGAGAAAUGAUUUUCACAGAAAACUCAUGAUACAAUUUGCUGUUCUUUGGAACUGUGUACUUAUUGCCAUAAAAUUAGAUCAGUCUAAUUGAACUUCAAAUAUGUAUGUGGAGGAACUAGAGUCCUGUGAACAUUCACCCCUUAUAAUUGAUACUGCAUGCUUCAUAUCAAUGACAAUAAUGUCUUUUUCUUUUCAAUGACAAAAAUGUUGGAUAAUUGUUUAUCAUCUUUCACAAGUUUGGAAAGUUUAUAAGUCACAAUUGCCUUGAUUUUCUGUUCAGUGAUCUGGAUUACUGUAUUGUAACCUUGCAGAUGAAAAAUGCAAGGAAUGAUGGUGCUCAAAUAUCAGCUUCAUGUUGUUUCCCAUUGCUGCUGAAGAAGAAGAGCUCAGGAGGUAUGUGGUGCACAAAAGUGAUAAUGCAGCACUUCUCUCCCCAAGAACUAUAAGUUUGCAUUCUGGUAUGCUUAAGUCAUGUAAUUGGCAAGAAAACAGUGUGUUUUUCUGCACUUUUAUUUGUUGUUGAAUGUUUACCCUGUGCCACAUAGCUUAUCUUUUGCUCUUGAAGAUUUUUAUGUUUAUUUGGUGCUUAACAUGUGUUGUGAUUGUGAAAGAAUCUGGAACCUGUUCUGAAAUGUAUUAAUAUGAUGUUUAUUCCAGAGUCUUAGGAAGCAGACCUCGUGUUAUUGGACAAAGGACACCACCGUUUGCCGUUGCGUUUCUGACUAGAGUGCCAAGGGACAGAAGUUAUUUUCAUUAACCAGACAGGGUUUGAAGGUAAUAAUUUAGCUUGUACGUCCUUAGGGCAGUUUUAAUAAUUUCUGAUCUGCUUUCUUGAUAUGUAUUUAGUAAAUCAAUUACCAAAACUUUUUUUAUUUCUUUUGCUGAUUGCUGAACUGAAAAUGGCUAGUAACAGGCUUGUAGAGUGUGACAUGGAUGAAGAACAAAGAGAGGGGAGCAUCAUCCGAGCAUGGAAGCUGAUACUGGAGACCUAUCAAGGUGCGCAGCUGAUUUUAGGCAAAUUAGACUGAUGGACUUGUUGGUAAAGAAGUUGGAUGUUUGUGACAGUAGAGACAAUAAAUUGGAUAAACAAUCAAUUUGGAGCAGUGAGAGAAAUGCAGAUACAAGAAGUCUUGAUUUGUACAAAGGUCCAAGGAAGAGGAGGGAAAACGUUCUUUUCAGUAGAUGUGUGCAUAUUUUGUGAAGAAUUAACACACUUUAAAAGCUGGCAUUUCAUACUUUUGGUGUAUCAGAAUGUGACAAGUCCUGAUAGUACGUUUUCUUCAUCUUUUACAGUGAGUAAAAGUAUGUCUAGAGACCAUAUUUGUAAGAUUUCCUACCCCUUUUUUAGUUUGGCAUUUGAUGGAGAGAAUUUAGAACUCUUAUUACUUUUCCUCUUCAAGUAAUCAUUUUUUGUUAUCUCUGUCGGCUUGUCAAUAUCACCUGAUACUGCGAAACUGCUUAAUCCAGUGGUUUGUUAAUUAGCCACCCAUGCUUUGGGUUCACAAACAAAUCAUAACAGUAAAGUCUAAAUGAUGAUCUUAUUGUUAAAGGCUUUUAUAUAAAAAUAGGUACCUAAUACAAGUGAAACAACGACUAACAUUAUUUGUACUAAUUCUAGAUUCGUGAGAUCUGCAUGCCCAUCAAACAUUCUACUUGGUACAUUUUAUGAAAUUUUCAUCAGUAUUGAGUAAAUUAGUCAUCCUCUUUCCAAAAUUUUAAAUUAAACUGCAAUAUCUAAUAUUAGGUCGUAUUAUAAAUUUUCUCCUUUCUAGUUCUCCUGUGCCGCCAUUGAAGUUCAACAAAAAUGUCAUACAGUUCUAACAAAGAGUUGCCAACAAUUGAACUUGGUACUGACUAUUGACUUGGUAAAACUUACUGUUAAACUAAGUAUUUGUACAAAAAUUUUUAUUUUCGUCUCUUGUUUCAAGCAAAGUAGGGAGAGAUGACCAAUCCAUAGCGCUCUUAUUCGAUAGAGGAGAACGAGAGACUUUUCUUUAAGUUGGACAGGUUUCAAGUGAACCAACUACUACUAGAAUAUUUGGGCACCAAAGAUAGGCUUAAUGCUCUCUCUGGUUGUAGAUCAAAAGAUCAAAUUUCUUGAUUUGCAUUCUUCUUUGUAGAAUUUCUUGAAAAUUUCAUCAGCCGAUACAUAAGUAUUUGUCUAAUCUCGUGGCAGUUCAGUCUCCUUUAAGUGCUUCAUUGAUCGUUUUGGGUCCAUCCCAUCGUCCUAAUGUAAAGUAGGAAUAGGUAUAGAAUAAGAUUUGUCCAGUCAACAAAAAAAAAAAAGGGACAGGUUUCAACUUAAAACCAAUGAGUCCAUUAGGCUACAAUAUUUGCAAAAAUAAAUAAAUAAACAUUGUUUAAUUUCAUAAAUAUAACUUUUAACCAUUUUUUUUAUCUUAUGUAUGUCAUACCAUUAAAAGUACUACAAUGCUAUAAUUCCAUUAGGCUACAAUAUUUGUAAAAAAAAAAAUUUUUUUUAUUUAACUUCAUAAAUAUAACUUUUAACCUUUUUUAUCUUACAUAUAUCAUACUAUUAAAAGUGCUACAAUGCUAUAAUUCGUUAUUGAUUCUUUGGACUACGAAAUUCUUUUCUCAUGUUUGCUCAGAAAUGAGAAAUGAGACAUUAGUCUUCAUUCUUCAGUUGAACUUAGAUGUUUUAGACUUUUAGUGAAGCAUUUCUUUCAGGUAAAAUAAAUUUCACUAAUGCAUUUAAAUAAUUAUAGAAAACUACUGUUCUCUUGAAUUUAGAUCAUAAAAUAUUUAAAGGUCAAUAUGGGACAUGAGACUUUAGUCAUUUGAACUUCAACGUUUUAAACUUUUAGUGAAGCAUUUCUUUCAAGUAAAAUAAAUUUCAGUAAAGCAUUCAAAUAAUUAUAGAAAACUAUUGUUCACUUGAAUUUGGAUCAUAAAAUAUUUAAAGGUCAAUAUGAGACAUGAGACUUUAGUCUUCAUUCUUUAGUUGAACUUAGAUGUUUUAGACUUUUAGUGAAGCAUUUCUUUCAGGUAAAAUAAAUUUCACUAAAGCAUUUAAUUAAUUAUAGAAAACUAUUGUUCUCCUGAAUUUUUUUUUCCGUAAUGGCACAUUUAGCUUAAUUUAACCUACUCCUACUUCUAGUCCUACUCUAGGAGGAAGGAGGAGUGGCCCAACAGAACUGAGAGAACCGACGGGGACUGAACUACCGUUGCACCAGAUGAGUGCACCACGCACCCGUCUAGAUUUAGAAGAAACUACAUAUAGUGGCACAUUGAUGAGAGGUAAAAUUUGAAUCUUUGAUCAUCCAAUGCACAAUUCAUGUGAUGGCCAACUCCUCUAGAGUAAGUUGGUAAUUGUUCUCUUGAAUUUGGAUCAUAAAAUAUUUAAAGGUUAAAUAUAUUGAUUCCUUUGUUGUCAAACCUCAAAGUAAUUAUCAAAGAAACUUUUGCAAUAAUAUCAUACCAAAAGAUUCAUAAUCCAUGCUAUAUUGCAUUUUGGAAAUGAUACCUUCCCAGUCCUACCAAAAUCACAAUACUAUAGUACAUAUAAUCAGUUAACUUGGUCUUCGUGAAGUACAUAUAGUCUGUGUUCGACCCAUUUCUUUGACAAAAAUAAAAAACAAAAAUGAUACUAGUAAAAGAAAUGACCAUAUGGUCAAAACAGUAAUAAUGCUAGAUUCAAACGUAUGAAAUCCUUCGUGGACUAAAUUGCAAAUACCCUUGUCCCUUGACAGACCGAUACUUCCUUAUUUACAAAGGAUUCAAUUCCGCAAUUACUUCAGCUGAAUUCGAGUAGCUUUAUGAAUUUUCAAAUCAAACUCAAGAAUAAUAAUUGUCUAUUCAAAAUCAAUGUUAUAAAACCUAGUCCAAAUUGGCUGGUCGGCCUUCUUUUUGGUAUUGGUUUGGUUAAAAAACCAAUUAGUAUCAAUUUAUAGUUAAACCAGUUGAACCGUCCAGUUGAGCCAGCCAAAGCAAGAACAAAGCGUAUAUUAUUGAAAUUUUCAUCAGUAUUGAGUAAAUUAGUCAUCCUCUUUCCAAAAUUUUAAAUUAGACUAUUGUAUUCAAUAUUGUGGUCGUAUUAUAAUUUUUCUCUUCUCUAAUUCUCCUAUGCUGCCAUUGAAGUUUAACAAAAAUGUCAUACAAUUCUAACAACUAGAGUUGUCAACAAUUGAACUUGGUACUGACUAGUGUUAUUUUUUUGGUCAAAGAUAACAGUAGCAUUAUUCUCAAAGAUAUGUGUAAAUUCCAUCUUAUCUUGCUAAUAUCAAGAGCCUAAUCUUCAAAAAAAAAAAACUUACUAAAGCCGUUAAAUUAAGUAUUUGUACUAAGAUUUUUAUUUUCCUCUUUCUUUCAAGUAAGGUGGGGAGAGAUGAGCAAUCCAUAGCAUUCUUCAAUUUUCGAUUUAGAAAAUAGGAGUGUUUUCGUUAAGGGUGUGUUUGAUAAAAUUGAAACUUGAAUGAAAUCUGAGGUCUAAAUUUAAAUCCAUUAAUUACUAAAUUGUUAAAUACUAAAUUUGAUACAUUUAAGUGUAUAUCACAUUAAGUGAUAUUCACUUAUCACUUAUUUUUUAGAACAAGUUUUGCAUAGGAAAUUCAUUGCCACUUAAUUAAUCCAUAUGUUUUAGUGUUAGUUAUCGGACGCAUCUGAACAUAAUAAGCUAUGAAUCCAUUAAAUUUAAGUGUUAAAUUGGGUUAUCAAACAGAAUCCAAGUUUAACAGAAUUUCAACUAAAAAUCAAUAGGUUCGUUGAGCUAACAUAAUUAGCUAAUAAUAAUUUCAGAUAUUGUUCUGAGAAAUGAGACAUGAGCCUGUAGUCUUCAUUCUCCAGUUGAACUUAGACGUUUUAGACUUUUAGUGGAGCACUUCUUUCCAGUAAAAAUAAAUUUCACUAAAGCAUUUAAAUAAUUAUAGAAAACUAUUGCUCUCUUGAAUUUGGAUCAUAAAAUAUUUAGCGGUCAAACAUAUUGAUUCCUAUGUUGUUGAACCUCUCAGUAAUUAUCGAAGAACCUUUUGCAAUGAUAUCCUGGCAAGAGAUUCAUAAUCCAUGCUAUAUUGCAUGUUGAAAAUCAUACAAAAAAACCUUGCCCAAUCCUACAAAAAUCACAAUACUGUAGUACAUAUAAUCAGUUAACUUCUGGUGUUCGUGGAGUACAACUGUUUGACCCAUUUCUUUAGCCCAAGAUAAAAUUUAUAAGUAGCGAAAGAAAUGACCAUAUGAACAAAACAUUAGGGAAAAAUACACUUUACCCUCAUGUAAUUUAGCACUUUUUCGCAUAAUCUCCCAUAUAGUUUUAAAAGCUAUACAUAACACCUCAUGAUUUGGAUUAAAGUACCAAAAUGACGGAAUUUGUAUUCUAUAAUGGAGUCAACUAAAAUAUCAACAGUACCCCUAUGUAAAGUUGAAAAUUAUUUAUUCACCACGAGAGUUUAUAUAUAUAUUUUAAAAAUCAUAAAGGGAUUAUAUGGUAAAUCACUAAAUCAUAAAGGAGUUAUAUGAUAAACCAUAAAAUCAUACGAGGUUAAAGUAUCAUACAUAUUAUGUUUAUAUAUUUUGGUCACUUCAACCAAUUUAGUUUUUAAACAAGAGUAAUUUCAACAUUUUCAUGGAUUCCAUUACAAAUGAUCAUUUCUGUUACUUUAACACUUUAAUUUAAACUAUGAGAGAGUAAUAUAUAACUUUUGAAACUAUAAAGGGAUUAUAUAAAAUAUUACUAAAUCACAAGGGGUAAGUGCGUUUUACCCAAAACAUUAAUACUAGAUUCAAACUAAUGAAAUCCUCCAUGGAUUGAAAUUGCAAAAACCCUUUUCCCUUGGCAAGCCGGGACUUUCUCAUUUACAAAGGAUUCAAUUCCACAAUUGCUUAACUCAGAGCUGAAAUCGUGUUGCUCCAUGAACUUUCAAAUCAAACUCGAGAACGAUACCGCCUACUCAAAACCAUUAAAACUAUGUUGAACUGAGUUUGAGGCAAGGACUGUUGCAGGAGGCAACUCUCCAGAAUGCUUGACCGUCAUGAUUUGGUUAAAAAAAAUGUUAGGAUCAAAUAACAUCUUGUAAAUCAAUUUUAACACCAUAUAUGAGAUCCACAAAAUUUUAUUCUAUGUUUAUAAGUUGUUGAAAAUAAGUUACAUUCUAAAUAAAAUGAGUUACAUCCUGUGCAAAUGAAACAAAAUUGAUCCAAAUAAUUUUUCUGACACCCUUUUGGACCCCUGGUCCAUGGUGAACUUAUUACAAUACAUAGAGACCUUCUCUUAUAGACUAUAUAUCAGUGUACACCAUUACACUAAUAAUUGAGUCUUGCUUGUGAGGCUAGCAACAGUGGUCCACAAUAGACCUUUCAUAAGACAUACUUGGUUUCUAAAAUAUCCUUCGCAUUUCGUUAAAUAAAGUAUUUCAUCAUUCACUUUUAAAAUGAUAAUUUUACAUUUUAUUCAAAAUCAAAUCAGUAAAAUUUGGUUCCAAUCUAGAUUUUUUACUACCUUUUAUCCUAAAUCCAUCAUGUGACCCAUAUGUAGAGCUGACCAAAAAACUCAAAACCCAACAACCCAUCCAACUUGCCCAUUAAUUUUAAAGGAUGGAUUGGGUCGACUGGGUCAUGGGUUUUAUUGGUUUGGGUAAGAACCAUCCAACUUUUUUUUUGGUAAGCCGAAACAUGCCCCGACCUGAGCCCUUUGGACCCGAGCCGGCACACCAAACCGGAGGGAAGCCGACAGCCCCAUACAGCUUUCCCGAGCGAGUCAAGAUGUGCGACGCAGCGGGCACGAUUCGAACCCUGGUCAGUAGGGAAGCCAGCAAUACAAGGCCGACCCCUCAACCGCUGUGCGAUAUGCCCUGGGGGCAACCACCCAACUUUUAUUUGGGCACCCAACCCAACUUGUUUAAAAGUAAUUUAAAAUAAUAAAUACAAGAUUCAAUACACAUAUGCCCAACUACUUGCAUUUGGACAUGUGUUAAUAAUUCAUUGACCAGUUUGUAUUCAAAAUUCUCAUAUAUAUGUUUUCAAUCAAUUUUUUUAAUUUUAUUUGAAAGAAAAAAAAAACUUGAAAUUAAAACUCAUGCUUGUUUUACUUUUAUAAUAGUAGUUAAACUUGCUCAACUUCUACAAUAAUUUAUUAUGCCUUUUAAGAGUGUGUUGUUUUCCUCCCCCUUUUUCCCUUUUUUUUGUGGUUGUUCUCAAGUUGCUACUUGCUUUUGUUUGUCAAUAUUUCAUGUACAUAGAAUAGAGUUUUAAAUUUGUUCUAAUUGCAUUCUUUUUUAAUAUUUUGUGAUUGCUUUUGUUUGUUAAAAUUUUGUGUACGUAUAAUACUAUACAAAUUUCUUUUUUAACCUUUUUAGCAUUAUAUAAUUUUGGAUUCUUCAAAUUUACAAACAAAAGCUUACUUUGUAUCAGCCUAAUAUUCUGCUAAUUCAAAAUCAUGCGAUCCCAAUGUGGUAAAAAUGUCACAACAGUUCAUGAAUUCUUCUCUCAUUUAUUUCUUAAAAAGUUUGGGAUUUUCCUUAAUAAUUUUUUCGGGGAUCAAUACCAAUACCUUUUAUAAGCAUAUAAUAUUUUCUGCUUUAUGUCAGAGCCGUGGUAAUUCUAAAAGAUUAAUAUGACCAUAGCAUCAAGUAUGAUCCUAAAUGGUUCUAAUUAAUUAGGUGAUGAAUUAUCUAAUUGUAUCAAAUCAAUGAAAAAAUACCUUCUAUAUAGAUCAUGAUAUUAACUUCGAAUCAAUAUAGUUGACUUGCAAAUUCUAUUUUGUUUUGAUUAACUAUGGCUAGUCCAACGAUUGAUUUCAUUUCGUCUGAAGCAAAUACCUCCAAUAUUCUUCAAUUUCAUGAGAAGCUUCAUUUCGUACCUAGGAUUUAUUAAAUGGAUCUAAAUGGAUCGGAUAAAUUUCAUCCACCAUCCAUUAAGUCAAAACCAAUUAUGAAUCAUUUAUCCAUAUUACCACCUCUACUUAUAUUCUUUUCAAGUGGUUUACUUGAAUUUGUUUAGUAAGAUUGAAUCCAGAUAGAGGAUGAACUACAUUCAACACAGGAUAUGGUAUUAAUGAGUCAGUCGGUGGCGUUGAAUUAGAGUAAACUAAAAUUAAGAAAAGACUUCACUUAAAAAGUAUCAAUAGACUUUGUUUUGGCAAACCUUAGGAGAGAUAAAUGUAGUUGAUCGAACAUGAUUAGAAUAAUAUACCAUCCAAAUCUAUUUUCAGUUGAGGAACCACAUAUGUUACAUUUAUGCAUUCAAAUCUACCAAUUGUGAUGCUUUAACAGCACCUUCUUGAUUAUGUAAAUAUUUUUCUAAUUUUUUUUAUGCUUUGAGGGAUAAUUUCUAAAAUUUAGUUUUUUUAAGAGUAAAAUGUCCUUUUUUUUUUAAAUAUAAAUUCUAGCCAUAUAUAGAUAUGUGAGUUUGCUUUAGUAAUAUAGCGAUUUAGAUUUCUUUCGUUAGAAUACAUUGACAAUGAAUUUCAAUGAUUUUCUUAUAAUCCCAUUCAUGAAUAGACUUCUAAUUAUUCCUUGGGCUAUUUACAUAAUACUAACAUUGAGUGAUUCUUGCAAUAUUGCUCAUAAGAGGGACAAAGUCAAUAUGACUCUCUACCUUGAAAGUUAAUUUGUUUGAACUUCAAGUUAAUAUUGUAAGCAAAGGAUAAAAUUAGCGUGAAAAGUAUAUUAGUCUGUAUUUGAGGCUUACAAUGUUUUAGCAAAUGCUUGGUAAUCCCCUUACUAAUCAAAUUCGAUGAUAAAUUACUAAUUGAUUUUCUAGAUAAAGUCACCAUAUCCUUUACUUAAGCAUUAAGAGAUGAGGCAAUCCUAUCAAUGGAGAAGACCUUAGAAUAGUUGGUGAGGUGGUAAGGAGCUUUUCCUAAUUUUUCCUUAAUAAGAUUUUUAUUCCUAUCUUUUCUCAAAAUAAAUUUUUUAGCUUUAGUAGCCUGGCUAUUUGAAACAUUUGCAAGUGAAGCUCCAUGAAAACUGCGUUAGAGUUUGCUUAUUCGAGAUAAGGCAAGUGAAAAUGCCAAGCAACUUCCAGUGCAAAAGCAUUCAACUAUGCCAACGAAGCAUUGCACUUCUACACGGAUUGAGGGCUCACAAUUGGUCACACCAUUAUCCUUUUUUUGUCAUGAGAACAUAAUACUAGAAAUAUGCAUAUGAAAUAUUUCACUUAUUAUGGCAAUUAUACACCUUCAAUGCAACGCAUGUAGAAUUUAAACAUUAGUUUAUGUUGUAAUGAAUAUGUAAAUAAGAGUUACAUUAUGGCUAAUCUUUGCCAUAGAGCAUCUCAAGCAAACAGGCCUAAUAAUUGUUAAGGCACUUUUUAUCUAUUCAAUGAGAUUGAAACAAAUGCACCGUUCAAGUUAUUCUUUGUCAAAAGUCGUCAGUCAAGCACUUCAGCAAAAAACAAGAGAGGUGUAAUUGUUCACGCCCCGUUCUUGAUAAGAUGGAAGCAAAUGCAUCAUUCAAAGUUAUUCUUGUCCAAAAUGCAUUCAUCAUUUUUAAAAGGCUCCAUGAAAGUGAGCUCAACGUUCUUGGUCGUGUGUAAGUUUAAAAGUACUUCAUAUGUCAAGAUACUAUUGAUUCUUAUUUUCUCUUUAAAAAAUAAAAGUUCAAGUAAUUUGACAUCACAAGCCCGAUUACUGAGACACAAAGGCAAGUAUAAGUGUUUUACAUGUUUUUCAAAUUAAGAAUAUGUUAUACAUCCCCCAACAAAUCUUAAAAGAAAAAAAAACUUCCUUUCUUGCUUGAAAAAUUGCAUUGUAACGCGUUCUAUUGUUGGGCCAAUUAAGCCUCAUGAACGAGAUACGGAGGUCAUUGUCUACGAGUAAAUUUCCAAAUUCGGCUGCCUUUUGAAGCUAGUUUGUAAAACGUAAAAGUUUUUAAACAAAGAACGCAUUUACUAUAUCCAUUGUUUAAAAAUUUAGAAAAAAAAAUAUAGUUUUACUCCUUAUUGUUUAGUCUCUGUACAGUUUUUGAUCUUAAAGUUUUAGCAAAAGUAAAUCUAGUCGUUAAUGUAUAGUAUAUGUACAGUUUUAGCCCUCCGGGGAUUGGUCUGGUGGUUGAGGUUGCUGAAGAUGGAGACUUAGGUCCCUGGUUCGAACCUUGCUGCCAGCAAGUUGUGGAGGGUAGGGAAUAGUCUGCGGGACUCACUCCCUCUGGGACACCCCUAAAAAAAAAGUAUAGUAUAUGUACAAUUUUAGUCUCUAAAGUUUUGGCAAGAGCAAUCCGAUUUUCAAUGUCACCAAUUUGAAGCAUUUUAAGGACCAUUGCUAAAUUUUUCUAAAUAUUAAUCAAAUCAGUCACGUGCAAUCACAUGUUUGUUAAAAAAAAACCUUCUUAAAAGAGAAUCAAAAUAAUGAGUAAUCUUUAACAAUAAGAAUAACUUGCAUGCUAACACAUUAGUAACAAAUUACUCAAGAAAAAAAGAAAGAAAAUUUGUUAAUCUAUACUAAAAAUUAGGAAUCACAUUUUUUUUACUUGGAGACACUAGAGAUAGUUAGUGAACAUGAAUUCUAGAUCAAUGAACUUGGUAUAUUGAAGUUUGAGUUUAAAAAUUUUCCUUCUUUUUAUUGGUUAAAUAGUUAACAAAUAAGUUAUUAGUUCUUAAUUUUAUUGUUUAAAGUUAGCUACUAUUUUUCUUCUUUAUUUUGAAAUUUAAUUUAAUAGGCAAUUGAUCAGACAUGACUAAAUUUUGUUAGUAAUUGAGAUAAAAUUCUUCAAAUGUCCUAAAUCAGCUUUAAAUUGAAUAUAAAGGGGACCAGAUUUGCUCUUGCUAUAACUUUAUGGACUUAAACUACACAUGUACUAAAUAUUGAGGAUCAUGAUUGUUUUUGUUAAAACUAUAAGGACUAAAACUGCAUAUGGACUAAACAUUAAGAAUUAAAACUACAUUUUCUAUUUAUGCCUACAAAGAAUGAAAAGUGGCAUUCAGCAAAUGCAACUUUUUAAUAAUUAGGAUUGGUUCAAUGGUUAAGAAAGGACUCUUAAAAUUUUCCUCGCUGUCAAAUUUAGGAUUUGAAUCCUGUGCCGAAUAAUUUAGAGUAGGAAGUGUGUGGGAAUGAGUGGAAGGAUUAAAAGAAAGGGCAAGCAUUCAGAUCUUUUCAGAUUAAAGGGCUCCAGCAUUUACUCGAUAAAGAUGAAGGCCCCAGCAACAAAGAAUGAUUAAGAAAACUCAGGUGAAAAUGCCAAUCAACUUCCAAUGCAGAAGCAUCCAAUUCCAAGGUCGCCGACAAAGCAUUGCAAUUCUACACGACCGGAGGACUCUCAUUUGGUCACAUCAUGAAAUUUUUUUUUUCUCCUUGUGAAUAGAACAUAAUACCAGAAGUUGAGAUGGAGCCUAGAUUUGCUAAGAUAUAUGCAAUAUGAAAUAUCUCCUUCAUUGUGGUAAUUGUACACCUUCAAUGCAAUGACUGUACAAUUUAAACACGAGUUUGUGUUGUAAUGAAUAUGCCAAAAAAAAAAAAAGUUACGUUAUGGUUAAAAAUUUUUGCCAUAAAUUGUCUCAAGCAAUUACGCCCAAUAAUUGUUAAGGCACUUUUUUUAUCUAUUCAAUGAGAUUGACAGAAAUGCACCGUUUAAGAUAUUCUCUGUCAAAAUUCAUUGGCCAAACAUUUUAGCAAAAACAAGAAAUUUGGAUGUCUUGAGGCUGUUUUUUUUUUUUUUUAUAACAUUGAAGCAAAUGCAUCAUUGUUAUUCUUUGCCAAAUUUCGUCCAUCAAUUUUUUUUUUCUCUAUUAAAAGAUAGUGUGACAAUGGCACAUCAAUCUCCCCUCAAAGUGAACCCCAUAUCCUUGGUGGUGUAAAACAAGUGGUUGAACUUUAGGGAUUAUUUGGCAAGCAAGUUUUUGGUCCAAUUUGUCUAUUAUAAAUUUUUUUAACAACUUUAGCUACAGUAAUCUCAAAAAAUUUUUCAAAAUUUUUAAACUAUACACUUCAAAAUAUCCAAAAAUUUACACACUUUAAAAAUUUUUUCUACAACUUCUACAAUAAGUUACAGUAAAGUUUUAGACAAAUACCUAAAAAACUUUACUUGACAAAUGGGUCUUAAUUUUCAAAACCAAUACAACAUGAACCACACAAGUACACUGUGUACUUUUACUAUUGACAUGAGUAUCAAGGUUGGUUAUUGUAACAUCUGAUAUAUGUAUAUAUGUGUGUGUAUAUAUAAAGUUGCAUUUAAUAAAACUGAUGUUUGAAAACUGAAAACUGCAAUUUGAAAUUUGAAAUCUAAAGUUUGAAUCUAUUAAAUAAAACACGUUUAAGUGUAUAUCACAUUCAGUGAUAAGUGAAUAACUUAUCACUUAUUUUUGGGAGCAAGUUUUGCUAGGAAAUUUAGCACCAUUUAAAUAAUUCAGAUAUUCAAUUUUUGAUUAUCAAACGCGUUUGAAUAUAUUAAAAUCUAAAUUCAUUAAAUUUAAGUGCAAAAUUGGAUUAUUAAACAAGGCUUAAGUAUGUGUGUGUAAUGCUACAUAAACGAGGAAACUUUUGAUCAAGUGAUUAAUGUUGAAAAGUCAAAAAUUAGAGAUUCAAGGUUCAAUUCUCCUCUUUGCUCGCUCCACUUCUUAAAUCUCCUUUUUCCUAACUACAAUUCUUAAAUCCUAGAAAGCCUUUCUUUGGUGGUUAAUGUUGAAACUUAUUAAAUCUUCUCUUCCCUUACCUUACCCCACUUGUUAAAUCCUAUGAAGUUUUGGCAUAGUAGUUAAGUUUGAUAAAUAAUUUAGGGAAAAUUGCAGAAACCUCCCCUAAAAUUUUUGACGAUAGCACUCAUCUUCCCUCUGGUUUAAGAAAUUGCAUUGACCACCCUUGAAAUUAAGGAAUCUAUUGCAUAUUCGGUCCAACCUAGAAAGAGUCCCAUUAAAAAUUGUUUCACUAAGUUGGAAUUAUUUUGCUAAACUAGCUGGAUUCGGCCAUUAUUGUAGAAGCAGAUGAAACGUUACUGGCUCACUCUUGUUUCGACUUUUGCAAGAGCAUAUAGCUUUGAUUGUUACGUUCUUUUGACAUGGACAAUUUCUGCAAAUUCCAUUGCCUUUUGCUGCCAUUGUUUUCCUCUUUUGCUGUUUAUGCUCUGUGCUUCUACCCUUUAUCUUUGGUUCAUCUAGUAAUUUUUUAAAACACUCUUCUUUCCAUCACUAAUUGCGCGCAGAGUUUUUUGCUCAUUGUCAAAAACUUUAGUGAAAUGUCAAUAUCAACAUUGUAAACAGAGUGCCUCGUAGGCUAUCUUGGAACAUAUAAGUAGCAGUAGUUUCUGAACUGAGUGGAAAAUUGCUCCCUUAAAGAGUGAAAAGUCUAAACAAGAAUCAAUAAGAUUCUGAAACCUAGAGUGCACUCAAAGGGACAAGGUGUAAAACCCAAACAACACAGCAUAUGUUUAAAUUUGAUAAUCUCUCUAUCUAUCCAUCUAUUAUAUCUAUAUCUGUAUCUAUAUCUAUCUAUCUAUCUAUAUCUAUACUCUAUAUAAAAGUAUAUUGAAGAUUAUAUUAGGUAUAUGUCUAUCUGGGUACCUUUGGUUACUCUCUGUACCCGUUUUCCUCGGUAAUAUCUUUAGGAGUAGUUGAGGUAUGUUAGACCUCUGUCAUUGAGGUGUGAUAGAACUCUGUUUUUCAAUUGGGAUGUAAUAGGACUCUGGUCUCGGUACCUGUAUAUAUGGAAGGCACGGAAGCAAUAGAAAGGGAACUUUUCCCUCACAGAAUUUCUUUCAUGGUAUCAGAGCUAUGGAUGACGAAGGGAAAAGCAAGAAUGUUGGGAAGAAAUCUGUUUCACCAUACAUCUUGACUUCGAAUGACAAUCCUGGAACCAUUAUUACCCAGGUACAAUUGAAAGGUGACAAUUAUGAUGAAUGGGCUCGAGCUGUGCGCACAGCGUUGAGAGCCAAGAAGAAGAUGGGAUUUGUUGAUGGAACGGUGACGCAUCCGGAUGACGAUUCCGUCGAUCUAGAGGAUUGGUGGACCGUGAAUUCGAUGGUAGUGUCAUGGAUUCUCAACACGAUAGAGCCAGCUUUGCGUUCCACCAUAACUCAUGUGGAAAUUGCAAAGGACCUUUGGGAAGACAUCCAAGAAAGGUUCUCUGUCGCUAACGGGCCUCGGGUACAACAAAUCAAAGGAGAGAUUGCAGAAUGGAAACAACGGGGACUUCCAAUUGUGACCUACUAUGGGAAAUUGAAGCAAUUGUGGGAGGAACUAGCAAACUAUGAACAAAUUCCGACAUGCCAAUGUGGAAGGUGCGUAUGCAAUCUUUCAGUCCAACUUGACAAGAAACGUGAGGAAGAGAAACUUCAUCAGUUCUUGUUGGGUUUGGAUGACAUGGCAUAUGGAACAAUUCGUUCAAACAUUCUUGGUACAGAACCACUACCCAGUGUGGGUAAGGCAUACUCCUUGAUAUGCCAAGAGGAGCGCGUCCGAAGCAUGUCUAGAGGAAAGGAGGGACGUGGAGAUCCCGUGAGUUUUGCCGUUCAGGCCAACGCAGGAGGUAGGAAACUUGGGACUGAAAUAAAGGACAGGUCUGCGCUGUGUUCAUAUUGCAAUCGCAGCGGGCAUGAUGCUGGAAACUGUUUUCAGCUUAUUGGAUAUCCUGAAUGGUGGGGUGAUCGGCCCAAAGGAAAUGGACGCGGUUCAGGACGUGGACGCGGAAACCAGAAUUCAGGACGUGGACGUGGGGGUGCACAUCGGGCUAACUCUGUUCAGACGAUUGGUCAGUCCUCCUCGUCAACAGUAACCGCAGAAAGGGAGCAUACAGCACAAGGAUUGUUGAAUGGUGAACAGUGGGCAGCUUUCCUGAGUCUGCUGAAUUCUUGCAAGCCUGGUGCCAAUGAAAAGCUAUCGGGUAAGCAUUAUUUGAACUGGAUAAUUGACUCGGGUGCGUCUCACCAUAUGACUGGACGCUUAGAAUGUCUAUCUGAAUUGAAGAAUUUGACGGGGUGUGCAGUAGGAUUGCCUGAUGGCAACCAAACCAUAGCAGUGAAAGAAGGGUCAGCUCGUUUGGGGAAACAUAUGAAGUCGAAGAAAGUGCUAUAUGUCCCCAAUUUGAACUGCAAUUUAAUUUCAGUAUCACAAUUGCUUGACGAAUUAAAUUGCAAUGUUUUAUUUACUAAAAAAUUAUGUGUUAUACAGGACCGCACUUCGAGGAUGGUGAUUGGAGCGGGUGAACGACGCGAAGGGCUUUACUACCUCAAGUCCAUGGGAGAAAUCAAAGCGUGCAAUACCAAAUGUCUGGAUAUCAGUGGGCUAUGGCAUAGAAGAAUGGGACACCCAUCUGCAAAAAUAGUAGGAUUACUUCCUGAUGUGAGUUCUAGCAGUAACAAUUAUGAUAAGGGAAAACCUUGUGACAUUUGUUUAAGAGCCAAGCAGACUAGAGAAGUAUUUUUUCCUAGUGAUAAUAAAGCAAAUGCAAUUUUUGAGAUGAUACAUUGUGACAUAUGGGGACCCUAUCGAACUACUGCUUCGUGUGGUGCCUCAUAUUUUUUAACUAUUGUGGAUGAUUUUUCAAGAGCUGUGUGGAUAUAUAUGUUGGUUGUUAAGUCCGAAGUAGAACGUGUGCUUCGUAAUUUCUUUGCCAUGGUCAAACGACAAUAUAACAAGAAUGUGAAAAUUGUUAGAAGUGACAAUGGCAUGGAAUUCACUUGCUUGGAUGGUUACUUUGCUGAAAAUGGAAUGAUACACCAUACAUCAUGCGUAAGAACACCCCAGCAGAAUGGGCGGGUUGAAAGAAAACAUCGCCAUAUUUUGAACGUGGCUAGGGCAUUACGUUUUCAGGCGAAUCUCCCUAUUGAAUUUUGGGGAGAAUGUGUGCUGACUGCUGGAUACUUGAUUAAUCGGACUCCAUCCAAACUUUUGGGGAAUAAGACGCCGUAUGAAUGUUUGUUUGGAGAGCCACCCAGUUACAAACAUAUUCGUGUAUUCGGAUGUUUGUGUUAUGCUAGGGAUAUGAAUAGAGAAAGAGAUAAGUUUGCCACUAGGAGUCGGCGUUGUUUAUUUGUGGGGUAUCCCUUUGGUAAGAAGGGAUGGCGGUUGUAUGACCUUGAAAAUGGUGACUAUUUUGUAUCACGAGAUGUGGUGUUUUCAGAAGAUGAGUUUCCGUAUGCGAAAGUAAGUGCACCUAAUACGACUAAAGAUGUCCUGGGGACAAGUUCACUUGAGCCAUUCGACCUUGUGGAAGACGAAGUGGAUGAUGCAAGGGAAGAUGAUCUGCUUACAGAGGUUGCGAGUAUACUACCGGAGAUCACGGAUCGGGUUCACAAUGAUGAGAAUAACGAAGACAGGGGGGGCACCACAGGUGCAGAAGCUGGAUUGGUUGCUGAGCAACUUGGGCGUGGUCAACGAAUAAAGCACCCAUCUAGUCGCUUAAAUGAUUAUGUGACGUACACAGCUCAAUGCAUAAGCCCUUCAGCGUGUUCACCCAAACCAAUCUCAUCCUCAGGUACUCCUUAUCCUAUAGCGCAUUAUGUAACAUGUGAUAAUUUUUCUGUGCAUCAUCGGUCUUUCUUGGCAGCUGUGACAACCGGUAGGGAGCCAAAAUUUUAUAGUGAGGCAGUGAAGGACUCUCGGUGGCGCCAGGCCAUGAAGAAUGAAAUCGAUGCACUUGAGACUAAUGGAACAUGGACGGUGGAAGAUCUACCACCGGGAAAGAAAGCCAUAGGCAGCAAAUGGGUAUACAAAAUCAAGUAUAACUCAGAUGGAACUGUCGAGCGGUAUAAGGCGCGUCUGGUGAUUCUUGGCAAUAAUCAGGUUGAGGGAAUUGACUAUCAUGAAACAUUCUCUCCUGUUGUGAAAAUGGUGACUAUACGCACGUUCUUGGCUGUGGCGGCAGCAAAGGAAUGGGAACUUCACCAGAUGGAUGUUCACAAUGCAUUCUUGCAUGGUGAUUUGAAAGAGGAAGUGUACAUGAAGAUGCCUCCGGGUUUUACAACUCCACAAUUUGGAAAGGUGUGUAGACUACGAAAGUCUCUUUAUGGAUUGCGACAGGCUCCACGUUGUUGGUUUGCUAAACUCACAAAUGCCUUACGGCAGUACGGUUUUUCUCAAUCUCAUUCUGAUUAUUCAUUGUUUACUCUGAGUCAGAAUACCAUUCAAAUGAGUAUACUUGUAUAUGUUGAUGACCUUGUAAUUGGGGGCAAUAAUAGUGCUGCAAUUCAACAAUUCAAGGAAUAUUUGUGUCAAUGCUUCCAUAUGAAAGACUUAGGAAUAUUAAAAUAUUUCUUAGGAUUGGAAGUUGCUAGAAAUAAGGCUGGAAUUUUUCUCUGUCAACGAAAGUAUGCACUGGAUAUUAUUGCUGAUGCCGGGUUAUUGGGUGCUCGGCCAACAGGAAUUCCGAUGGAGCAACAUCAUCGGUUGGCAAUGGCAGACAGCAUGCCUUUGGUAGAGCCAGAAAAGUAUAGGCGGUUAGUAGGCCGGUUAAUUUAUUUGACACUAACACGCCCUGAGCUGUCUUAUGGUGUCCAUGUUCUAGCUCAGUUUAUGCAGAAACCCAAAGAGGAGCAUUGGGAGGCAGCCUUGCGGAUGGUUCGCUAUUUGAAGGGCAGCCCUGGUCAAGGCAUACUCCUUCGAUCGGACUGCAAUUUGCAACUGCAAGCAUAUUGUGAUUCGGACUGGGCAAGCUGUCCUCUGACACGUCGCUCUCUCACUGGAUACCUUGUUUUUUUGGGCAACUCUCCUAUAUCUUGGAAAACUAAGAAGCAACAUACAGUGUCCAGGUCAUCUGCUGAAGCAGAGUAUCGCUCUAUGGCUGUGACCAUCUGUGAGCUGCGAUGGUUGAAGGGUCUGCUAGCUUCCCUUGGGGUGUUACAUUCUGGUCUUAUGCAUCUUUACUGUGAUAGUCAAGCAGCCAUGCAUAUAGCGGCUAAUCCUGUGUUUCAUGAGCGAACAAAACAUAUCGAGGUGGAUUGCCAUUUUGUGCGUGAUGAAGUUCAGAGUGGAAAUGUUACUACCACUUAUGUGCGUAGUUCUGAGCAGUUAGCCGAUAUUUUUACCAAGGCGCUUGGGCGACAACAAUUCGAGUAUCUUCUUCGCAAGUUGGGCGUUUGUGAUCUGCACGCACCAACUUGAGGGGGGUAUUGAAGAUUAUAUUAGGUAUAUGUCUAUCUGGGUACCUUUGGUUACUCUCUGUACCCGUUUUCCUCGGUAAUAUCUUUAGGAGUAGUUGAGGUAUGUUAGACCUCUGUCAUUGAGGUGUGAUAGAACUCUGUUUUUCAAUUGGGAUGUAAUAGGACUCUGGUCUCGGUACCUGUAUAUAUGGAAGGCACGGAAGCAAUAGAAAGGGAACUUUUCCCUCACAGAAUUUCUUUCAAAGUACAAUGCGUCUUGGUAUUUUGGAGUGUGGGUGCAAGCAUUGUCAUCAUCUUAUUUUGUGUUAUUUGAAUUAUGCCCUUCUUAAUUUGUGGUAAAAGUUUCAUAUAAUCUUCAGUAUGGGUCAAAGUUUCAUUACGAAUUUCUAAUGAUCAAAAUUCAUUGUAUCAUAUGUAUUGGUUUAGAAGAAAAUAAUUGUUAAUUAUUAUGGUCACUAUAUUGCAUCACGCCAUAUUGAUUCAGAUUGAUUUAGAAAGAAAAAUCUCCUUAAAGUUAUAAAUAUUGAAAUGAUUUGCAAAAUAUUAGUCAAAUGAAUUAUAUGAGUUGUACACAUCCAAUUCAAAAGGGGAAGAACUUUUUCUGUUGCACACAAUGGACUUUCAAUAUACAAAAAAUUAAGACACCUUCAUAUAACUGAAAUAACAAUAUUAAAUUGAAAAAAAAAAGAAAUCUGAAAUAGUCCAUACAAUCCAUCAUUAUUAGUAAUAUCAACCCUUCAACUAUUCAUAAAGUGAAUAGAAAUGAAUCAAAAAGCUGAAAAUGCAAUUCAAAUAAUACCAAAAACAACUUCCAAAUCACUCAAAUUCUAAUUCAGGCCACUCAAAUGCAAGGGAAGACAAAAAUUUGUUAUUGGUAGCCAUGAAGUAGUGCUUCGUUUGUAUUGUUUCGAGCAAAUCAAGUUAAUCCAGCAAGCCAUGUAGAAGCUAUCUCCAAUGGGCGAGUUAAAGGAGAAGAAGCAAAGGUUAGCAUGUAUUAUACUCUAAUUUGUUAACCACCUAUCCUUUCUAGUGUCUAGAAACCAAUAAUUGCACUCGAAGAAAAGGUAGAUCUGUAGUGUUGGUUGGUCUAAUAUUUUUAGCUCUUUGUGGCUAUAUAAAUAGUAUUCAAAUACACUGGAAAAUUGAAAAUUCAAAAGGACCCAAAUCAAAAUACUAAUUACUAAACACACAAAAAGCACUCUUUUGACUGUUUAAAACUUGAGUUUCUAGACUACCAAGUGCUUAAAAACUUUGACAAUUUCCCAAUUAGCACGAAGCAUACCGAGUAAGUUGCUUUUCUUUCUCUUCAAAUUAAUUUUUGGGUUAAUUACAUUUACCUCCCCUGAGGUUUGACCAUAUUACCAAUCAAUCCCUGUAAUUUGUUCAUAUAACGGUCUCACCCUUUGAAUGAUCAAACAUUUAACAAAAACCCCCUUAAUGCCGAAAAUGCCCUUUUUGAGGCCAUAUUGCAUUAAAAAAGGAAAAUAUUUUUAUUUAUUAACAUUCAAGUAAUCCAAAAAAAAUAGAAAAACGUUUUUGCUGAUUAUUUUAUAAAAAUCAUAUCUUUGCUUCCAUAAAUAGUUUUGAAUCAAUAAUUACUUUAAAUCUUAAAAAUGAAUAUUAAAAAUUAGAUAAAUUGAAAGAAAAAUAAAAAAGAAGCAAUUAUUUUAAAUCCUCAAGUAUGGUUCGAAUUUGUGGUUCAAGACAUGUUGUGGAGAGCACAAGGCAUGUUUUCCUCAAUUUGAACCAUACUCCAGGAAUUAAAAUAAUUUCUUCUUUUUUUAUUUUUCUUUCAAUUUAUCUAAUUUUUAAUAUUCAUUUUUAAGAUUUCAAAUAAUUAUUGAUUCAAAACUAUUUAUGGAAGCAAAGAUAUGGUUUUUAUAAAAUAAUAAGCAAAAACUUUUUUCUAUUUUUUUGGAUUGCUUUAGGGUUAAUAAAAUAAAAAUAUGUUCUUUUUUAAUGCAACAUGGCCUCAAUAAGGGCAUUUUCGGUAUUAAGGGGGUUUUUGUUAAAUAUUUGAUCAUUCAAAGGGUGAGACCGUUAUUUGGACAAAUUAUAGGGACUGUUUGGUAAUAUGGUCAAACCUCAGGGGAGGUAAAUGUAAUUAACCCUUAAUUUUUUUAAAAUUUUCUACUCUAUUCCAGCAAACUUAUCUUAGUCUACCAAGUCUAGUGAUUUUGUUUCUCAAUUAGUCUAAUGUAACCAAGAAGUUGCUUGAUGAAAUGAUAAUGACUUGAUCCCUUCACACACUUUUUUUUUCCUAAUCCCUUCUCAUUUUUCUGUUACUUGCCCUAAUAAUUUGCGUAAUAAAGAUUUUUUAUAUUUUAAACGAUAAGUUAACAAUAAGAAAAAAAAGGGCAUAUUAAGAAGAUGCAUCUUCAGGAACUAGCCACCAGGCAUCCAAUUAAUUGACCUACAGAGAUGAACAAGCAUAAAUUGAUUAAUUACACUUUUACAUGUUUUCCAGACCAGGCAACAUCUAAAACAUGUGUGCCUUUCAUUUCUUUAUUUCUUAAUUACACGAGAAGAUGCUUCAAGCAAAGAAGAAGCAAUAUUUAUUUAUUUUUGAAUGGCAAACGGGCUCCAGCAUUAAUCCAAGAAAGUUAAGAGUGAAAAUUUUGAAAAAAAAAACAAAUAAAAAUGCUAAACACAUGAAAAUCACUCUGAUGACUAUUUGGAAUUUUUGCUUUUUGAAACUACCAAGCAGGCAAGCACUGAAAACAUUGACAAUUUCCCAUUUGCCCGAACAAGAUUCAGUAUUUUCUUUUCUUUCUCUUUAAAUUAAUUUUGUUAACUUUUUCUUCUCCAUUCCAACGAUAUCAUCUUACACCAUUAGACUUGUUGAACCGAAUUUUAUGAUUCUGAUACUAUCAACAUGCAGGGUUGUAGGAUUGAACGGAUCAAGUAAUCACUCAAUAUACAUAUACAUAUAUAUAUAUAUAUAUAUAUAUAUAUAUAUAUAUAUAUAUAUAUAUAUAUAUGAGUGUGUGUGUGUGUUUGUGGGAGAUAAUAAACAAAUAAAUAGAGUAAUCUUAUUGCAAAUAUAUUAGCAAGUUGAUUAAUUAAAUUAACAUAGAUAGAUAAAAUAGGGCAAUCUAAUUAGUUAAACUUCUAUUUAUUUUAUUGAUCGAUACCUAAAACAGUUCAGACCUAAUACACACUAUAUAGUUGACAGGGGUUAAACCUGUACAAUAAUAAAUACCUACUCGAGAAAAAUACAGAUUUUGUAUAUAGCGGUGAGUAGGGUUGAAUCCACAGGGAUUGGGGAUAAUUCGUUUCUUCUAGAGUCCAAAGUAUGGGGGGUUUUAGAUUAAAUACUAACUAAAUAAAUAAAUUUGCAGAGAAUAACUGAUUAAGAGAAAUAAUUAAGGGAAAACUCUAGCGAAGAGUACACUUCAGAAAUUGUUCAUGCACUGAUCAUUGAUGCAGAAAUAAUUCCAACAUUUAGUAAUAGAUUAGUUAUAGUUGUCAUGCACGCGAUAAAUAACCAACCCUUCCUUAAUUUCUCGGUAGCUAAGGUACGACCGUUAACUAUUUCUCUAACCCAAAAACAACCCUAGGUACGACCGUAGGAUUUAAUUUCUAGAUUGCAUUAAUAAUUAAAAAGGCCCAAUCCUAACCAACAAACACGCUACGAGGGUUUGUUUAAACUAGAUCGUAUACUCCCCUGACAUAAAUCCAAUUACGCCAGUUGCUACUGAGGUAGACAUAACGAACAAUUACGGAUUCAAUUACCCCUAUUUAGCAAAAAUAGCCUAUAUGAAUAAUUAAUUAUUGCGCACUAAUCAAUCAUACACAAGGCCAUAGCAAUUAAAAUCAGGGAACAUAUAAAUACCAAUAAAUGAAGAAAAUAAUUAAAACAGAUUCGAUCUCACAGUAAUUGUCGAAUCAAAUCGUCAGUUGUCCCCUUGACUAGAAAAAUUUAGCCACGCCUCAUGAGAAAAUCUUCCCGUUGGAGAAUAUUGUCGAAUACCUGACGUGUGUCAGAGGCCAGUCAAAAGAAAGAAAACUAGAACUAAACUAAAAAACUAAAACUAAAGCCGUCCGUCUGUACGUUUUUCUUUUCUACUUAAAAGCCAAAAGAAAGAACCUAAUCUUCUCUCCAGUGGUCCCCACCCAAUUGGUAGUCAAAGCUGCCCAAAGAGAAACCUGCCGAUUUGCUCAAGUCUCUGUACGUUACUUUUCUUUCUUUAGCCAAAUGACUAGUGCUCCUUGUUCUGUGGGCCCCCACCGAAUUGAGAAAAUUAGUUGUUGUUCCUUUCUUGUGGGCUGCGUUGAAGUAAUAUGCUCUAGAAAGCCCCUCCUUUUGGUAGUUUUCUGCUUCCCUCCUGAAAUUGAUUCCAAAUACCAAAUAUAAGUAAAUAUUAGCAAUUAACACAAUAUUUGUCAGGGAUAGAAGGGGAAAUUAAUAAUAAAAUUACUAACAAAUUAUACCCUAUCAAUUCCCCCCACACCUGAAUCAUGCUUGCCCUCAAGCAUGGGGACAACUCAACUAAAAAAUGGCUAGCUUUCACAUUAUCGUCGCCAGCUGUGCUUAUACCAAAAUCAAGAUUUAGUGGCUAAGUGUCAAGUCAUAUCUCUCCCGGUUAGCUCCUAUGUUCAUAGACCCGUCCAAUUCAUGGCUAACUCACCUAAGAAAUCCAAAUAUUAACUAGCAACAGUCGGCAAUUAAGUCAACUGGCAACCCAAAAUCUCAACAUUACGAACCAAGGAUCGGCAGGCCAACAUGAUUAUAAACUCAUAUAUUUUCCACAUCUGAUUUUUUUCCCUUUCACUUCUUUUUUUUUUCUUUGGAUUUUUUUUUUUACACGAAUAAUGCUUAGUCCCAAGUUAUUCAAGUCUUUUGACGUGAACUCUGACAUUUUUAGAUGAAAGAGCCCAAUUACCCAACUUUUCACAGCUCCAGGACCACUUACUCAUAGAUAUCGCCACUUUUUGACGCGAGAGCCGACACGUGUGGUGAAGACUCCUGGUUACUGGGUGGCGACACUAGCGGAGUAUAGCCAUACGUUAUUCACCAUAACACACCAAAAUACCAAGUAAUUAAAGAUCAUAGCCUGCGUCAUGUCCUAAAUAUGGAGAACUAAAGUCAACAUAAGACCAAUCCACACAACAAUGCCAGCAAAAUAUUUACAUUGCCUAAACAAGUUAGCCAUAAAUCGCACCAAGUCGUUAAACUCAAAACAUUCACCAAGACAGCAUGCUCUUACUUGCCACCGAAACUCAACUCAUAGUAUAAACUACAACUAACAAUAAAAAAGUGAGCUGCCGACAUAUUCACCAAAAUAAAAGCAAAGGAAAAAUUACCUAAAAAGAACAAAGGAACAACACCUAAACCGAAAACAAUGGGAAAACACCCAAGAACCGAAAACUAGAAAUACGAGCACCCAAAACUGACCCCCUCACACCUAAAUCACACAUUGCCCUCAAUGUGAUAAUGUAAUAGCAAAAAAGAAGAAGAGGGGCAACAGUACUUCCCUGAAGUCGUCAAAACAGGGGUGGAUCGGGCGCGAACGGAGGGGCAAUUCCCGCAUGUUGCAUAAAAGCCGCCAGACCUAGACCCCAACAAGACAGCAAAUGCAAUGGAGAAUUAUCGGAGGCUUCAAAUGAGUUCAAUGCAGAAACAAAACAGUUGAAAAGUGCAACAACUGCUCCAAAUACCCCACGCAAGUCAAUAAGAUACAACCGAUCAGCAAUAAGCAAAAGAAGGGGCACAGUAGCCUUCCAAUUCAACCAACAGGUACAGAGAAAUACCCAGCCAACAACACGGACAAUUCAACCACCCACAGACUAGGGAACUAUCCCAACGUACAGUAAUGCCAAACAAAAAGCAUAUGUGGAUCCAAUUCAGGCAAAAACAUGAGUAAUGCAACCCAACAAUUUCACUAAAUAUGCCCAACCUAAAUAAGCAAGGCCACUGACGCACUAGCCCUUAACACUAGUAACAAUUGCAAUCAAUGAGCGCCCGUGUUCCAAACGUAAUCAAAUUGAGAAUCAAGGUAGUCCAAAAAGGAUUAAAUGCUCCUAAAUAAGGCGAUUAGAGGCAACCAACUUCAAUGCACAAAUUUAAGCGUUACAGGCACUGCCCAAUAUAACACACAAAGUACCUAUAAUUAGACACAAAUUAUAGCAAAUUAGACACAAUGGAACCCAAAAUCGUAACAACUGCCUCCAAGUGGACAAUUAAUUACCUAAAUCAAUUUGCCAAAAUCAGCAAUUGACCCACGAAUCACAGGGUAGACAGGCACGACUCAACCACAAAUGCCCAAUAGUCACAACCCGCUUAAUUAGGCAAUCCAGAACACAGGAUUAUCAGAUGUGAAACAACUACCAUCACCAGUACCACUGGUGAGUGUAUAGGGAGAAAUUAAAGCAAAUAACCAACCCAGUGAACAAAAUAGAUUCGAACACCCAAGCAGCGCCAAAAAUGAGCAGAAAUUAAAACCAGAAGCAAUUGGCAACUUACUCCCAAAGUACCCCCAAAUAUCGCAGCAGUUUAACUCAAUUAUACCCAAAAUUAACCCCAGAAAAUGCCCAAAAUCACUGCCUGCUAUUUUCCAACAAGAAGCCCAAGCAAAGGUACAAAAUUUCGGCAAUAUAAGAUUCAGAAUAAGACAAAUUGAGGCAGGAAUCGCAAUACCUCCACCUGCCAAAAAAUUGACAGGUGGUAACGCGCUGGGGUGGAGCUGGCGGAGACAAGACAAGGACGUGGAGUGGCGGUGGUGGUGCGGCGUGAGCUGGACGAGCUGCGCGGGGGAAGGAGGCGGCGGCUCUGGUUGCGGAUGACGCUGGAGGCGGGCGAGGGAGGAGCGGCGCGGCGUGCUGGUGGCGGGGCUGGUGGCGGUGGCUGUGGAACGUGGGCAGGCGGCGGUGCGCAACUGGUCAGCGAAGGAGGAGAUGCGCGGCGCUCGAGCUGAGGAGAAAGUGAUUUGGGGGCUGUGGCGGCGUGGGGUGGAGUUUGGAACGGAGGAGCUCAGCGAGCUAUGGGUGGACGGCCGUGGGCAGGGGAGCAGUGGCGGCCUUUGGAGCUGCUGACGGUGGAGACGAGCUGGCAGUGCGGCGUGCUGGGGUCGUGACGUACGGAAGAGACGGGAGAACUGGAGCUUGGAGGUGGUGGCGAUGGACGCGAGCUGGGGUGGUCCGCGAUGGGAAAGCCAAGGGAGGUGCGGAAGAAGAAAAAAAAAAAAAAAGAAGAGAGGAAGAAAGAAAGAAAAGAAAGAAAGAAAGAAAGAAAAGAAGGAAAAAGAAGAAAAGAGAAAAGGGAAAUGUUUUUUUUUUUUCAAAAUUACUCCAACGUAAAUUGUCCAAAUUGGAAAUUACUUUUAAAAAAAAUUUAUUAUUAUUAUUAAUUUUUUUUGGUAAUAAUAAAAUUUUUAAAUUUUUUUUUUAAAUUCAUUUUUGGGUCGUCAAACACCGCGUGGGCAUACCAAGAUUGUAAAACGUCCACUAACCAUGAGACUUGAAUUUAGACGCUUAACGCGUGCCCUCCUCGCGUGGGCACGCCAAGAUUACCUAUUCUGGUCAUAAUGAGGAAACAUCAAGAGUGAUUAGUACCCAAGUGAGAAACGACAUAUUUAAGAAAUUGAACACAAAAAUAACAAAAUCAACAAUUGGGUUGCCUCCCAAAAAGCGCCUUUCUUUAAUGUCUUUGGCUAGACAUGCUAUGCUUGUUCACGGAGGAUAAAAUCUUGUGGCUCGUUUCAAUGCUUCAUCUUCAAUAUGAUCCUGGUAAUCCUCAUAGAUGGAAUAAUCUUUGAGCACACGAGCUACGAUCUUCCGUGAACUAGUAGAUGGCUCCAAACCGGUCAACAAUAAUCUCGAUUCUUCACUCACUCCUCCACCACGCGCAUUUAUCGGUUCAAGAUAUUUCGUCAUCUCCACUCUCAACUUAUUUCUGCCACGAGACUAAAAAACUUCCGGUAUAACAAAAUCAAUCUCAUUAACAGAAAUCAUAGAGUAAGAGUUAGGAAAAUGCGGGUUAGGGAAUGGAGGUGGUGUCACUACAUUUGAUGAUUAUUCACUGGAUUCUUUCACUUCAAUGGGUUAAGGUUGGGGUUCCAUAUCUUCAUUUUCGGCUUCUUUUUCAACUGCAUCUGCAGAUCUCUCAUUUUGACACUCUUGCAUCUCCUCAUCACUAGUCAAGCAAAUUGCACUCUCAUUUUUUUCAAAAUCAACAAUGGUUUCCGAGGGCAAUUCUUCAAUUUGAGAAGCCAAUCGAUUUAUUCUGGAUGUCAAUAGACACAUUUGAUCUUCCAGAUUACUCAUUGCAUCCUUCAUCAUCCCAUUUCUCAUUUGUGUCUCCUGUUGGAAUUGAUAUGUAUUAGUAGCUAUUGAUUCAACUAUUUCUUCAAGAGACAUACCUGACAUAGAUGAUGAUUCUUGAGACUCAUACUGCUGAAAAUUUAUUGGCCCUGUUGUAUAAUUAUAACUGGAGUUAUCCCACCAUCCUUGAUCAUACCCGUUUGGAUUAGAGUUAUACCACGUUUGAGACCAGGGUGAAAUAUCUUCAUAAUUAUUGAGUGGGACACUCAGAUUAUCUUGAUAUUCGGGGUACAUACCGGUUGAAUGAUCCCUGGCAUAACAAAUUUUACAGGUUGCAGCAGCCAUUUUGUCUCUAAUAGAGUUUAGUGCCUUUGAAUAUGCAAACUUAGCAAAAAAACUAGCCUCACUGCCUUCCCUGGAAACAAAAUCCAGUUUAUCACCAAAAUACGGAGUGUUAGAAGCCAUAAACUAUAUAAAAAAAUAAGAGAAAAAUAAAUAAAAAAAAAUAAAAACACGAUGAACUCAAAAAGAAACAAAUUAAUCUGGCACCAGUCCCCGGCAACGGCGCCAAAAAUUGACAGGGGUCGAACCUGUACAACAAUAAAUACCUACUCGAGAAAAAUACAGAUUUUGUAUAUAGCGGUGAGUAGGGUCGAAUCCACAGGGACUGUGGAUAAUUCGUUUCUUCUAGAGUCCAAAGUAUGGGGGGUUUUGGAUUAAAUGCUAACUAAAUAAAUUAAUUGCAGAGAAUAACUGAUUAAGAGAAAUAAUUAAGGGAAAACUCUAGGCAAGGGUACACUUCAGAAAUGGUUCAUGCACUGAUCAUUGAUGCAGAAAUAAUUCCAACAUUUAGUAAUAGAUUAGUUAUAGUUGGCAUGCACGCGAUAAACAACCAACCCUUCCUUAAUUUCUCGAUAGUUAAGGUACGACCGUUAACUAUUUCUCUAAUCCAAAAACAACCCUAGAUACGACCGUAGGAUUUAAUUUCUAGAUUGCAUUAAUAAUUAGAAAGGUCCAAUCCUAACCAACAAACACGCUACGAGGGUUUGUUUAAACUAGAUCGUAUGUUCCCCUGACAUAAACCUAAUUACGCCAGUUGCUACUGAGGUAGAGAUAACGAACAAUUACGGAUUCAAUUACCCCUAUUUAGCAAAAAUAGCCUAUAUGAAUAAUUAAUUAUUGUGCACUAAUCAAUCACACACAAGGCCAUAGCAAUUAAAAUUAGGGAACAUAUAAAUACCAAUAAAUGAAGAAAAUAAUUAAAACAGAUUCGAUCUCACAGUAAUUGUCGAACCAAAUCGUCAGUUGUCCCCUUGACUAGAAAAACUUAGCCAUGCCUCAUAAGAAAAUCUUCCCGUUGAAGAAUAUUAUCGAAUACCUGGCGUGUGUCAGAGGCCAGUCAAAAGAAAGAAAACUAGAACUAAACUAAAAAACUAAAACUAAAGCCGUCUGUCUGUACGUUUUUCUUUUCUACUUAAAAGCCAAAAGAAAGAACCUAAUCUUCUCUCCAGUGGUCCCCACCCAAUUGGUAGUCAAAGCUGCCCAAAGAGAAACCUGCCGAUUUGCUCAAGUCUCUGUACGUUGCUUUUCUUUCUUUAGCCAAAUGACUAGUGCUCCUUGUUCUGUGGGCCCCCACCGAAUUGAGAAAAUUAGUUGUUGUUCCUUUCUUGUGGGCUGCGUUGAAGUAAUAUGCUCUAGAAAGCCCCUCCUUUUGGUAGUUUUCUGCUUCCCUCCUGAAAUUGAUUCCAAAUACCAAAUAUAAGUAAAUAUCAGCAAUUAACACAAUAUUUGUCAGGGAUAGAAGGAGAAAUUAAUAAUAAAAUUACUAACAAAUUAUACCCUAUCAAUUCCCCCCACACCUGAAUCAUGCUUGCCCUCAAGCAUGGGGACAACUCAACUAAAAAAUGGCUAGCUUUCACAUUAUCGUCGCCAGCUGUGCUUAUACCAAAAUCAAGAUUUAGUGGCUAAGUGUCAAGUCAUAUCUCUCCCGGUUAGCUCCUAUGUUCAUAGACCCGUCCAAUUCAUGGCUAACUCACCUAAGAAAUCCAAAUAUUAACUAGCAACAGUCGGCAAUUAAGUCAACUGGCAACCCAAAAUUUCAACAUUACAAACCAAGGAUCGGCAUGCCAACAUGAUCAUAAACUCAUAUAUUUUCCACAUCUGAUUUUUUUUCCUUUCACUUCUUUUUUUUUUCUUUGGAUUUUUUUUUUACACGAAUAAUGCUUAGUCCCAAGCUAUUCAAGUCUUUUGACGUGAACUCUGACAUUUUUAGAUGAAAGAGCCCAGUUACUCAACUUUUCACAGCUCCAGGACCACUUACUCAUAGAUAUCGCCACUUUUUGACGCGAGAGCCGACACGUGUGGUGAAGACUCCCGGUUACUGGGUAGCGACACUAGCGGAGUAUAGCCAUACGUUAUUCACCAUAACACACCAAAAUGACUAGUGCUCCUUGUUCUGUGGGCCCCCACCGAAUUGAGAAAAUUAGUUGUUGUUCCUUUCUUGUGGGCUGCGUUGAAGUAAUAUGCUCUAGAAAGCCCCUCCUUUUGGUAGUUUUCUGCUUCCCUCCUGAAAUUGAUUCCAAAUAUCAAAUAUAAGUAAAUAUCAGCAAUUAACACAAUAUUUGUCAGGGAUAGAAGGGAAAAUUACUAAUAAAAUUACUAACAAAUUAUACCCUAUCAAUAGUACUAGUAAACAGAAUUUCUUAAAUAAAUAAAGGCCACCAACAUCACAUGCCAUUGACCAAAGCUAGUAACAUGGCCUCAUCUUAAUGUAGUACUAGCAAAUGGAAUUUCUUAAAUCACAUGCCAUUGAGCAAACAAGUUUGAUGGCCUCAUCUUAAUGUAGCCUUAAAACUUUCUCUCCUUUAAUAUUACCCCUUGUUUGGUACAUGGAAAUGCACAGAAUAGAAAGGGUUUCGACCAGAAUAUGUAUCCACCAGGAUGGUAGGAAGAAAGUUACUGUUCCAAGGUUUGAUAUACAAGUCAGAGUGGAAUCUUUAUUCAGUUUCUAAUUUUUGGUAUAAUCAAAUUUAGAUGUUAGAAUGAAAUAUACUAAAUACAAAUUCGACUUAAUAUUAGGUUAAAGGGCAUCCUAUAUCUUUUUUUUGUUUUAUUUGUUCUAUAAUAGUAUUUGUCUAUUUAUGUGAAAUUUGAUAUCUUUAUUUAAAAAUAAAUUACGAUUGAUAUCAAAAUUCUUCAAUUGUAGUGAAGAUUCAUUCUAAUAUAUAGAUUUUUACGUUAAAAUUUUAUUUACUACCAAUAUAAUUAGUGGCGUAAAAUAUAAAUUACAUGAAGUUAGACAAUUAUAAUUUAGUUAUUUUCAAUUUUGAUAGGAGAUUUAAAAAAAUUCUUGAACAAUUGUUCAAAAGUCAAAGAAUAAAGUAUCUUAAAACAUUUGUUUCCUAGUAUAAAAGAAAAAUUAAUUAUUAUAAAAAUUACAUUCAAAUAUUAAUUGAGCUAUAAAUAGCUUAAGAUAUGGCGAUGCAUUAGACUUGUGACGAUAAAUUUGACAUCCUACUAUUUAGGCAUUCUAGGAUGAAGGUGAAGAGAGCGUUCCUUAGAUUUUUUUAACGAAUGGAAUUCUAGAAAAAGUUAGAAUGAGCAUUCUAAGAAAAAUUAGCUUUCCCACUUAAAUGAAUUAUACCAAGCACCGGAAUGAAAUGGACAAAUUGGAAAGGCCUUUCUUUCUAGGUGUUUUUGUGAGGUGCAUUUAUGAAGAAGAAGCUAAUGAGCUUCUAAAUCCUAUGUCGGAUCACAAAUACAUGACAAUUUAAUGUGUAAACUAGUGAAGAAGAAUCUUAGCAGUGUCCAUAAUUUUAUUAAGUUUUCUUCUCUGCUAAUCCAACAAGUUAUCUUCAGUCUACUAAAUUUAAUUAAUUCCAUUUCUCAAUUUGUUUCAUAAUUACAUAAGCAAUCAAGAAGUUGGUUGAUGAAACGAAGAAGUCCUCAUCCAUUCUAAAUCUCUUUGUGUCCCUUCUUGAUUGCUUAAGUAGUCAAGAAGAGUUGGCUUAAUUGUUUAAGUAAUCGAGAAGAUUCUUUGCAGUGUGAAUAACAAAUAAACAUUGAGGAAAAAAAGAAAAGAAAAAUGCAAAGUAGGAAGAUGCAUUUUCGAGGAAGUAGCCACCAGGCAUAUUCUAAUACCACCAGCCAGAUUGAAUAAAUGAACUAGGUAGAUAAAGCAGAAUAAAUUGAUUAAUCAGGGUGAGAUUUCAGAUCUGUGUCUCCUGUUGCCAGCCCCUCAAUCAGUUUAGUUAAAGUCAGCUCUUUUGAGUCUGUACACUGUUGCAUUAAUUGCAAUUAUACUAAUCUGAAUCUCACACAUCAACCCACAGGAAUCGUUAACUCAUCUCUCUCCUGUUCUGGGCUUCUAUUCUAUUUCUACCAUUUGUUGUUGAAACAUUCCUUCCAUCUCUGAUAUCAGAAAACCUUUCGAUCCUAGUUCCAAUUCCAAGCAAGAAACAAUAAUGGCUGACGCUGCUAUCAGUGCUACUGUUAAGGUCGUCCUGGAGACGGUCAUUUCCACAGCUGCGGACCGUAUUGGUAUGGUUCUCGGGGUCAAAGCAGAGUUGGAGAGACUGAGCAAAACUACUGCAACGAUCCAAGGUUUCCUGGCUGAUGCUGACGGGAAAAUACAUAGUUCAGGGGUGCGAGAUUGGCUCAAGCAGCUAGAGGAUGAGGUUUUCAAAGCUGAUAACGUGCUGGACGAGCUCCAUUAUGACAAUCUUCGCCGGGAGGUGAAGUACCGAAAUCAACUCACCAAGAAGAAGGUAUGCUUAUUCUUCUCCUUCUUUAAUGCAAUUGGUUUUAGUUCCAGCUUGGCUUCAAAGAUCCGAGACGUCAACACCAACCUAAAAAGGAUCAACCAGCAAGCCAAUGACUUGGGAUUGGUAAUCAAGUACCAAAUUGAAGCUGCACUCCAUGCUGAUGCCACUACAAGCAGACAGACCGACUCUAUUGUUGUUCCAAACGUUGUAGGAAGAGCCGGCGACGAGUCAAAAAUAGUGGAGAUGCUAUUGACCCCAUCUGAAAGAGUUGUCUCAGUUAUUCCCAUAACAGGCAUGGGAGGCCUGGGCAAAACGACUCUUGCUAAAUCAGUCUACAACAAUACAAAAAUUGAUGAGAAUUUUGGCAUAAAGAGUUGGGUUUGUGUGGCUAGAAAAAUAGAUAUAGUGGAGCUGUUCAAACUCAUUUUAGAAUCGUUGACAAGAACAAAGGUUGAAGUGGAUGGUAGGGAUGCCAUAGUUCAAGGAAUUAGAGGAAAACUUGGGGAAAAAAGAUUUCUCCUUGUUCUUGAUGAUGUGUGGAAUUGUGAAGAGAGAUUGUGGGAUGACUUCUUCACCACGUUGUUGGGACUCAGUACAACUAAAGGAAGCUGGUGUAUUCUCACUACUCGUCUAGAACCAGUGGCUAAUGCUGUGCCUAGACAUUUGCAAAUGAAUGAUGGUCCUUAUUCCCUAGGAAAGUUAUCAGACGAUGCGUGCUGGUCUAUGCUGAAGGAAAAGGUAAUUGCUGGAGAAGAAGUACCAAAAGAAUUGGAAGCAAUAAAGAAGCAAAUUUUAAGGAGAUGCGAUGUCCUACCAUUGGCGGCAAGUUUGAUUGGUGGCUUGUUGCUUAACAACAGAAAAGAGAAGUGGCACUGCAUUGUGCAGGAGAGUCUCUUGAAUGAAGAUCAAAGCGAGAUCGAUCAAAUACUUACGGUGAGCUUUGAUCAUUUAUCACCUCCAUCAGUUAAGAAAUGUUUUGCAUAUUGCUCGUUUUUUCCCCAGGACACUGAAUUGGGAGAAGAUUAACUAAUUCAGCACUGGAUUGCAGAAGGUUUUGUUCAACCAGAUCGGCAAAACCAAAGAUUGAUGGAGGAAAUAGCGGGUGAUUAUUUGAGGAUUUUGUUACAAAAUUCCUUAUUGGAAAAAGUAGAAGAGUCGUGGAGAACAUAUUAUAAAAUGCAUGAUCUCGUGCAUGAUUUUGCAAAAUCAGUUCUCAAUCCUAAAAGCAGCAGCCAGGAUCGCUACCUUGCAUUACACUCAUAUGAAGAAAUGGCAGAAAAUGUCAGAUGGAAUAAAGCGGCAUCAAUCCGCUCGUUAUUUCUCCAUUUAGGGGGUGGCAUAUCUGCUGACACGGACAUGUUAUCAGGAUUCAAGCACUUGCAUGUUCUCAAAUUGUCUGGAUAUGAUGUCAUGUUUCUGCCGAGCUCUAUUGGCAAAUUACUACGUCUGCGGUUGCUCGACAUUUCAUCUUCUGGUAUCACAAGUUUGCCGGAAUCUCUUUGCAAGCUAUAUAAUUUGCAGGCACUAACGAUUGAUGGUUAUGCACUUGAAGGAGGUUUUCCAAAACGGAUGAGCGAUUUGAUUAGCUUGCGACAUCUAAACUACUGGCAUGAUGAUGCAAAAUUUAAAAUGCCGGUGCAGAUGGGACGAUUGACUUGUCUUCAAACUCUAGAGUUCUUUAAUGUAAGUCAAGAGAAGGGUUGUGGCAUCGAAGAGCUUGGGACCUUGAAAUAUCUUAGAGGAUCAUUGGAGAUAAGAAAUCUUGGACUAGUAGAGGGCAAAGAAGCAGCUAAACAAGCAAAAUUGUUUGAAAAGCCAAAUCUGUCUAGCUUAAGGUUGGACUUUGAACGGAAAAGUGAUAACUGUGAUGAGGAUGUGUUGGAAGGUCUCCAACCUCACCCAAAUUUGCAAAAGUUGGAAAUUCGAUAUUGCAUGGGUAAUAAAAUUCCCCAAUGGCUUAUCAAUUUGCCAAAAUUGGUGGAGUUGCGGAUAGAAGAUUGCCAGAGAUGCAGUGAACUCCCGUCAUUAGGACAACUGCCAUCCCUCAAACGCCUCUAUUUGAGAAGCUUGGACAACAUCCGAUCUAUUGGAGAUGAAUUCUAUGGUAUUAAUACUAAUGAGGAGGAGGAGGAGGGCAGAUCACGAGCAUCAGGGAGCAGCACUAGAACACGAAAUUCUUUCCGGCCCUUGAAGAACUCUAUGUACGAGAUAUGAGGAAUUUGGUAGAUUGGAAGGAUGCAGACCAAGUGAGGUCAACAACAGGUGAAGUAGAAACAGAUGUCUUUCCCAUGCUGAGGAAUUUUCACAUUCAACAUUGCCCACAACUGACCAAUCUUGCAUGCUCGUGUAAAAUUCUAGUCGUGGAGUAUUACGGCAAUCUAACAAGUAUAAAAAUGGGUUACGACACUGCUUCUGUUGAGGAGUUGAGUAUCCUUUCUUGCGACAAUCUUAGGGAGCUGCCAAGAGAUGUGUUUGGAUCAAGUUUGCAGCUAUUGCGCAUCUCAGAUUGCCCGAGAUUAAUUAGUCUAGGAGUAAAUGGACAGAAAUGCCCCCUUACAUGUCUUGAGCGAUUGAGCAUUGAUUAUUGCUACGGGUUGACCACUAUAUCUGACAAAAUGUUCGAGUCAUGCCCAUCUCUGCGGUUCCUGUCGGUUGGGUAUUGCCGCAAUCUGGUGUCAUUUUCACUUAAUUUGCAGGAGACGCCUUCUCUCGAGGAAUUCAGCUUAUUCGAAUGUCCCAAAUUGAUCCCUCAUAGGUUCAAAGGAUUUGCUUUUGCCACCAGCUUAAGAAAAUUGAGCAUCGGUCCCUUCUCCUCAGAUGACUCCUCAAUGGAUGGUUUUGAUUGGUCUGGCUUGGUAAAUGCAUCAACACUCCGUGAGCUUCAAUUACGAGGCUUGCCUCACUCGGACUCCCUGCCACACCAGCUUCAAUACUUGACUACCCUCCCUUCACUAAGUCUCUUCAACUUUCGAGGAAUAGAGGUGCUACCACAUUGGAUUGGAAACCUUGUGUCCCUUGAAACCCUAAAGCUAUGGUUUUGCGAAAAGCUUCAGUCUUUACCACCCGAGGCUGCCAUGAGACGACUCACAAAGUUAACUCGUGUCGAAGUUUGUGGGUGUCCUCUAUUAAGACAACGAUACACUCCCCAAAGAGGCAUCUACUUGGAGGAGUAGAUUUCAAGUUAUUUUGUAAGAUUUUCCUAUCUAAAGUUCACACUCAUAGAUAUGCAUACAAAUUUUUUGUAUCUGCAUCUCAUUGACAUAUAUUUGCUCUUCAGUCUCUUAUACUCUUUUUUCUCCGUCUCUUCUAUGAAAUUUCACUAGUCGUGUAAAGUUAAUCCCUGUAAUUCUGUUCUUUUUGGGCAGACCUUGGUUUCUCUUCAAAGAUUAGUUUUAACAGAUCCUGGUUUUGAACAAAUUAGAAGAGACCAAAAUUCUAGAUUUCCUCUGCCUCUCUGAAUCACUGAAAGAUUUUGAACAUCUUAAAAACUCCUUGCACUUCAAAUUGUUACAUUCUAUUUGGCCAAGGAUGAAAUUAUUAGCAAUGGUGCAUGCACAAUUAGCCUCUUUGUUUGAAUGUGUUGGAAAAUGUUUCAUUUGAUGCGUAAUGCUACAUGUACAUGGACCCAUUCUUCAUUUUUCUGUCACCUGAUAUUGCCAGUUUGAAUGGACAACAUUAAAGCUAAUCAAGAAACAUUUGCGAAGAAAAUUCAAGAUACAAUUUGCUGUUCAAGAUACAAUAAUUUUGGACAGUUGUUUGUCAUGUUUCACAAGUUUCAGAAGUUUAUUCGUCACAAUUACCAUGCAGGUAAGCAGUGAGAGCGAACAAGAAGAAAUCGAUGACAAUGAGCAAGCAGGCAGAGACUGUGAACAAAAAAGCAUUGAUAGUGCUCAAACAUCAGCUUCAUGGUGUUUCCCAUCGUUGCUGAAGAAGAAGAAGAGCUUAGGAGGUUUGUUGUGCAGAAAAGUGAUAAUGCAGCAUUUCUUUCCCCAAGAACUCUUUUCUUAUGCAGAAAAGUGAUAAUGCGGCAUUUCUUUCUCCAAGAACUCUUUUCUUACCUCCAUCCAAUUUACUAAGAGUACAAGGAAUUGGUGCAAGUUUGCAUUCUAGUAUGCUUGAGUCAUGUAAUUGGCCUACGAACAGGGCAUUUUCCUGUACUGUUAUGUGUUUGUGAACUUUUACCCUAUGCCUACAGCUUAUCUUUUGCUCUUUAAGAUUUUUAUAUUUACUUGGUGCUAAACAUGUCUAUUGAUUGUGAAAGAAUGUGGUCUUUUCCGAUUUUCUUGCACUAGUUACUAGACCAUAACUUUUCUUUGCUUUCAUUGUUCAUUAUAAUUGAAGGCAUACUGAAAUGUACCAUUGUGAUGCUUUCCAGAGUCUUAGGAGACAUAGCUUAUGUUAUUGGACAAAGGACACCAUCGUUUACACACCAAUUGUCACACGAUAUUGCAUAAUAGGAGAAACUUCUUGAAUUCUGGUAGGCUUUAAUUGGUUUAAGUAGGAUGAUGUUUCUUUUAUGUUUGUACUGACCCCUUCUGUUUAGUUUACAUAGAUCUAAUUGGGCUGCUGCUUCUGAUAUGAUCCCAAAAGUACAUACCUUUAGUUUUUUAAGCUGCAGUAUCGGUUUUUCUCAAUGCACUGCCAUCACUAGUUUGUUAUAUUGUUGGUUUCUGGUUGGCAGAUGAGUUUUUAUUGAGUUGAAGUUUCAUUUCUUAGCAUUUAUUAAUUCUAAUUUGAAUUUGCUUUUCAUUUAGGCCAUGUCCUCGCUUAAAGGUAGGGAGAAUACAUUAGAGAAGAUUUGAGGAGGCUAUUGAUUACGUAAAUGAGCAGCAUCCUUCAGAUGAUUCCUCUGUUCCAGCUGUAAGACUGUUUGUUGCUCACUGCCUGCCAGGCUACAAAGACCAGGAAAACAUGGGAUUUCUUGAUAAUGGAAGUAUUUCCCAGUUCAGGAAAAAAGAAAAAUGAUAAAGAUAUUAAGUGAAGGGCAAACUAUUUUUAGUACGAGGUUGGCAUGAAAAAAGUAGAGAUCGAAAUACCUCUCCUUUUAACCAAGAUGAGUUGGCCAUUAGGUGAAACAUAAGAUGCAGGCCUGACCAGAGGUGAGAAGUUUUAACAUUGAAAAAAAAAAAUGGUCUACUUUUAUUUACAAAUAUGACUAAAGAAAGAGAAAAUUUUUGGUUCAAUCCCUCACGUUUAGGGAGAGUUUUUUUUUGGGUCCCUCAUUUUUGAAAGGUAUAAUUACAAAAACACCCCUGAGGUUUGUGACACAUCACAUGGUAUCCCUAAAUAUUGAAAAAUACCACCUACAUCCCUUAUUUUCAACUUCUUCCAACUUUGUCAACCUAUUCCGACAAAUAUGAUUUAAAAACUCAUUUUGGAAGAGAUAAGACAUUUUCAUUCCAAAAUUACCCUUUCUUGUGGAGCUUUAGCUUUCAUGACAAACCAAAUUAACUUCUUAAUAAUCACAACAUGUUAAUGAAAUUGAAAGAUUUUUUAUAGUUUUCGAUAUCAUCUAUCUAAACAAAAAAGGAGAAAAAAUUAGAAACUCUAAAUGAUUUAGAAGACUCAUAUGAGUCAUCCAAAAAUUGUUACAGUUAAAAAAAAAAGACUUUUUGCACCUCAAAUAAAUUUCUAAAUAUAUGGUUAGUAAUUUUAUCUUUUUCUUGUUUUCAAGCCAUCAAUUUGGACAAAAAGUUCAAACAUUCAAAAUAUUCUAAACAAUUUGUAGAAUCCUUAAAUUCAUCCAAAACACUUUGCAACAAACAAAAUAACUUUUCUUUGAAAAUGCCUUAACUGAGUUUGUAAACUUAAUUUUAGACAUUGUGUCCAUUUUUUAUUUUCAAAUCAUUAACCUAUACACAAAAUUUCAAAAAUUCCAAAGAUUCUUAAAAUUUAUAAAACUCCUCCAAUUAACGAAAACCCUUACAAUAAAUGAAAUAUUUUUUCAGCUUGAACAACCUCAAACAUAAUCUUUUGUACCUUAAAAACAUUUGCUAGUAUAUUUUAUCUCACCAAAAUUACACCUGCACACUAUUUUUUUAUUUUCAAGCUUUUAGUACUAUAGUUUCACUUUUGAAAAACUAGUUGGACAACACAAGGGCAAUUUUGGCAUGAAAACAUCUUCGUUCUCAAAAAUGAGUUUAAUAAUAUAUUUUGAAAUGGACUGAUAAAGUAGUUGAAAAUAAAGGAGAUAGGUGAUAUUUGUCAAAGUAAAGUGUUCCAUGUAACAUUGUCAUUACCUUAUGAGAGGUUUCCGAAAGUACCCCUUUUAAAAUGAAGCAAAUUAGUUUCUCACCUUCUAAAAAUAAAGCAAACUAUUCCCAAAAUGACAACCUGAUAUAUAUAUAUAUAUAUAUAUAUAUAUAUAUAUGUAUAUUAUAGGAACAAAAUUAGAACGUCACUUUAGUUUUUGUGGAAUCUAGGUACAUGUCAUGUGCGCAUGACAUUAGGUUGACGAAAAAAGGAAAACAAUUUAAAAAUUAUAACAUAUAAAAAAAUCGUUCUCUCUAAUUUUUAUUUUUUUUUAGAAAAUGAUAUUCGGCCAACAUAAAAAGGACAGUGUAUAUGUGUGUAGAACUUGUAUUUACAAUAUUGAAAUUACAGUUAACUUGAGAGUUUUGGUUUUUUUUUAUUUUCUUUUGGAAUUGGUUUUUUAAUAUUAUACCUAUCGGAUUUAGGGAUGGCAGCGGGGCGGGGUUGGGGCGGCGGACCCCUCCCCCGCCCCCCGCCCCGUUGCCUAUUAGUUCCCCCCGUCCCCCGCUUCCCGCUCCUCCCGCCCCGCCUUGCCCCGCUUCCACCCGCGGGGUUAAUAAAAUUUUAUUAUUAUUAAAUUUUAAUAAAUAAUCAAGUACUAAAAUAUCAACACAUCACCAAAUUAUUAUUCAUUGUAAUUUUACAAUUGAAACUCAUAAAAACAAUCAAACAUAAGUUAUUUGAAUACAAUCCAAUAUGAUGAAAUAAAUAUAACUAAAAUAGUCAAGUUUUCACUUUUAGUACAAAUACAAUCACUAAUUCAUUAUUGUGUUUGUGCUUUUUUUUGAGAAAAAAGUGUUAUUCUAUUAAGUGUUAUUAGAAAUUUAGUAUAAAUGUAUUAGGAAAAUUUAGUAUAACUAAUUAAUAAAUUCUAUUAGUAGACAUGUAUAAUUAUUCAUAUAAUUGAUAAUAUCAAUUAUAUUACAUAAACUAAUAUACAUUAUAUAAUACAUCUAACUAAUAAUAUCAUUAUCAUAAGUUUAUAACUAAUUAACUUACAUAUUAUAUAUAAUUAUAUAAAUAUUUAUAUAUAUAUAUAUUUUUUUUUUUUGCGGGUGGCGGGGCGGGGGAUGGGGCGGGGGUAUACUCCCCCGCCCCCCGCCCCGUUUCUAGGCGGGGGGAAAAAAUUCCCCCCCGCCCCCACCCCACCCCCCGCCCCGAGAGCCCCCCGCGGGCACCCGCCUCCAUUGCCAUCCCUAAUCGGAUUGUAGUUAACUACAGGUUUGUACACAUAUUCACUGUUACUUCAAUCUGACGGCACGCCGUAUCGGUUACAGCAGUAGCAGCAAGAGCAAGGCGCACGCUAUCGGCUGCACCGGCCAAAAUUUCAAACAUUCAUUUUUUUUGGCUUCCAAAUAUGAAAAAGACGUGGAAGGAACAGCAAUUUAUGCAGCGCAUUUCUUUGGUUCAAGGAUAGAAAAGGAACAGAACGGCGUUAUUGUCAACCAUCUCUUCAUAAUCGGAGCAUUAUACUAAGGUGUUGUUUCUUAGUUUAUGUUACAAAAAAUCAAACACAGCAAUUCAUGCAGCGCAUUUCUUUGGUGCUAAGGAUAGAAAAGGAAUAGAAGGGGUUAUUGUCAACCACCUCUUCAUAAUCAGGGCAUUAUAGUCAAGCAACAAACACACAACCCGUUGCCUGCCCAACUGGUCAAGUAUCAGGCCAUUGAUUAAGAUUUUAACAAUCUCCAAAUUGACGCAACUACCCACCUACUCAUGGUGCCCAUGAGGGGCCUAAGCACUAUUCACACCCCUGAUUCCCCCUUUUUGUUUGCCUUUUAUUGAUAUAUAUACUAAUCAUUAUCAUUACUAUAUAAAAAAUACCAUGAGUCUUGGUAUUUUGGAGUGUAAAUUUAAGUAUUCUUGUAAUCUUCGUUUUUGUUAUUUCAAUUAUGUCCUUGUUAAUUGAUGAUUGAAAUUUCAUUAUACUCUUUUUAAUUUAUUAUGAUAAUUAAAAUUCAUUAUACCAUAUCUAUUGAUUUUAAAAAAUAAUAGUUGAUGAUAAGACAAAAUGUUAAGCAUUAGAGAUUAAGCAGAAUUUGGUUUUAGUUUUCUAUUUGUCCAAAAUACCAUUCUCACUAAUAAUCAUUUAACAUAGGAAUAAUUGUAGUAGUCAGGGAAAAAAGUCUAACCUUAAUUAAGUUUGAAUUAUGAAGCCAAUAAAUAAAAUAUAACACUUCAAUCCAAUGUAUCUCUUUACAUUCUAUUUCAGUUUUUUUAUUUUAUUAUAAAUUCUUGAUUAAUCACAGCCUAAUUAAACUUUCAAAUCGUCAAAAAUAUUUCUAUUGAUAUCAAAAUAAGGUGUUCUUAGGAUAAUAGAAUCUUUGUCAUUUAUGCUUUACAUUAGAUUCUGUCUCAAAAAUAAAAAAAAAAAGAAAACAAAAGAAAAAAAAAUAGAAGAACUCAAUUAUCUCUUUCAAUGAAAUUUCAAUUCUCAAAAAAUGAACAAUUAGAUGAAAAAAAUUUAUAUGUGGUAAAUCAUUGCACUCCAUUGUUAACAAAAAUAACACACAAAAUAAUAUAAAGAGUUCAAAUUAAAAAAAUAUACAUUUUUUUUUGUUUUUCAAACAACAGUGCAUGUAACUUCAUAUUGAGAAAUUUCAUUAAGAUACUAACAAAUUCAAUUUAAUAGCACGAAAAAUAAUAAUGAUGGAGUAUGCAACCAAUAUUUAUGCAAACAAUUAUUUUUAUUUUAUUUUUUUACCCUCCUACCCCUCCCUAACAAUUAGCAAACAUAACUUUUGGUUUGCAUGCAAAUUUAGGCCACCCAACUCUAAAAGAAAACAAAAAGUUGUACGUGUAUCUAAUUAAAAAUCAAACAAUGUUAGUGACAUUAUCACAAUUUGUUUGUCAUGCAAAAAAAAAAAAGAAGUAAUUAGAAGUAUCAAUAUUAUACAUACCAUUCAUAAUAUUGAUAUUUUUGUCAAAUCAUUUCAUAUUUGAUCAAAUCUUUAUUUUUUAAAAUGUUAAUUUUUCAUCUUCUAAUUAAUUGUCCUUAAAACUAUUAUUUUAAAUUGAAAGAGAUUAUAGGUAUCCUCAUUUAUUAAAAAUUCUUUAGAGAUUUUAUACGAAUUUAUAGAUAUAACAUUUUGCGAACUUUUUUUUUUUGCUUUUAAAAUGAUGGUUUUAAGGAUAAUUAAUCAAAGAAGAUAAAAAAUUAAAUAAAAAAGGAAAAAAUGCAGAUAUUAAAUUUUUUAAAAUAAUUUUCACAAAUAAAUUUAAUGUAAUGUACUAAUACUAAUAUUUAUAUAUGUAAGAAUAAUUAUAUAGAAAAUGUAAACAAAAUUACUAUCAUACUUACAUAUAUACAGUGCAGCAAUAAAAGAAUAGAUAAUUUUCCAGCCAUGGUAGUGUAAAGUUACUUGGAUUUGGAAAAGAAAAUCGUAAAUAAAUGCAUUUAUUUCUAUUUAUUAUAUUUGAAUUCAAAAUUGAUUGGCAUGGAAAUGAAAUAAAAAAUUAUUAUUGUAGUUUUUAUCAAAUUCAUGCUAUUGUAAUAGAGUGUCUCGUCUAAGGAACAUAUUACCGUAUUUGAAUUACCUUAAUUACCUAGCGUUUGCUCAAUACAAAUGUGUUUGUCAAAAACAUAUUCCCAAAAAAUUCUCCCUCUCCUCUGACCACCUGUCUCAUCGCCUCCCUAUAGUCCCUCCUUUCCCUACUCCUAACCACAUUUUCUCCCUUACCCCCUCCCACUUUCCACCCUUUUUUUUCACUUUUUGUCCUAAUCUACUGUGGCCUCCACCAAUGUUUUAAAAAUCGGACUGUUAAUUGAACCGGUGAAGUGAAAGGGUCGAUGUUCAACCGGUCGGACCGGUUCAACCUCGGUUCAAUGAAUUUUUUAAAAAAUUAUUUAUAUAAAUAUAUAUAUGUACAAAAUAAGACAUGUAAUGGAUUAAUUUAAUACUUUAUAUGAUGAAAGGUUUACUAUUUUUUAAUAACUUGGAUUUUUUAAAAAUAAAUUUUUUAAAUUAUAAGUUAAAACAAAUAAAUUUCACCUCGAUUUCAAUUAUGUCUAAAUCCAAUCCAAAAAUAUCACAAUAUUUUGAAAUUAUACAAAAUUCACGUCUAUGAGAAUUUAGAUAUUGUGAACUUAAAUUUUAAUUUACAUUUUAGAGAUUGUAAUUUAAAAAAGGAAGUUUGGAGUUCGAAGGAAGUCAAGAAAAUCGAAAAUAGAAAUGUAAACUUGAUAAGAAACAAAAAAUGAGAUAAAAGUGAGUGGUUGUAGCAUUAAAUAAUUUGGGUUAAAAAAUAAUUCUUUUUUAACUUUUUUCAAUUUAAUGGACAAAAACCAAAUUAAAAGAUGGAAGAAAACAUCAAUAAAUUAAAAAUAAAGAGGUUUGAUUAAAAAGGGAGUGACAAAAAAAGAGGAUAGAGAGAGAGAGAGAGUUGAAAAUUAAAAAGAAAGAGCCAUGAGCGGAUGAGAUUUUGUAAGAAAAAUGGAAAAAAGAAAUAUAAGUGUUUGCUUUAUAUAAAUAAGUUAUCAAAAAAAACUAAUAAGAUGCGAUGGUGCAACGGUUAAUACAUUGGUCUUCUAUUCGAAUCUUGAUAGCCGCAUUUUGCAAAAAAAAAAAAAAAAGGAAGGUUGAAAACCGGUUCAAUAGCGGUUCAAUCGCGGUUUUUACGGUUCGACCGGUUCUUGACCGGCUUUCUGACAAAGUCAACUAUGGCAUUGAACCGGACCGGUGCCAUGGCCUGGUCGAACAAAAAAAAAAAGGAAGGUUGAAAACCGGUUCAAUAGCGGUUCAAUCGCGGUUUUUACGGUUCGACCGAUUCUUGACCGGUUUUCUGACAAAGUCAACUAUGGCAUUGAACUGGACCCGGUGCCAUGGCCGGUUCGCGGUUCGACCAGCCGGUCCGGUUCGGUUUUCAAAACAUUGGCCUCCACGCCCUCUUCCUCGAACACAAAGCGGAGGUGAAAUGAGGUACUGUUUUGGUGUUCUUUUUUUUUUUCUGGAUAUUUUGGAGUAUCUUUAGCAAGUUACUGUAGAUUUUUUUUUUUUACAAAUUAUUUAUCUUCCUAAAAUACUCAAAAAACACGGAUGCUAAAACAAAAACCUAGCUUUUUAAAAACAUUUUUUGUUUAAAAGCCGGAAAAGAUUUUGGCUUUACCACUAGUUUAAAACUUCGGAUUAAUAAUUAAGAUUAAACAAUAAUGUUUUAAGUUUAUCUCCAGAAGGACUAACAGACGAGUUGAAUUGCCAUUUUCCUCUUUCGCAUGUUUGCCAUCAUACUUUAUUGUCCCUCCGGAUUGGAACGUACUCAGUCAGUAAAGAGAUGAAGGCCACAACAACAACAUGAUUAACAAAACUCGAAGUGAAAAUGCCAACCAAUCAUUAUCCUUUUUGGUUAUUAGAGCAUAAUACUAGAAAUAUGUGUGUGAAAUAUUUCACUUAUCAUGGCGAUGUACACUUUCAAUGCAACGAAUGUACAAUUCAAACAUGAGUUUAUGUUGUAAUGAAUAUGUAAAUAAGAGUUACAUUAUAGAGCACAAUUGUUAAGGCACUUUUUAUCUAUUCAAUGAGAUUAACACAAAUGCACCAUCGUUCAAGUUAUUCUUUGUCUAACGCCAUUAGUCAAGCACUUCAGCAACAGGCGAGAGAUGUGUAAUUAUGUUGAUGCCCCUUUCUUGAUAAGAUGGAAGCAAAUGCAUCAUUCAAGUUAUUCUUGGCCAAAAUUCAUUCAUCAUUUUUUUUUAAAAAAAUAAUAAUAAGAUAACGACAAUGGCACGCCAAUCCCCCAUGAAAGUGAGCUCAACAUCUUUAGUUGUGUAAAGUUUAAAAGGCUCACUUCUCGACAAUUUUACAAUUUAUUCAGAAUACUUCAUAUCUAAGAUUCCAUUUUCUCUUUCCAAAAAUAAAGGUUCAAGUAAUUUGACAUCACAAGCCUGAGAUACAAAGGUAAUUCUAAGUGUUUUACAUGUUUUUCAACUUAAGAAUGCGUUACAUUUUGUGGACGAUGUUGAGCUCUUAUUUUAAGAAUGCGUAACUGAUUAAAUAGAAUGAGACACGGAGGUCAUCGUCCAUAAAUCAGGCUACUUUUUGAAGCCAGUUCCCAAAACGUGACGGUUUUCAAACAAACGUAAUCACUGAAUGCGUUUUUUCAGGAAAGGCAUACGCUAAAUGCAAUGUUUAAAAUUUUAAGAAAAAAUAUAGUUUUAGUCCCUACUGUUUAAUCUACAUGCAAUUUUAGUUUUUAAAGUUUUGAUAAAAGUAAAUCUGGUCCUCAAUAUUUAGUAUAUGUAUAGUUUUAGUCCCUAUAGUUUUGGCAAUAGCAAAUCCGAUCUCCAAUAUUAUCAAUUUGAAGCAUUUUUAGGACAACUGGUGAAUUUUUCUAAAUAUUGAUCGAAUCAGUCAUGUUUGGUCACAUAUUUGUUGAAAAACUUCUUAAAAUUUAAUGAAAUAACAAGUAAUCUUGAACAGUAAGAAUAACUUGCACGCUAGCACAUUAAUAACUAAUUAAUCACGAGAAAAAGAAAGAAAAUUUGUUAAUCUAUAACUAAAAUUAGGUAUUACAAUUUUUUUUUUUGCUUGGAGACACGAGGGAUAGUCAAUGAAAAUGAAUUUUGGAUCGAUGAACUGGGUACAUUGAAGUUUUAGUUUAAAAAUUUUCCUUCUUUUAACUAUUUAAUUAGUUAGCACAUGAGUUAUUAGUUUUCAAUUUUGAUGCUUCAAGUUAGCUACUCUUUUGCUUCUUUAUUUUGAAAUUUAAAUUAAUAGGCAAAUGACUAAACGUGGCUCUAUUUUGUUAGUAAUUGAGAUAAAAAUUCUUCAAAUGUCCUAAACCAGAUUCAAAUUGGAUAUAAUGGGGACCAGAUUUGCUCUUGCUAAAAUUUUAUGGACUAACACUGUAGACGUGCUACAUAUUAAGGAUCAUGUUUGCUGUUGUUAAAACUUUAAGGACUAAAUCUGUACAUGGGCUAAACAUUGAGGACUAAAACUAUAUUUUUUCCAAAAAUGGAAAAUUUAUGCCUUCAAAGAAUGAAAAGUGGGAUUUAGCAAAUGCAAUUUUUUAACAAUUGGGGUCGGUCUAGUGGCCAAAAGAGAGCCUUUAGAGUUUUUAUGAUUGUUAGAUUUAGGGUUUAAAUCCUGUAUCUGAUAAUUGAUAGCAGGAAAGGUAUAGGAAUGGGUGGAAGGGUUAAGAAAAAUGCAACUUUUCUCAAACAUUGCAAUUACGAAAUAUAUUUUUCACCCUUUGGGAAGAAGUUUGAAAAACAUCAUUUUUAGGAUUUUUUUUUAAAAAAAAAAACUAGCACUCAUUCGGUAUAUACUCCAUCAUCCACUAGAUAAUUCUAUUUGCAAAACCAGCCAACUAGCAAAAUAAGUAAUACAUUGACAAAUUGGUCUUUUCCAAUUUGAUUGUGAUCAUAGUUCAUUGUCCCUCCUGGAUGGAACUUUAAGUUACACCACUUUUCCAACAGUCAUUCAGAUACAUUCAGAUUAAAGGGUUCCGGCAUUCAAUCAGUAAAGAUGAAGGCCCCAUCAACAACACGGAUUGAGGGCUUUUAUAAAUCCAUCACACCAUUUUUGUUAUUUCUUGUUAAUAAAACGUAAUUGUAUUGGAAGUUGAGUUGGAGCUUGGGACAGUUGACGUGGAUGCAUAUGAACUGUCUCACAGAUUAUGGUGAUUAUACACCUUCAAUGCAACGAGUGUACAAUAUUUUAAGCAUGAGUUUCGUGUUGUAAUGAAUAUGUAAAUAAGAUUUGUCUCAAGCAAUUAUGCCUAAUAAGAUUCACUUUGUAAAAAGGUGAAGACCCCAGCAACAAGCCAAGCAUCCAACUUUGCCAACGAAGCAGUGCUCUACACGAAUUGACGGCUCAUUAUUUCUUGUACCCAUAAAUAUCUCUGUGGUUAGUGUGAAUGCAGCAAAUUAAUAUGCAAAUGAGAGUCACAUUAUGGUUAAUUAAUCUUGGCCAUAAAUUAUCUCGGGCAAUUAUGCCCUGUAAUUAUUCAGGCUUUCUUUACACAUUUAAUGAGAUUGAGACAAAUGCACCACAAAAGUUUUUCUUUAUCAAAGUGAAACAGUUUGACAAAAACAAAGAAUAUGUAAUUAUUGAUGCCCUUUGAUGUCAAGAUUGAAGCAAAUGCAUCUUUCAAGAUACUAACCCCACCGACCGAUUUUUUUUUUUUUUUUUUUUUAGAAAAAGGAAAUUGGAUUGUAGGUCGAAAAUCCGACACCAAUCCCGCAUGAAAGUGCACACAAAAUCCUUGGUUUUGUGAAGCUUAAAUGGAUCAAUUCUGAACUGAUGAUUAUUUUACAAUUCCUUGAUGAUUGUUCUCUUCAGAAAAUAUACGUUCAAGUAAUUUGAGAUCACCAAUUGACUGAACAUGGUCUCUUUGUGGGUCCUCCUUAGAUUGCUUUCGUGAUCGAUUUUCCGAUGACUCCUGCAUUGGUUUAAAUUAGCAGUGUGUGUGUUUAUUUCGUUUCCGAAAAAAAAGUAAUUUGAGAUCACAAGUUUGGUACACAAACCUAUGAACCAUCCACUUUAUGUCUCUAUUCUUAACCAGCAAAGAAGCAAGGUAGCUGGUCCAAAAAGAAGAUUCCCUGUUUGUUUGUAAUAAAAAUGAGUCCCACCGUAGAAUAAAGCAGGAGCACUCGAAGACUUAUCUUAGAAGCACUUCAAAUUCUUUUCUUCUCCUUAACAUAUUUGCUUUUAGGUGAUGCAGCUGAAGAAUUCCUUCUUAUCUCAUUGCAAAAGGCGUCCUGAUCAUCACCUUAACUGAUACCAGAAUACUAAGCCUCAUGAAUGAGACACGAAGCUGAUCAUCCAAAAGAAGAUCCAAAAUAACUGUUAAUUAUAAAGUACUAAUUGGGCAAUGUAGAACCCUGGAAAAGCAUUCAAUCAGAAAAAGGUGAAGACCCUAGCGACAAGCUAAGCACCAAUUCCUUUGGAAAUUAAAGCAUCCCACUUUGCCAACGAAACACUACUCCACACGGAUUGAGGGCUCAUUAUUUGUCACAUAAUUAUCGUCAUUAUCAUUAAAGGUGAAGACUGUUAGCUUCCUUAUAAAACCCCCGUCAAUAAAAAAAAAUUCAUCUCACUCUUCCUUCUCUUGACCACUAACACUCUGGUGGAGCGAAAAUAGAGAAACUAUUUGUGCCGUCUUUUUACUUCAAGAUCAGGUAACCUCCUCUUCUAUUCAUAGUUUCUUCAUAGUAUUACGGAUACAUUGACAUGGGGUGUAUGAUGGAAUUCUUUUUUGUCAUAUGAAUUUUCAAAACUCCUUAAUGAAUCAAAUUUAUACUCUUUUUAGUUGUUUUCUGGAUACUUGAUUGUGCUUUUUCUUAAAUACUUGAUAGCUUAUUCUUUGGUCUUCUACCUGAUUAUAUGAAUAAUUAUACGGCUUCAAUGAUUUUUCAAAAUUAUCCCUAUUUAACAAUCCUGGACAAGUAGGAUGAGAGAUUAUGAUGUAUGUAUUGCUAGGAAAGUUCGUUAAUUUGCAUUUAGAUCAAAGUUUAAACAAGUUGGAUAAUUGAUAAUUUAUUCCCGUUGAAUCAUCUUAGACAUCAAUUUAUGCUGCACUUAGUGCUGAUCUUAAUCACUCACAACUAUGAUCAGAUUAUCACCAAUUAAUGGCUUGGCAUAAUCCCUCACAACAACUUUUGCCGGUUCUUUUAGAUGGAGCUAUAUACUCGUAAGGCAGCAUACGACAUGAAAUAAUUGAUUUUUUUUCCAAGUAGUAUUGGGUGGCAAACUAUGAUCAUAUUUUAAGGACCUCGUAUAUAUAGUAAGGUUGUCUGAUUAGCAACAAAUUUAUUAUUUUAGUUACCUACUGACUCAUAAAAACAAAUACACUAACAUUAAUACUUUCAGAUGGAUAAGAAAUCACACGAAGAUUCAAAUCAGUUUCACAUCCAACAAAAACAAUGACAAUUAGUUGGUGUUGAUGUUAUUUACCAUGUAACAAAAUUGAUCAUGCCUCAAAGGAUUUGUUGCACAAAUUAUGUUGAAUGACCCAAUGGGUAUCGAUCUAAACAAAGUCAGAAUGUGCGAAAGGAAAUACUGAUGCAACUUAGAACAAAUCAGGUAUGUAGACUCGACAAACAUUGACAAAAAAUUCCUAAUUUUGGCCAACUUGGAUAUAUAAACUUAAACGGUGAUGUGAGGUGAAAAAUUAGGGGCAACAUGGAGGAACACUGGUCUAGGGGAAUUAUAUGACAAUUGUAGUUUUGAUGGAGUAAAAUAAUAAGCUCUUGACUUAGGUUCCGUUUGAUAAAACUGAAUCUGAAUUUUGAAGUCUGAAUUCUGAAAUCUGAAUACUGAAACAAUUAAUUUGCUGAAUUUUAAGCAUUGAAAAAAAUAUGUGAAUGUCUGAAUUUUAAUGCUAAACCUAUUUAUACUGUUUGAUAAAUAUUUAUUACUGAAUGCUUAAUAAGUUUAAUUUGACAAUUUUGCCCUUAUAUCCUUUUAUUCAAAAAAGAAAUAGAAUCUAUGAUUUGAUUAGUUUAAAAUUGUUAGGUAUGAAAAUGACAAUAUUUAUUUUUAAAUCAAAUUAAUAUAAAAGAUGAAAUAUAUUAUAUAAGGAAUAUGGAGAAGAUGUGAAAGUCAUUAAAAAGGGAGAAAAGAGAAACUAAAAAUCGUUAGAUAGAGAAUAUUAGGUUGUUUAAUUAGAUAAGAAUUUUGAAUAUAAUUAACAAAUAAGGGUAGAUUUGGUAAAUAAAAUAAGGUAGUUGAAGUAAUUCUAUUGAUUCUUAUCAGAAUUAAGCAUUCAGUUAGGAUUCUUGUAUUGAAAAAAAUACACACAGGUUCAGCAUUGCUUAAUAAGUUCAGCAAAUAGAUUUUCAUUUAUCAAACACUCAAAACAUUUGAAUGUCUGAAAAAAUUCAGAUUCAGCUAUGUUAUCAAACAGACCCUUAAACCUGAAGGUGUUUAAAUUUUCUUUGGCUUAAAGGCGUUUAAAUUUGAAGCUGUCAGUUUUGUUGCAAUUAUUUACUUUAGAAGAACUUUUUAAUUAAAGGGCACGGUUGUAAAACUAACAAGGGAGACAAUCUUUUCCUUUCACUCCUCCCAAGUCUCAAACAAAACCAAAAAAAUCAUUUCUUUUCUUUUCUUUUUUAAGUUCCCAAACAACAUUGAAGGAAAGUUGUCUAACUUAAUUAGUCAAACAUUCUUUAUGUUUAUAUAUAUAUAUAUGACUCAAUCCAAGGUUAUGCAAAAUUUAAAAGAUUUAAUAAUCAACAGUUCUACAAUUUGGACAAAGAAUCUCAAGAUUUCAUUAUUGACCAAAAGCAAGUAAUUUGAGAACACAAGCCUCACUACCAAGACACUAAGGUAACCAUCCGCUACACCUCUCAAAAUUUCUACUACACAGGAGGCAAAUUAACUGGUUUAAAAAGAGGGUCUGAUUUGUUUAUUGAUUUGCUAUAUAAACUUUUUGGUCCCAUUAAUUUUCGCUACCUUAAUUCCCUAAUUGAGGAACGGUCUUAUAAAAGUUUCACCACCUACUCAGAUUGCUACAAUUUAUAGUUCCAAUUUUCUUUUCAUCCGACCACAGUGGUUUAAUUUCUUCCACAACUAAGGCCCCCAUCAGUGACUAAAUCAGAUUGCGCUAAAAUUAUUUUGAGGUGCCCCACGCAAUUUGAUUAAUCACAAUUAUACUAAUCUGAAUCUCUCUUAUACAUCAGCCCACUGGAAUCGUUUAAUCAUCUCUCUCUUGUUCUGACUGGCUUCUAUUCUGAUUUCUGCCAUUUGUUGCUGAAACAUUCCUUCCAUCUCUGAUAUCAGAAAACCUUUCGAUCCUAGUUCCAAUUCCAAGCAAGAAACAAUGGCUGACGCUGUUAUCAGUGCUACUGUUGAGGUCGUCUUGGGGACACUUAUUUCCAUUGCUGCGGACCGCAUUGGUAUGGUUCGGGAGGUCGAAGCGGAGUUGGAGAGACUAAGCAACACUGCUGCAAUGAUCCGAGAUUUCUUGGCUGAUGCUGACGGGAAAAUGCAUACCCAAGGGGUGCGACAGUGGCUCAAGCAGCUAGAAGAUGAGGUUUUUAAAGCUGAUACCGUGCUAGACGAGCUCAACUACGACAAUCUUCGUCGGGAGGUGAAGUACCGAAAUCAACCAAUGAAGAAGAAGGUAUGCUUCUUCUUCUCCUUCUUUAAUGCAAUUGGCUUUAGUUCCAGCUUGGCUUCAAAGAUCCGGGACAUCAACACCAACCUAGAGAGGAUCAACCGGCAGGCCAAUGACUUGGGAUUGGUCAGAAAGCACCAAAAAGAAGCUGCACUCCCUGCUGAUGCCGCGGCAAGCAGACAGACCGACUCUAUUGUCGUUCCGAACGUUGUAGGAAGAUCCGGCGACGAGUCAAAGAUAGUGGAGAUGCUGUUGACCCCAUCUGAAAAGGUUCUUUGUGUUAUUCCCAUAACAGGCCCGGGAGGUUUGGGAAAGACAACUCUGGCGAAAUCAGUCUACAAUAAUCCAAAAAUAGAUGGGCACUUUGGCCAAAAAAUUUGGGUUUGUGUGGCUAAAGAACACAUUAAGAUAAUGGAGCAGUUCAAGCUCAUUUUAGUACAAUUGACACAAGAUGAAGUUAAAGUGGAUGGCAGAGAGGUUAUCGUUAAAAAAAUUGGAGAAAAGCUCAAGGGAAAAAAAUAUUUCCUUGUUCUUGAUGAUGUGUGGGAUCAUGAUCAAGGAUUGUGGAAUGAUUAUUUCAACACUUUGAUGGGACUCAACGAAACCAAAGGAAGCUGGUGUCUUCUCACUACUCGUCUAGAAUAUGUGGCUAAUGCUGUGCCUAGAGAUUUGCAAAUGAAUGAUCGUCCUUAUUUCUUAGCAAAGCUAUCAGGUGAUGAGUGCUGGUCCAUCAUAAAAGGAAAGGUGAUGAGUGCAGGGGAAGAAGUACCAGAAGAAUUGGAAGCACUGAAGAAGCAAAUUUUAAGGAGAUGCGAUGGCCUACCCUUGGCGGCAAGUUUGAUUGGUGGCUUGUUGCAUACCAACAGAAGAGAGAAGUGGCACUCCAUUGUGCAGGAGAGUAUUUUGAAUGAAUAUCAAAGCCAAAUUAAUCAAAUACUUAAGGUGAGCUUUGAUCAUUUAUCACCUGCAUCAGUUAAGAAAUGUUUUGCAUAUUGCUCAAAUUUUCCCCAGGAUACUCAAUUACGAGAAGAUGAACUAAUUCAGCAUUGGAUUGCGGAAGGUUUUGUUCUAAAGAAUAAUAGAGUGAUGGAGGAAACAGGAGGCGAGUAUUUGAGGAUUUUGUUGCAAAAUUCCUUGCUGGAAAAAGUCGAAGAGUCGUGGAGAACAUACUAUAAAAUGCACGAUCUCGUGCAUGAUUUUGCAAAAUCAAUUCUUAAUCCAGAAAGCAGCAAUCAGGAUCGCUACCUUGCAUUGGACUCUUCUAAAGGUUUGGAAGAAAAUACCAUAAGGACAAUACCAGCAUCAAUUCGCACAUUAUUUCUCCAUCUAGAGGGCGGCGUAUCUACUGACAUGCUUUUAAGAUUCAAGUGCUUGAAUGUUCUCAGAUUGUCUGGCGAUGAUGUCGAGUCUCUACCGAGCUCCAUUGGCAAACUACUACAUUUGCGGCUGCUCGACAUUUCAUCUUCUAGAAUCAGAAGUUUGCCGGAAUCCCUUUGCAAGCUAUAUAAUUUGCAGACACUAACGAUUGAUGAUGAUGCACUUGGAGGACGUUUUCCAAAACGGAUGAGCGAUUUGAUUAGCUUGAGGCAUCUAAAUUACUAUGAUUAUCUUCGAGAAUUUAAAAUGCCGGCACAGAUGGGACGAUUGACUGGUCUUCAAACUCUGAAGUUUUUUAUUGUAAGUCAAGAGAGGGGUCGUGGUAUCGAAGAGCUUGGGACCUUGAAAUAUCUGAAAGGAUCGUUGACUAUAAGAAAUCUUGGACUAGUGAAGGGCAAAGAAGUAGCUAAAUAAGCAAAAUUGUUCGAAAAGCCAGAUCUGUCUUACUUGGCGUUUGAAUGGGAGAGUGGGGAUCGGGAAAGCGAUAACCGUGAAGAGGAUGUGUUGGAAGGUCUCCAACCUCACCCAAAUUUGGAAAGGUUGGGAAUUCAAUAUUUUAUGGGUAAUAAAUUUCCACAAUGGCUUAUCAAUUUGUCAAAAUUGGAGGAAUUGCGGAUAGAAGGCUGCAAGAGAUGCAGUGAACUCCCCUCAUUAGGACAACUGCCAUCCCUCAAAAUUCUCUAUUUGAUAAGAUUGGACAACAUUCGAUUUAUUGGAGAUGAAUUCUACGGUAUUACUGCUAAUGAGGAGGAGGAGGGCAGAUCACGAGCAUCAGGGAGCAGCACUAGAAGGCAAAAAUUCUUUCCUGCCCUUGAAGAACUCACUGUAGUAGAUAUAGAGAAUUUGGCAGAGUGGAAGGAUGCAGACCAAGUGAGGUCAGCAACAGGUGAAGCAGAAGCAGAUGUCUUUCCCGUGCUGAGGAAUUUUCGCAUUCGAGAUUGCCCACAACUGACCACCAUUCCAACUCAAGGUCGUUUCCCAAGUCUUGAUGUAUUGGAAAUAAAAAAGAAUUGCCAUGUUUUGCUGGCAGAAAAGGUUUUGAGCAAUAUAGCCAAUCUCUCGUCCCUUGAAUUAAGUGGCGGUCAUGAAGGCAUCGAGUCUCUAAAAUUAGUGAAACGACCAGAGAGCAGCUUGAGUAUUGAUGGCUGUAACAGUCUACCCACUGACAUGCUUGAGCGACUCUGUCUUUUUCCAACUCUUCUGCGUGUAGAAUUGAGGGGUGCCGAUAAUAUAACAACAUUAAGAGGACAGAAAGGCCUGCUUAAGUCUCUUCAGGAAUUUACUGUCAAUGGGUGCGAUGCAUUAACAAGGUUACCAGUGGAGAUGUUCGAGUCGUGUACGUCUCUCCGAGUGCUGAAUUUGGUCGAUUGCCCCAAUCUGGUCUCCUUUCCCCUUGAUUUGCAACGAACCCCUUCUCUCGAGAGCUUCUCGUUAUUCGAGUGUCCCAACUUGAUUGCUGAGAUGCCUAGUGGAUUUGGCUAUCUUACCAGCUUAAAGAAAGUGCAGAUUGGUCCCUUCUCAGAUGUCUCUGUAAUCGAAUUUGAUUGGGCUGGAUUAGCAUCUUCACCAACACUCCGACACGUGUUUUUAUGGGGAAUGCCUGACAUGAAAUCUCUGCCACAUCAGCUUCAAUGCUUGACUACCAUCACAUCACUAUGUCUAAUUGGCUUCGAAGCAAUCGAAGCCUUACCAGAUUGGCUUGGGAAUUUUGCAUAUCUUGAAGACCUAAUCCUAUACUAUUGCCUAAAGCUUGAAUAUUUACCAAAAGAUGCCAUGAAACGCCUCAAAUUAAGACGUCUGGAAAUUAGUUAUUGUCCUCUAUUAACCGAAAGAUGCACUCCUCGUAGCGGCUCCGAGUGGCCAAAGAUCUCUAAUAUUACAGAGCUUGAAAUUGAUUAAAAGCCAUCUUUCUGAGCCAUCCGGUAAGAUUUCACUGCAAACUUUUGAUUAAUUGCUUCUCAUUAUUGGAUAUCACUGUUCUUCACCAUCUUAUUCUAUCCAUCUUUUUGCCUCACUCUUUUUCUACUUCUUCUCAUUAAAGUUUCUUGUCCCUCUCUGGUGGAACUUACACAAUUAUUCAAUCAGAAAAAUAUGAAGGCCCCAGCAACAACAGUGAUCGAGGGCCAAGCAACUUCCAUUGCAAAAGCAUCCAAAUUUCCCACCGAUGUCUUUUAAGUAUUCUACCGAAACAACUAAUGGCCGCCUUCAUUGACCAAACUUAGAAUUGUUGUGGCCGACAAAAUUUAGUCUAGGCUUUCAUACAGCUAUUCUUUAUCAAAUCAUGCAACAUAUAUUUAUUUGUAAACCAAAAACUUGCAACAAAUAUUUGGAAUUUUUUUUUUGAAAAAUAUUGUGACGUUUCUUUAAUCUGAUGUAUGAUGUAUGUGAGAUAAAAAAAAUAGUUAAAAAUGUAUUAAUAAUAUAAAUAAAUAAAUCUUGACAAAUAAUUUACAGUCACAAACAAACCCAUUACAGCCAGAUGACACGUUACUAUGAACUAUGAACAGAGAAUCUUUUAGAAGUUUGCAUCCGAAGAUCAAAAUAUUCCUUUGCUAACUUAAAUAUAUGCAUUUACCAUUCCAUGUACUGAGAAAUAAGUACAACAUUGGCAAUAAUUCAUACGGUAAUUCAGAUAUUUUCAGUAACAGGCCCCAGCAUUGAAUCAUAAAAAUAUGAAGGCCCCAGCAACAACAAUAAUGAUUAAGAAAGCUAGGGCGAAAAUGCCAAGCAUCCAAUUUCCUACUGAAUUGAAGCCCAGCACUAGACUGAUUGAGGACUCCUUAUUUGUCACAUAAUUAUCAUUAUUUAUUUCUUGUACCAAAACAUGGUAGUCGAAGUUGAGUUGGACCACAGGGUUGUUAAUGCGAGCAUAAAUAUCUCAUGUGAUUAGGGUGGUUCUACACCUCGAAUGCAACAAACGUAGUACAGUUUAAGCAUGGAUUUGUGUUGCAAUUAAUGUAUGCGAAUAAAAUUCAUUGUGUGAUUGUAAAAAAAUAAAUAAAAUUUCCUCUUAAUUUCUUAAAUUGGAGAAUAAAAGAAGCUGGUAAAUUGUUUUUUUUUUCUUUUUUGGCAAAGCCCCAAAUUGGGGUAGGGAUGCCAUCCCUUAAUUUAUUUAUAUCGAAAAAGAGUACAGCGAAUUAGAGGAGGGCCAAACCUGACCUCUGUUAAAGUAAAAGAAACAGUUAAGGAUCAACAAUAAAACGCACAUAUGGAAAAAUCUGGAAUAAUCUUGUGGGAUUGUGAGUGAGCAUGGGAAUUUGGUUUAACAUCUUGACGUGUUUGCAUUGUUUUACCUUUUUUUUGAAAGCUGCUUCCUCGCUCUCUUCGAAUCAUUUGGGUAAAUUGCUCGUGAACUAGGUUCUGGUCUUGAUCUUUGUCUUUUUCGCAUUGUGAAUCACCUUCCUCCUCUUCAUUUUUGUCAUCAUUGCAUGUUGUACUUGAAUGAAGAAAAGGCUUUUGAUGUACAAAGGGGAUCCUACCAUGUAAUUUCUCCCAUUUAAACUGUUCGAAAACAUCUUUAAAUUGCGGAACAUCUUUAAACCGUGACUUUUGAGGCAUAGAGGAUUUCAUUUCUAUUCUUGUACUUGUACCCACAAGGGGUGUAUCUCCAACUGACACCACAUCAUGUAGGUCAUGAAGAAGCCGGUAAAUUGUAAUUAACUUAUUAUACAAAAAAAAAAUUUAUGUUGUUUCUUCAGCUUUAUAAAUUUUUGGUGUGAAAAUUUUUUUAUUUGCUUAAGAAUAAAAAUUAAUAAAAAUUUUAAAAAGAGUAAUUUGGAAUAAAAACUAGAAGGGAAGGGAAAAAAAUGAAGAAAAUAUCAACAUAGUAGAGGGAUUUUUUUUCCUCUUAGUUAGGGGGUUAAGUGUUACAAAAUAGAAAUUAGUGGGUAAAAUGAAAAAUAGGGCAUACCUUAGCAAGAUAAAUUGUAAUUAACUCGUAUUAUUAAUUAAAUAAAUCUUAUAUACACUGACAGUGUAUACACUCUCACCGUUAGAUUCAUGACACGUGUGCAAAAAUUAAAUUUCAAAUUUAAAUUUUAUAUAGUUAUCAUUCAUCUAAUGCUGAUAAUGUAUACACUGUAAGUAGGAAAGAUUAAUCCUUAUUAAUUUAUUAUGUGAUCUUAACUUCAAAGGUGAAACUAAUAAUAUGGACCAUUAACGGUCGUACAUGAGCCAUUAAUUAAGAACAUCUUUAGCUUAAACUCUGACAGCCACUAAGUUUUUAACUUCCAUAUUUAUACCCCUGAAGCAAAUGUUUUGAGUAUAUCUCUAAAAGGACUAACAGAUUAGGUGAAUGACCAUUUUCCUUUUUCCCAUGUCUUUGCCAUCACACUUUAUAUAAAGUCCCAUUAGGCUGCAACGGACAAGUGAAAAUGCCAAGCAUUCAGAUCUUUUCAGAUUAAAGGGCUCCAGCAAGCAUUUACUCAAUAAAGAUGAAGGCCCCAGCAGCAACAGGAAUGAUUAAGAAAACUCAGGUGAAAAUGCCAAGCAACUUCCAAUGCGGAAGCAUCCGAUUCCAAGCUCGCCGACGAAGCAUUGCAAUUCUACACGACCGGAGGACUCUCAAUUGGUCACAUCAUGAACCUUUUUUUUUUCUUGUGAAUAGAACAUAAUACUAGAAGUUGAGGCGGAGCCGAGGGUUGUUAAGAUAUAUACAAUAAGAUUAUGGUAAUUGUACACCUUCAAUGCAAUGACUGUACAAUUUAAACACGAGUUUGUGUUGUAAUGAAUAUGCAAAAAAAAAAAAGGGUUACAUUAUGGUUAAAAAUUUUGCCAUAAAUUGUCUCAAGCAAUUAUGCCCAAUAAUUGUUAAGGCACUUUUUUAUCUAUUCAAUAAGAUUGAGAGAAAUGCACCGUUGAAGAUAUUCUCCGUCAAAAUUCAUUAGCCAAACAUUAUAGCGAAAACAAGAAAUGGAAGUGUUGAGGCUUCUUUAUUUAUUUAUUUUUUGGAUAACAUUGAAGCAAAUGCAUCAUUGUUAUUCUUUGCCAAAUUACGGCCAUCAGUUUUUUUUUUUCUAUUAAAAGAUAGUGACAAUGGCACGUCAAUCUCCCCUCAAAGUGAACUCCACAUCUUUGGUAGUGUCAAACAAGUGGUUGAACUUUAAUUUUCUAAAACAAUACAGCAGCGAACCACACAAUUACACUGUGCAUUCUUACUAUCAGGGUUGGUUAUUGUAACAUCUGAUAUUUGUAUGUAUGUGUGUGUAUAUAUAUAAGGGUGUAUUUGAUAAAAUUGAAGUUUGAAAAGUGAAAUCUAAAAUCUAAAGUCUGAAUUCAUUAAAUUAUUAAAAUGUUAUAUACUAAAUCAAAUACUUUUAAGUGUAUUUCACAUUCAAUGAUAAGUGAAUAGCUAGCUUAUCACUUAUUUUUAAGAACAAGCUUUGAAAUUCUCCUCUUUGCUCUAUGUGUGCGCGUGUGAAAUUGAGUUAUCAAACACGGCCUAAGUGUGAAUGUGUGUAUAAUGCUAUAUAAACGAGGAAACUUUGAUCUAGUGAUUAAUGUUGAAAAGUCAGAAAUUAGAGAUUCAGGGUUCAAUUCUCCUCUUUGCUCACUCCACUUCUUAAAUCUCCUUCUUCCUUACUACACUUCUUAAAUCCUAGAAAGCCUUGCUUUAGUGGUUAAUGUUAAAACUUCUUAUAUCUCCUCUUUCCUUACUCUACUUCUUAAAUCCUAUAAAGUUUUGGUCUAGUAGUUAAGUUUGAAACUCCAACAAUCAGAGGUCCAAGUUUCACUUCUUGUCUUUUCUCACUUCACUUCUUAAAUCCUACCAUUCAUGUGAUUUUUUUUUUUAAAAAAACAAUAUAAAUGUUUUUGAUUUUAUUUUCAAAGGACUCACUUCUUAAAUCCCACUCUUACUGUGUUUUUUUAAAAAAAAAAAUUACUACACGAAUGUUUUUGAGUUUAUUGCUAAAGUACUCAUCAAUAAAUGAGGUGAGCUGCCGUAUGCAUUUUUCCAAUUUGAUUAGGAACGUGUAGUUUCUUGUCUAUCUGGGGUGGAACCUACACCAGUGUUAGAACAACCAUUCAAGCACUUAGUACAACAGGCCCCAGCAUUCGGUCAAAAGAUAUGAAGCUCAGCAUUCAAUUAUAAAAAAUGAAGACCCCAGCAACAACAAUGAUCAAGUGAAUUCAAACUCCAACAGUUAUUCCAGAUUUAUCAUGAUGGUUAGUUAAUUUCAAAUGCAAUUGAGUCGGAUUCUCCCUUAGUAUAUAAUAAUGUAGAAUUAGUGUAGCUGCUGUGGAUUCACAAAAUAAAUAAAUAGAAAUAAAAAAAUAAAAAUAAAACUUCCACAGAUUAAGGGCUCAUAAUUUGUCGCAUAAUUAUUCUUGACAGGUCGUCAACCUGUGCAAUAAUAAAAUUAAACCUAAUUGCCAGUUAAAAUGACCAAAACCCAAUUCCAAGUACUGGAGCAGGGACUCUAGGUGUGCAAUGGGUUACUUGAUUCACCCUGUUCCCGAAGAGUUUGCUUGAUCCGAUAUACCCGAAUGGAAUGGUUAUUCCUUUUCACAAAUGAUUAGGAAUUUGUAGACAGGGCAAGUAGGGUCGUAUCCACAGAGACUGGGUAUAUUUGUUUCUUAAGAAAUCCAAAGUAACACAGGGGGUGAUUUUGUAGGAACGACGAUAAUUAAAUAAAUUCAAAUGAGAAAGUAAAAAUAAAUAAUUAACUAGAAAUUAAACCACAAUUUACUGAACUCAGGAUAACAAUAGUUAAAGGCCUCAAUUAAUUAAAAUAAGGAAACAAUCAAAAAUAAAAUAAAGUAGGUAAUUAAAAGUCAAAUGGCAAUCCACUACAAUCAAGGAAAUAUUAACUAAAGAUCUAGCCAAGAAAUAACUUCAGCAAUGGUUCACCUAAUCGAUCAUUGAUGCAAAGCAAUCCCAAUUAUUUACUAAUAAAUAGGUUAUAACUACCAAACAAGCGAUGGCAGUCAACCCCUCCUUACUGUGUCGGUGAUCAAGGUACGCCCGUUAAUCACUGCUCUAAUUGAGAAAUAAUCCUAGGUACGCCCGUAGAAUUUAAUUCCCCAACUGCCUUACGUAUUAGAGGAGCCCUAUUCUACCCAAAUAACACACUACCAGGGUUAUUUUAGAUUAGCCCGCGUAUCCCCCUGACACGAAUCUAAUCGUGCCAGUUGUCACUAAUUUGAGGUAAUUAAACAAUUACGGAUUCAAUACCCCAAUUGACAAUAGAUUAUCAAACCAAUGAAUUAUCCGGAUCCAAGACAAUCAACUAAUUAAAUAAUCAUAAGCACUGCAACCAAGGAAUAUGCGAAUACCAAUAAAUAAAGGAAAAGAUAAAAUUAAAUCGAUCUCACAAUUUACAGGUGACCCAAAGCAUCAGUCGUUUCUUGACUAGAACGAGGGGGUUAGCUCAUAUUGGAUGAACUAAGCCCGCGGGAAAUUCCAGCAAAAGUCACGGCCGUUGUAUGCAUUUCAAGAGCCGCAAUUCGUCAAACACUUGGAAAGCGAAUGUAAGGCACGGGUAACAAUUGAAACUUUCUAAUUGUUCCUAGCAUUCGUAAAGCAAAUUCACUCCAGAAGUACAGUGAGGAAAAGUCAAAGAAAGUGGGCUUCAAUUCCUUGCUCCUGACAUGCGUGGAGACAAGCCAAUGCAAGACUACAAUAAACUAACAAGGAAAAGUCAAGAAUUGGAGCUAAGCUCCCCUGCCAUGCGCAGGAAUCCCAAAAGUAAAAAGUAAAGCUUCAAAGAAAAGUCAACAAUUCUUCCUAAGCUACAGACGGAAGAUCCAGCACAAAAGCCAGCUCCCUUUUUGAUCCCUUUUUCCCCCUUCUUAUUGCGGCGGCUCACCAGGAGAGGAGAGCCCUCCGUCCGUCCUUUCUUCCGGAAAUUACCAAAAUGGGCAUGACAUCUUCUCUUCCAAAAGUGCCCCUGGGACAAGCUUUCUCAUCUGAAUUCUUUUUUUUUCCAAUUUGGCACCUGUUAUCAUAUUUAUAUUCUACUCCCUGAAAUAAACGUCAAAUACUAAAAGUGAGUAGAAUCCAGCAAAUAAAUCCACAUCAAGUCAGGUAAUAGGAGGAAUUAAUAAUAAAAUAAAUGAAUAAAUUGCACCCUAUCAAUUCCCUCCACACCUAAACCAUGCUUGUCCUCAAGCAUAAGAAAAGUAAACGAACACCAAAAUUCGACGAUAGCCAUUGCCCAAUCUCCUAUAUUGCCAAGACAUUCAAGAGAAAAACACAUAUCGAGCAUUGGUGAUUAGAAUCCCAGAAGCAUCCCCCCGGUUAGCCCUUAAACUGCAAAUUCCUUCAAUUUCCAGGUUAACUAUUCUAAGAAAAAGGAAUGGCACGCAACAUUUAUCAGCUAAUGGUCCAAAUAUUCACACAAGUCCCCAUAUUAAGUCCAUAAACCAGCAAGAUCUCCUAUUAUUUAUUCUCUUUUUUUUUUCUUUUUGUGUGUUUUUUUUUUUCUUUUUUUUUCUCUUUUCUUUUUUUUACGUUUUUUUCAAGCAAUAAUAAUAUUUGACACAAGAAGACUUAGUCUCUAGCCGCCGGAGCCUUUUGACGCGAACUCCAUCAUUUUUAGAUGAAGGAGCCCGGUUACUCAGCUUCUGCCGCUAUACGACCACGUACUCAUAGAAAGUACCACCUUUUGACGCGAGAAUCGACACUUUUAGGUGCAGAUCCCCGGUUACUCAGUAGUGACUAAUAGCGGAGUACAGUCCAGAUUAUUCACAGCCAAACAAAGCCAAAAACACGAAAUACCAACACUAGCAACUAAGCAUAGGGGCAGCUCGCCUCAUUAUUGCCAAACAUGGAGAACUGGAGUCAAUAUUGGACCAGUUCACCUUAAAAUGCCAACAGUCAUUCCCAACGCCUAGAAAAGUUAACAAAGAAAUCAAAAGAGCCAAGCAAUCCGAUAUUCACCAAGGAGAUAUCUUGGAUCCAACCACAUCAACCCGAUACAUACUUAUUUUAAAAACUUGGCAAAAGUAGAAUUAGAGUCAAUGAGCCAACAUCCAAUCAAUUUUUUUCUCUUUUCUUUUUCUGUUUUUUUUUUCAGGAGAGAUAAGCACCAAGCAGAAAGAAAGAAAAUGAGCAACUAGAAAUAAAACUAAAAACUAAAGAAAACUAAAAACACUAGCACCCCAUUAGACCCCCCCACACCUAUAGGACACAUUGUCCUCAAUGUGACAAAUAACCAACAAAAGUGGGUGAGAGGACAGAAACACUUCCCUGAAAUCCGGUCAAAGAGGUGGGCGAGGUGGAGCUGGAGGAGGAAAGCCCGUAUGAUGCAGAAAUUGCGCCAAAUUCUGUGCUAUGCCCGCUACAUUGAGGUCGACGUUGAGCAUUCGAGCCUCCAAAUUCUGAACCCGCUCCUGGAGUUGUUGCCAUUCAGUUGACCCAUAUGGUGGAGGUCGCGCAGAAGAUGACGGCCCAGCGGUGUCCUCGGCCGACCCAGGGAAUGAAGAGUGCCCCGCCUGCGUUGAAGGCUGUGCACCCGGAGCUCGAACUGGGCCCGGAGGUGUAAACUGGUGGAAACCAUUGGGUAGGCGCUCGACGACUCCCAUUUUCUCUAAGCAGUUCACGUCCAGGAGCUCCAUCUCGAAAGCCAAAUGUAAGUCGUGGUCCUCCAGACUAAGAACUCCCAACUCCACAGGGACUACCCCAGGCGGCAGACAGAGAAGCGGCGUUGAAGCUGGUGGUCGAGCGGGGCGACGCUCGCGUCGGCGUGCGCAGCGGCGACGGCGCGCGAGGAUGGAGUUUCGUGGGGAGGUCGCGUGCGGGCUUGGGCUGAAGACGCGGCGCGCGCUAGGGCUUCGCUGCGGCAGGGCGAGCAGGAGGCGGCGACUGGCGGCGCGCGGCUGGAAUUUCAACAGCGGCGGCGUCGAUGGAGAUCUUGUAGUGGCUGUGCUGCUCGGCGGCUGGCUGUGCGAGGAUGGGGGCUGCGUGCGGCUGCUCGCGGCUGGUGAUCUGGCGGUGGAGAGCAGCGGCGAAGGGCGGCGGCGGCUUGGGCUGGUCGAGCGUGCGGCGGGCGAAGAGAGCAGGAGAGCAGCAGGGGAGAAAGAAAGAAAAGAGAAAGAAAGAAAGAAAGAAAAAGAAAGGAAAGAAAGAAAAGAAAAGAAGGAAAAGAAAAAGGAAUUUUUCUUUUUUUUUUUUUUUUACUUUAGGCUACGGUUUAGAGGACAAAUUUUUCUUCUUCUUGUUUUCUUCUUUUUUAUUUUUUUUUUAGUUUUUAAUUUAGUAUUAUUAUUAUCAUAUUUAAUUGAGGAAAGAAAAAAAAAAUGUUUUUUUUUUUUACUUGAAUAAAUGAAAUGAUAAUAAUAGUUUUUCUAUAUUUUUCAUAUAUUUUUUUUAAAUCCCUACCUUUCCCGCGAACGUGACGCGGGCACGUCAAGAGGGCAGGAGAGCUCCCAGAAGUUUCAGAAUUUCCUGAUCGUGAGCGCCCUGCACGUCACCACGCGGGCACGUCAUGAGGACAUGAGAGCUCCCAGAAGUUUCAGAAUUUCCUGAUCGUGAGCGCCCUGCACGUCACCACGCGGGCACGUCAUGAGGACAGGAGAGCUCCCAGAAGUUUGAAGUUUCUGAUUCCUGCCCGUCAUCACGCGGGCGCGUCAUGACUGAAGGUCACCUACAAAUCAGCAAAAACGAAAACUAACACCCAAAAUCAGUCAAAUUCAGGGAAAGCAGAUUUAAACUAUGCUACAAAACCAACAAACAAUUAAAAGAAAUAAUUAGGUUGCCUCCCAAUGAGCGCCUUUCUUUAAUGUCUUUGGCUAGACAUGGUAAAGUGUCACUGAUUAGGACACGGUGGUGCGUCAAGCCUUAUUGUCUCCACCUCUCUACCUGAAAAUCCUUCGUAAUAAUAUUUGAGACGGUGUCCAUUCACCACAAUUUUGUUGUCUGUCUUAGCACUCCGGAUCUCAACUGCACCAUAGGGAAAAACACGAGUAACAAUGAAAGGUCCAAUCCAACGGGAACGUAGCUUACCUGGGAAUAGCUUGAGCCUGGAUUGGUACAGGAGGACCUUCUGACCAACCUCAAAUGUUUUUCUUGAAAUUUGUUGGUCAUGAAAUGCCCGGCUUUUCUCUUUAUAAAUCAAGGCGUUUUCGUAUGCUUCGUUCCGGAUCUCCUCCAAUUCUUGCAAAUCCAACUUCCGUUGAGCACCGGCCUCCUCUAAAUUCAUAUUGCAUUGCUUUAUCGCCCAAAAAGCCUUAUGCUCGAAUUCCACUGGAAGAUGACACGGCUUCCCAAAUACCAACCGGUACGGUGACAUCCCUAUAGGAGUCUUGUACGCCGUCCUAUAGGCCCAAAGUGCAUCUUCCAACCUUUGGCUCCAGUCUUUCCUAUCAGGGCGCACCAUUUUCUCUAAAAUGGACUUAAUCUCCCGAUUUGUCACCUCCGCCUGACCAUUGGUUUGAGGGUGGUAUGACGUUGAGACCCUGUGGAGUACACCAUACUUGCGAAACAACGCAGCUAUGGUUCUGUUGCAAAAGUGCGUUCCCCUAUCACUGACAAUAGCUUUAGGCAUUCCAAACCGCACAAAGAUAUUAGACCUGAUAAAAUCUGCAACUACUCUCGAAUCAUUAGUUCGAGUGGCCUUAGCCUCCACCCAUUUAGACACAUAAUCAACUGCUAGCAAAAUAUAUAAAAAGCCAAAUGAAGUAGGAAAAGGCCCCAUGAAAUCUAUACCCCAGACAUCAAAAAUUUCAACAAAAAUCAACGGGACCUGGGGCAUUUGAUCUCUACGGGCUAUAUUACCUACCCUUUGACAGCGAUCACAUGACUUACAAAACACAUAGGCAUCCUUAAAUAAUGAAGGCCAAUAAAAUCCACUUUCCAAAACCUUAUGAGCAGUUCUCUUAGGUCCAAAAUGACCUCCACAGGCAAAAGCAUGACAAAAAGCUAAAAUUGAUUGAAAUUCCACUUCACUUACACAUCUCCUCAUUAUUUGGUCUGCACACCUUUUCCAUAGGUACGGGUCGUCCCAAAUGAAGUACUUGGCGUCACUCUUCAAUUUAUCCUUCUUCGAUUUUGGCCAACCUGCAGGAAAAUCACCCGUUACUAGAUAAUUGACUAAAUCAGCAUACCAAGGCAAUUGAGAAUUUAAGGAAAAUAAAUGCUCUUCAGGGAAUGCAUCUUUCAAUGGCUCCUUAUCCUCCCCAAUUGGUAUGCGACUUAAAUGGUCUGCUACUAGAUUUUCUGAGCCUUUCUUGUCCUUUAUCUCCAGGUCAAAUUCCUGUAGUAGCAAUAUCCACCUGAUGAGUCUCGGCUUUGCAUCUUUCUUGGUCAUUAGGUACCUUAAUGCUGCAUGGUCAGAAAAUACAAUUACUUUAGCACCUAGCAAAUAUGACCUAAAUUUUUCCAAAGCAAAAAUAACUGCAAGAAGCUCCUUCUCAGUGGUGGAAUAAUUCAACUGGGCUCCAUUCAAGGCCCGGGAUGCGUAAUAGAUGACAUGAGCUGCCUUCCCUACUCUUUGCCCCAAUACAGCCCCAAUAGCAUGAUCACUGGCAUCGCACAUGAUCUCAAAUGGCAAAUUCCAAUCGCGGGGUUGGAUGAUUGGGGGUGAAGUCAGCAAUUCCUUCAGCUUGUUAAAGGCCUUCUCACAUUUGUCAUUGAAUUCGAAGGUCACAUCCUUUUGUAGAAGUUGGAACAACGGGGCUCCAAUUUUUGAAAAAUCCUUGAUGAACCUUCGAUAAAAACCUGCAUGUCCAAGAAAAGAACGCACCUCCCGCACACUCGCGGGGUAAGGUAAUGCAGAAAUAAUGUCUAUUUUAGCCUUGUCAACUUCUAUGCCCUUAGACGAUACAAUAUGACCCAGGACUAUUCCGUGCUCAACCAUAAAAUGACAUUUUUCCCAAUUUAGCACAAGAUUAGUCUCUAUACACCUUAUCAGGAUUAAUUGCAGGUUAUCUAAACACGUAUCAAAACUAUCACCAUACACACUGAAAUCAUCCAUGAAAACUUCAAUAAUUUUCUCCACGUAUUCAGAAAAAAUACUCACCAUACACCUUUGGAAAGUCGCAGGUGCAUUGCACAACCCAAAUGGCAUUCGUCUGUAGGCAAAGGUCCCGAACGGGCAUGUGAAAGUUGUCUUCUCUUGAUCCUCCGGGGCAAUUGCUAUCUGAAAGUAUCCUGAAAAUCCAUCCAAAAAGCAAUAAUAAGCUCUACCAGCUAAACGUUCAACCAUUUGGUCAAUGAAAGGGAGAGGGAAGUGGUCCUUUUUAGUGACGGCGUUCAGCCUACGGUAGUCUAUACACUGCCUCCAUCCAGUGGGUUUGCGCACUGGCACGAGCUCACCCGUUUGGUUGGCUUCUACCGUUACUCCUGCCUUCUUCGGGACUACCUGGACCGGACUCACCCAAGGGCUAUCAGAUAUUGCAAAGAUGAUCCCCACAUCUAGCAGUUUUAGAAUCUCUUUCUUUACAACUUCCAUCAUGAGGGGGUUGAGCCUUCUUUGAGCCUGCCUAACAGGUUUGGCAUCGUCUUCUAGCCUAAUCCGGUGCAUACAGAUGGCCGGGCUUAUCCCCUUAAUGUCUGCGAUUGUCCAGCCUAUCGCCUCUUUAUGCUCCCGAAGGACUCGGAUCAAUUUCUCUUCCUGGAUUUUUGACAGUGCCGACGAGAUAAUCACCGGGAGUGUCUCAUUAUCACCCAAAUAUGCAUAUCUCAGGUGCUCUGGUAGAGGUUUCAACUCCAGUACAGGUGCCUGCACCACAGAUGGCAAUACCCUCUGAUGAGGCUCGGGAGUAAAAAUAGGUAAGACUUCAUACCUUUUCCUGGUGGUCUGCAAUGAGUGUAAUGCACCUAUUGUGCAUUUUAAAUCCUCACUCCACUCCACCUGAGGAGUUGUCUCCAACUCGAGGUGCUUGGUUAAAGCCACCUCCAACUCAUCCCUGCCAUCAGUUUCAAACACUUCCUGCACUACAGGAUCAAUAGCACUCACAGAGAAAACUGAGCUAAAGUUGGAGUUCGAGGGGUAUUUCAUAGUAUCAAAAAUAUUAAAAUGCACAAUUUCCCCAUCAAACUCCAUGGACAAGGUACCCUUAUUAACAUCAAUUUUCGUCUGUGCAGUGCUCAUAAAAGGUCUACCCAAUAACAAAGGUGAGGGAUCAGGGGAGUGAUCAUCAUCCAUAUCCAGUACAUAAAAAUCAGCUGGAAACACCAAAUCAUUAACUUUUACCAAUACAUCUUCAACCAACCCAUCAGGAUAUGCAUUAGUUCGGUCAGCUAAUUGAAUGAUAAUUCCAGUUUCUUUUAAUGGACCUAAUUUUAGAGAAGCAUAGAUAGACUUAGGCAUGACAUUAAUUGAUGCUCCCAGAUCCAACAUGGCCCUUCUGAUCACAGUAUUACCUAUCCUACAGGGAAUAGUAAACAUACCUGGGUCCCCGCACUUCGGUGGGAGCUUUCUCUGCAGGACCGCUGACACAUUCUCCCCAACAAUAACCCGUUCAUCCCCUCUCAAUCGCCUUCGGUUGACACACAAGUCCCUUAGGAACUUGGCAUAUUUUGGUACUUGUUUGAUGGCGUCUAAGAGGGGGAUAUUUAUCUCAACCUUGCGAAAAAUCUCCAAGAUUUCCCUCUCCUUAUCCUGCUUCUUUGAUUUUUCCAACCUGCUAGGAAAAGGAGGCGGGUUAGUCCUAACUGUAAUUGUUGGGUCAGGAAGUACCUGUGGAUCUGCACCAUUGCUGUCCUCCCUUUCGAGCUCACUUUCGAUCUUCUCUUCAUCCUUGUCCUUGGGGAUCAUAGGCUCAGGCCCUUGAACUUCCUUGCCACUCCUCAAGGUCAUGGCGCUCACAUUCUUCGGGUUCAACUCAGGUUGAGAUGGCAAUUUACCUUGAUUUUGGGCAUCCAAGCGGUUGAUUGUUGUGGCCAGUUGACUUAUCUGAUUCCUUAUGUCCUGCAUUUCGGAGUCCGUCCUUUGCUGAUGUUGCAUAAUGGUUGCCUCCGUCCUUUGCUGAUUUUGCAUAAUAGUUGCCUCUGUCCUUUGCUGAUUUUGCGCCAUGGUUGUCAUCAUUUGUUUCAUCAUCUCCUCCAUAGAUGAACCGGAUUGAGGGGGCGGGGGUGGUCGGGGUUGGUAUUGCUGCUGGUACCCUGGUGGCUUAUUUGGCACAAAACUAGACUGCCUGUUCGGUGUAAAGUUGGGUUGCCUAUUCCCUCCAUAACUGAGGUUGGGAUGAUCUCUCCACCCGGGGUUGUAGGUGCUUGAGUAAGGGUCGUACUGCUUCCUUGGCGCGGGCGCGUGGUCAGCCAUGUUCACCUGUUCUGCAGUUUCUUCCUGAAUCAUUGGGCACAUGUCUGCAGAGUGGCCUAUACCAGUGCAAAUCCCGCAUACCCUGGCUUGUGAUGCAUUUCUCACAGCCUGUUGCCUAACAAAAGCAGUCAACUCAUUUAGUUGCUGCUGCACAGAGGGUGUCUCUAUCUCAUUCACCCUACGUAUUGGAACAUCCUCUCUUGUACUGAAUUGCUGUGAGUUCUCUGCCAUCCCCUCUAUUAACUCCCGUGCUUCCUGAGGGGUUUUGUUCACCAGUGCCCCUCCACUUGCAGCAUCAAUGAUGCUCCUGUCUCUAAAAAUGAGUCCCUCAUAAAAAUAUUGUAUGAUCAACUGCUCACUUAUUUGGUGUUGGGGGCACCUGCGCAACAAGUUCUUAUACCGUUCCCAAUACUCGUAAAGUGACUCCCCUGGAUGCUGUUUGAUCCCACAAAUUUCUUUCCUUAGACUUGCAGCCCUGGAUGCAGGAAAAUAUUUAUCCAAAAAUUUUUUCAUCAAUUGGCCCCACGUGGUGAUGCUACCUGGUGACAGGUAGUACAGCCAGUCCUUCGCAGAAUCUUUCAAGGAGAAGGGGAAUGCCCUCAUUUUUAUCUGCUCUUCUGUGAUUCCCGGGGGUUUCAUACUGUUGCAAACAACAUCAAACUCCUGCAGAUGCUUAUACGGCUCUUCACCUGGUAAACCAUGAAAAGAGGGUAAAAGCUGAAUCAGACCAGAUUUUAGUUCAAAUGGAAUGUUGUCAUUUAAAGCGGGGAAAGUAAUGCACAAAGGCUGCUGAGUUAAAUCAGGAGCAGCCAACUCCCUUAAUGUUUGUGCAUUAGCCAUGGUUCCUUCCUCCUGGUCAGAGUCACUUGAAGUGUCACCAAACGAAUCUGUUGGUUCAACUUCUGACUCGGGUCUUUGAGAUGUAGCCCUGGUGUGCUCUUCUCUGAGUUGUCUGGUUUCCUUUCUCGUUCUACGCGCGGUCUUCUCUAUCUCGUGGUCAAAAAUCAAAUCACCUGUACGAGAAGAUCGAGGCAUACACUAGAAGAAGACCAGAAAACUAGGACAAAAUUGAAUUUAAAAAUAAACAAAUAAUAACGCCAGUCCCCGGCAACGGCGUCAAAAAUUGACAGGUCGUCAACCUGUGCAAUAAUAAAAUUAAACCUAAUUGCCAGUUAAAAUGACCAAAACCCAAUUCCAAGUACUGGAGCAGGGACUCUAGGUGUGCAAUGGGUUACUUGAUUCACCCUGUUCCCGAAGAGUUUGCUUGAUCCGAUAUACCCAAAUGGAAUGGUUAUUCCUUUUCACAAAUGAUUAGGAAUUUGUAGACAGGGCAAGUAGGGUCGUAUCCACAGAGACUGGGUAUAUUUGUUUCUUAAGAAAUCCAAAGUAACACAGGGGGUGAUUUUGUAGGAACGACGAUAAUUAAAUAAAUUCAAAUGAGAAAGUAAAAAUAAAUAAUUAACUAGAAAUUAAACCACAAUUUACUGAACUCAGGAUAACAAUAGUUAAAGGCCUCAAUUAAUUAAAAUAAGGAAACAAUCAAAAAUAAAAUAAAGUAGGUAAUUAAAAGUCAAAUGGCAAUCCACUACAAUCAAGGAAAUAUUAACUAAAGAUCUAGCCAAGAAAUAACUUCAGCAAUGGUUCACCUAAUCGAUCAUUGAUGCAAAGCAAUCCCAAUUAUUUUAUAAUAAAUAGGUUAUAACUACCAAACAAGCGAUGGCAGUCAACCCCUCCUUACUGUGUCGGUGAUCAAGGUACGCCCGUUAAUCACUGCUCUAAUUGAGAAAUAAUCCUAGGUACGCCCGUAGAAUUUAAUUCCCCAACUGCCUUACGUAUUAGAGGAGCCCUAUUCUAACCAAAUAACACACUACCAGGGUUAUUUUAGAUUAGCCCGCGUAUCCCCCUGACACGAAUCUAAUCGUGCCAGUUGUCACUAUUUUGAGGUAAUUAAACAAUUACGGAUUUAAUACCCCAAUUGACAAUAGAUUACCAAACCAAUUAAUUAUCCGGAUCCAAGACAAUCAACUAAUUAAAUAAUCAUAAGCAUAGUAAUUAGGGAAUACACGAAUACCAAUAAAUAAAAGGGAAAGAUUAAAUUAAAUCGAUCUCACAAUUUACAGGUGUCCCAAAGCAUCCGUCGUUUCUUGACUAGAACGAGGGGAUUAGCUCAUAUUGGAUGAACUAAGCCCGCGGGAAAUUCCAGCAAAAGUCACGGCCGUUGUAUGCAUUUCAAGAGCCGCAAUUCGUCAAACACUUGGAAAGCGAAUGUAAGGCACGGGUAACAAUUGAAGCUUUCUAAUUGUUCCUAGUAUUCGUAAAGCAAAUUCACUCCAGAAGUACAGUGAGGAAAAGUCAAAGAAAGUGGGCUUCAAUUCCUUGCUCCUGACAUGCGUGGAGACAAGCCAAUGCAAGACUACAAUAAACUAACAAGGAAAAGUCAAGAAUUGGAGCUAAGCUCCCCUGCCAUGCGCAGGAAUCCCAAAAGUAAAAAGUAAAGCUUCAAAGAAAAGUCAACAAUUCUUCCUAAGCUAAAGACGGAAAAUCCAUCACAAAAGCCAGCUCUCUUUUUGAUCCCUUUUUCCCCCUUCUUAUUGCGGCGGCUCACCAGGAGAGGAGAGCCCUCCGUCCGUCCUUUCUUCCGGAAAUUUACCAAAAUGGGCAUGACAUCUCCUCUUCCAAAAGUGCCCCUGGGACAAGCUUUAUCAUCUGAAAUCUUUUUUUUCCAAUUUGGCACCUGUUAUCAUAUUCAUAUUCUACUCCCUGAAAUAAACGUCAAAUACUAAAAGUGAGUAGAAUCCAGCAAAUAAAUCCACAUCAAGUCAGGUAAUAGGAGGAAUUAAUAAUAAAAUAAAUGAAUAAAUUGCAACCUAUCAAUUCUUGUGAAACUUUCGGCAUCCGACUGUUGAAGCUCAACUUUGGCAGCAAAACCAUAUCGCUAAACUUAGAAAUCGUAGUCAUUUGAAAUCUAACUUUGAAGUAAAUGUCUUGAGCUACCAUUUUUUCUGCAUUCCUUUGAAGUAAAGGAUAGUAUUGAUUUAUGGGUACAUCAAUUUAUGCACAAAAGUUACUCUUUUUAUGGGUACAUCAUUUUCCUUUUUCCCAUCACACUUUAUUUUCCCGACAACCAUUCAGACAGUUUCAGAUUAAAGGGCUCCAGCAUUUACUCAAAAUUUUUUUUUUUUAAAAAAUGAAGGCCCCAGCACCAAAGAAUAAUUGAGAAACUCAGGUGAAAUUGCCAAGUAACUUCCAAUGCAAAAGCAUCCGAUAAUGUUUUAAGUUUAUCUAUCUCUAAAAUGAUUAACAGAUUAGGUGAAUGACCAUUUUCCUUUUUCCCAUGUCUUUGCCAUCACACUUUAUUUUCCCGACAACCAUUCAGACAGUUUCAGAUUAAAGGGCUCCAGCAUUUACUCAAAAAAUUUAAAAAAAAAAAGAAAAAAAGAAGGCCCCAGCACCAAAGAAUGAUUGAGAAACUCAGGUGAAAUUGCCAAGUAACUUCCAAUGCAAAAGCAUCCGACUUUGAUAACCUUUUUCUGGAAAGCCAUUUUGGCUUAAAAAAAUUUCGCAAGCACAUUUUUUAAUUAUUUUUAUAUCUCGUAUAUAUUAAAUUAUUAUAAUAUUUUUUUUAUAAAUACUUUAAAAAAUAGCAAUUCAAAUGAAAAAAAAAAAAAGCAUUCCACUUCGACGUAGAUUGAUGACUUUCAAUUGGUUACAUCAUGAACCAUUUUUUUUCUUGUCAACGGACUAGCCCUGCAUUUGGGAGGCAAGAAAUGAUAAGAAAAGAAAAGUUUUGGAUGGAUACAUAUCAAUUUCUGUCAUUUGGGAGAAAGGGUGGGAAAGAAAAUAAAAGAAUUGGACAGAUUUUGAUUUCCCUCCAGAGUAAAAAAUGGUAGGAAAUGGAGAAGCCUACAGUAUACUUUCACAAUAUGACAGUUUUACCCGUAAAAAGUUUCUAGGCAAAGUUGAAAGCUUCAGUAUUUCGCCUUUCUGAUGAUGAAGACGAUUGAACUAGACUUCAAUGUCUUCAUACCGAAUGUAGAUAUAUCUCUUAAUCCAAUACUUGUAACUCAAAAUAUUGCCAAAAUAUGGAAAUAUAUUAAAACUGAAAAAAUUUGCUUCCUUUUGUUCUUGAUUGCUGCACUUCAUGUCUUCUUUUCAUCACUUCAAAUCAUCAUCAAUCAUCUAGUUAUCUUCUCAAUUCAUACCCUCUGAUGAUUGAAUUAUUAAACCUACAAAAACAUAAAGUUUUUACCAUUAAAAUACAUAGAAAUGCAACUUUUACCAUUUAAACCACAAAAUGUAUAUUUUUACCAAAAUCCUAAUUAAUUAGUUAUAAAACUAGGUAAAACAAACUAAAAUUAACCAGUAAAAUACACUUAAAAACAUGUAAAAUAUACUCUUGUCAGGCUCCUUAUUUGUCACAUAAUUAUCAUCAUUUCUUGUACCGAAACAUAGUAGUCGAAGUUGAGUUGGACCAUGGGGAUGUUAAUGUAAGCAUAAAUAUCUCAUGUGAUUAGGGUGGUUGUACACCUUGAGUGCAUCCAAUGUACAAUUCCAGCAUGGAUUUGUGUUGUAAUUAACAUAUGCAAAUAAUGGAACUAAUAUUAUGGACCAUUAACGUUUGUAUACGGAGCAUUUAAGAACCAUUCCUUCCCCAACUCAUCGGAAGACUCUUCUUCCACUCAAUUUCUGUGAUAAUUGGUAAGACAUUGGUACUCAUGCUGAUGCCAAAUUGGUGCAAAAUUUGAAUUUGGUCGGUGAAGCAGUACCUCCAAAGGACUAACAAAUGAGGUGAAUUCCCAUUUAGUCUUUUUCCAAUUCGAUUGUGAUCAUAGUUUAUUGUCCCUCCUGGAUGGAACUUUGAGUUACACCACUUUUCCAAUAGUCAUUCAGAUAUAUUCAGAUUAAAGGGUUCCGGCAUUCAAUCAGUAAAGAUGAAGGCCCCAUCAACAACACUGAUUAAGAAAAUUCAGGUAUGUACAAUAUUAAGCACGAAUUUGUGUUGUAAUCAAUGUGCAAAUGAGAGUCACAUUAUGGCUAAUUUCUUGGCCAUAAAUUUUCUCGAGCCACAAAAGUUACUCCUUAUCAAAUUUCACAAGCGAGACAGUUUGACAAAAACAAGGAAUAUGUAAUUGUGGAUGUCCUUCAAUGCCUUGUUUGGAAAGCCAUUUUCCCUCAAAAAAAUUUCUAUCUUUUUUCAUAGGCAUAUUUUUUAAUUACUUUUUAUCUCAUGUAUACCAAAUUGCUAUAGCAUAUUUUUCUACAAAUACUCUAGAAAAUAGCAAUCCAAAUGGAAAAGAAGCAUUCCACUUCGACGUGGAUUGAGGACUUUCAAUUGGUUACAUCAUGAACCAUUUUUUUUCUUGUCAAGGGACUAGCGCUGCAUUUGGGAGGCAAGAAAUGAUAAGAAAAGAAAAGUUUUGGAUGGAUAUAUAUUAAUUUUUGUCAUUUGGGAGAAAUGGUGGGAAAGAAAAUAAAAGAAUUGGGCAGAUUUCGAUUUCCCUCCAGAGUCAAAAUAUUUUCCGCCCAAAAUUGGGCUGAAAUGGUAGGAAAUGGAGAAGCCUAAAGUAUACUUCGACAGUUUUACCCGUAAAAAGUUUCUAGGCAAAGUUAAAUUUCCUUGACUUCUAGCUUCCUUAUAAAAGCCCCAAUCAAUAAAAAAAAUUCAUCUCUCUUCCUUCUCUUGACCACUAACACUCUGGUGGACCGAAAAUAGAGAAACUAUUUGUGCCCUCUUUUUGCUUAAUGAAUUAAAUUUAAAAUUUCACAUGUUUUAGUUGUUUCCUGGAUACUGGUUGUGCUUUUUCUUAAGUACUUGAUAGAUCAUUCUUGGUCUUCUACCUGAUUAUAUGAAUAAUUAUACAGCUUCAAUAAUUUUUCAAAAUUAUCCCUCUUCAAUAAUAUCUAACAAGCUCUUGACCUGCUAAAUUUCCUUUGGCUUAAAGGUGUGUGUUUAAACCCGAAGCUGUCAGUUUCAUUGCAAUUAUUUACUCUAGAAGAACUUUUUAAUAUAAGGGCACAGUUGUAAAAGUAAAGAUAGACAAUUCUUUCUUUUCACUUCUCUCGUCUUAAACAAAAAAAAAAAAAAUCAUUUCUUUUCUUUUUCUUUUUUAAGUUCCCAAACAACAUUGAAGGAAACUUGUCUAGUUUAAUUAGUCAAACAUUCUUUAUGUUUAUAUAUAUAUAUAUAUAUAUAUAUAUAUAUAUAUAUGGCUCAAUCCCCCAAGAUACUGGACUAAAAAUUCCUAAUUUUGGCCAACUUGGAUAUAUAAACUUAAACGGUGAUGUGAGGUGAAAAAUUAGGGGCAAUAUGGUAGAACACUGGGAAUUGUAUGAUAAUUAUAGUUUAGAAGGAGUAAAUUAAUAAGCUGUUGACUUAAACCUGAAGGUGUUUAAAUUUCCUUUGGCUUAAAGGCGUUUAAACCCGAAGCUGUCAAUUUUGUUGCAAUUAUUUACUUUAGAAGAACUUUUUAAUAUAAGGACACGGUUGUAAAAGUAACAAGGUAGACAACCCUCUCCUUUCACUCCUCCCAAGUGUCAAACAAAACCAAAAAAAUCAUUUCUUUUCUUUUCUUUCCUAAGUUCCCAAACAACAUUGAAGGAAACUUGUCUAACUUAAUUAGUCAAACGUUCUUUAAUUCUAUUUAUACAUGAUUGACAUGAAAUAUUAGUCAAAAGCCAACACUUAAAGCAAUGAUCUAAUCAUCCAAGUAAGCAUUGAUCCUUUCCCAGGUUCGUUUAACUUAUCUCAAAUAUCCACCAUUCCUAAAACUCCAUCGUUUUUUUCCAAGGCAACUCUAAUUUUUUUUUUCUUUACAAUUGCUUUGUAUUUAAUAUCAUAAUUUUAGGUUUGUGAUUUAGAAAUUUUUUGACAAUUAUUAAUUUAUCAAUUGUUCUUAUUCUAAAUUUAUGUCUUAGAAGUUUUAUGUUAAUUUGUAUAGGGUUAAUUUUUUUUAUUGAAUUUAGUUAAUAUUUAUCUAAUUUUGGUUUGUGAGUUAAUUUUCAUAUUUUGCUUUGGACUUUAUCUUUUAUUAUUAAAAAUAUUUAGUUGUUAGUAGAGGUGUCAAAAUGGGUGAUUUGGACGGGUUUGAGUUGGAUAAAAUGGGUAAUGGGUAUAAGUGAGUCAACCCAUUUAUACCCAUUUAAUUAGAUGGGUAUAAAUGGGUAAGUCAAAAAUUGGGUAAUCCAAUUACCCAUUUAUAACCCAUUUAUUUUAGCUUUUUGUAAAUUCAUUUAAAUUCAUUUUUGCAAACUAAGUUAUCAAUUUAUAUCAUUCUUUGCACCCAUCAUUAGUUUUAAAUAUUUAUUUAUAAUACUCAAUAAACUAAUUAUCAAUUUUUUCCAUCUGUACUCUAUGUUGCAUAAUUACAUACUAUUUAAUAGUUAAACAAUAAGAAUAUAAAAUUUUGAAUUAAGUACUAUAAAAGUUAACAUAAAAACUUAAUCCAAAAAUUUUGAACCUCUAACAUUUUUUCAUGUGUAAAUUUAAAAUUUCAUUUUGGAAAAGUAAGAAAAGAGGCUAAAACUUUUCAAAAAUUGGUAAUACUGAAAAAUGAGCAAAUUAACAAACUAAGAGAAAAUAAAAUGAUAAGAUAAAACCAACAAAUAAUAAUAAUAAUGAAACAAAUGUAGUUAACAUCAUGACAAAAUGAAAAUUUUGAAAAAAAAAAAUGGGUGGGGGAAGAGAGGAGGUUUUGGGGAAGACAAUUCUAAAUGGGUUAAUUGGGUUUGAUGAGUUACCCAGUAAUAUCCAUUUAUUAAAUAGGUAUUAUUGGGUAACCCAUAUGUAAAAUUUUAAGAUACCCAGACCCAUCUAUUCAUGGGCGGGUAUGGGUAAACUUAAUUAAAUGGGUUUGUUUGACAGCUAUAGUUGUUAGUUAUCGUCUAUUAAACUUUGGUUUUAAAUUUUUUAUUUCAAGUUAAUGUGCAUUAUUUGUUUUGAUUUUUUUUUUUUGUCACUUGUUGUUUGAUCUUUCGCCCCCCUCUUCCCCAAACCAAAAUCCUACAUUCAUCAUUGGUUAUCUUUAGUGAGCUAUAAAAUAAUUUAUUAUUGCAGGGUUUGUGACAAAAAUAACGGAAGGAAUGUCCUAGAAGGAGCUGGAAAAUCACAGAAGGAGCUGUCCUAAAAGCAUGAUUUGGAAAUGUGUAUAGUGAUGAAUUCUUUAAUGUAAAUGUUGCCGAACUCAUGAAGUUGAAUUAGUUCUUUGUUUUUGGUGGAUUGAUUAUUUAAAGUUUUGCCACUAUUGUUGAUUCUUUUUCUGGCUUAACACAAAUCUUCGGUAAUAAGCGUAGAACGAACGUUGUUUUAUAACUCUUUGUAUUUGGAAACUGCUGACAUGUUCGCUUUUGGCUGAGCUGUAGUAGAAAGAAUCUCCCUGAAUGAUGUGGACUUUAUCUUAAUUGGUUACAGCUACCGAAGUUUGUUCUGAAGUUAUCACUGAUUCAUGAUAGGAUGAGUAAACAAGGAGAACUAAUUCUGGCUUCUGAAUGAACCUAAAACGAGCACUGUGAACUAAAUGUUGUUGGAUUAGGGGUGCAAACGAGGUAAAUCGAGUCGAGUCAAGUUUUGGUUUAAUUGACUCGGGUCUCAACUUAGUGUUAUAAAACUUGAACUCGACAAUCUUAAAAUGUAAAGUUUGCGCUCGAGUUUAAAAAAAAUAUAUAUAAUAUUAUUUUAUUUUUAAAAAAUAAAUAAAAUAAUAAUUUUUUAACAAAUAAUAAAAUAUUAGGAACAUAUAUGUAUAUAGAUGUGUGCGUGUAAUCGAACUGGCUCGUGAAUUAACGAGCUAAAUAUGUUUGAGUUCAAAUUCGACUUGAUCAGCUCGAAUUUGAUUAGAGUUGCUCACGGGGUUGGGGGGUGUUGGCAUCUGCAUCACCUGUAAAGUUUCGCAUUCGACCUCGCGUACAUCAUUCACGUUUGUACGCCUUUGGUUGUGGACUAAAAUGUUCAAUAUAUUACUCUCAUUAUGAACUCGAUCAUGUGCAUUGAAGUUCAAUACUGAGUAUAUUCUAUCGUUGUAGAAUAUAUGAUUGUUGGUUUGAACAAUUCUUAGUUUAUCACCAAGGCUGUGAAAUCACUGUUGAAAGGUUACGACUGGUGACUCGUAAUCAGAUGGUACUUUGCUUGUGCUUAAUCAGUGGCUGCAACAUAGUAGCAUAUUUUUGUUCCUUUCUCCACCAUACCAAAUCAACGCCAAAUGUCUAAAUGGUGUUGUGGGUACAUUGGUGAGACAAUUUACUAAAAGAUUGAACCAAGGCAUUGAAAAGCUUUAUCGAUCGGUUCAAGUAGGAUGAUGUUUCUUUUUUGUUUGUACUGACCCCUUCCUUCUGUUUAGCUUACAAUAUUGCAUGGAUCUAAUUGGGCUGCUGCUUCUGAUAUGAUCCCAAAAGUACAUACUUUCCAGGGUGGCAGAUGAAUAUUUCUCGAGUUGGAGUUGAAGCUUAUCACUCAAUGUGUAGCUACUCUGCAUAUGAUCCUUCUUUCCUAUCUCUCUCUGUUUCUUUCUUUUGCUUCAUUGAAGCGGUACCUCCAAGGUGAAUUCCCAUUUAGUCUUUUUCCAAUUUGAUUGUGGUCAUAGGUCAUUGUCCCUCUUUUCCAACAAUUCAUUCAGAUAUAUUCCGAUGAAAGGGUUCCAGCAUUCAAUCAGUAAAGAUGAAGGCCCCAUCAACAACACUGAUUAAGAAAAUUCAGGUGAAAAUGCAAAGCAACUUCAAUGGCAAAAGCAAAUCACCUGCGCUUCUGAACACGGAUUGAGGGCUUUUAUAGUCCAUCACACGAUUCUUGUUAUUUUUUGUUAAUAUUAGAAGUAAACAUGCAUCUACGUGAACUAUCUCACUGAUUGUACACCUUCAAUGCAACAAAUGUACAAUUUAAGCACGACUUUGUGCUGUCAUCAAUAUGUAAAUAAAGGUCACAUUGUGGUUAAUAUUUUCCUUAAUUUGCCUCAUGCAGCUAUGCCUAAUAAGAUUCACUUUGGAAAAGCAUCAAUGAGAAAAAGGUGAAGACCCCAGCAACAAGCCAAGCACCUUUAUUCCUUUGGAACCUAAAGCAUCCAGCUAUGCCAACGAAGCACUGCUCUACACGAAUUGACGGCUCAUUAUUUCUUGUUACCCAUAAAUAUCUCACUGGUUAGUGUGAAUGCAGCAAAUUACAUUUGUAUGUACGAAAUAAGCAUGAAUUUGUGCUGUAAUCAAUAUGCAAAUGAGAGUCACAUUAUGGUUACCCCUUAUCAAAUUUCAUAAGUGAAACAGUUUGACAAAAACAAGGGAUAUGUAACUGUGGAUGUCCUUUUGAUGUGAAGAUUGAAGCAAAUGCAUCUUUCAAGUUACUAAUCCCCAGACUUCAUUGAUAAAAAAAAAAAAAAAAAAAAUUUAAGAAGGAAAGAGAAUUGGAUUGUAGGUCGAAAAUGGGACUUCAAUUCCCCAUGAAAGUGGAUACAAAAUCCUUGGUUUUAUAAAGUUUAAAAGGAUCAAGUCUGAAGAUUUUACAAUAGAAGCAAAUAUCUGACGAUUAUUUCGUUCAGAAAAUACACGUUCAAGUAAUUUGAGAUCACAAGUUUGUUUAUUGAGACACAAAGCUAUAAACCAUCCACUUAUGUCUUUAUUCUUAACCAGCCAAGAAGCAAAGUAGCUGGUCCAAAAAGAAGAUUCCCUGUUUGUUUGUAACACAGGUUCCUUUACCUAAUAGAAUUACUACUACAGUUUAGUUUAAUUUUCAAUGCUUGAGGCUCGCACUAUAGAAUAAAGCAGUAGCUCUAGAAGUCUUACCUUAGAAGCACUUCAAAUUCUUUUCUUCUCCAAACAUUUCUGCUUUUAGCUGCUGAAGCUGAAGAAUUCCUUCUUAUCUCAUUCCAAAAUCCAUCCUGAUCACCACCUUAAUUGAUUCUUUUCUUCUAAUUUCAAUCCCAAGCACGAAAAAAAAUGGCCGAUGCAGCUAUUAGCGCUACUAUUCAGGUUGCAUUGGAGACGGUUAUUUCCCUUGCCGCUGAUCGUGUUAGUUUGGUUCUUGGAUUCGGAGAGGAGUUGGAGAGACUAUGCCACACUGCAGAAACCAUCCGAGGUAUCCUGGCUGAUGCGGACAGGAAAAUGCAUAUCCUCGGGGUGAAAAAUUGGCUCGAGCAGCUUGAAGGAGAGCUUUUUAAAGCGGAGGAUGUGCUGGACGAGCUCAACUAUGAAAAUCUUCGUCGGGAGGUGAAGUAUAGAAAUCAACUCAAGAAAAAGGUAUGCUUCUUCUUCUCGCACUUUAAUACAAUUGGUUCUCGUUCAAGGUUGGCUUCAAAGAUCAGGGACAUCAACUUGAACCUAGAAAGGAUCAAUCGGCAAGCAAAUGAUGUGGGACUGGUCUUCCGGUUCCAAAUUGAAGCCGCACUCCCUGCUGCUACAGGUGCCACAACAAGCAGACAAACCGACUCUAUUCUCGUUCCAAAUGUUGUAGGAAGAGUUGACGAUGAAUCAAAGAUUGUGGACAUGUUAUCGAGCCCAUCUGAAAAGGUUCUUUCUGUUAUUCCCAUAACAGGCUCAGGAGGUUUGGGAAAAACAACUCUGGCGAAAUCAAUCUACAAUAAUCCAAAAAUAGAUGGGCACUUUGGCCAAAAAAUUUGGGUUUGUGUGGCUAAAGAUCAAAUUAAGAUAAUGGAGCUGUUCAAGCUCAUUUUAGUACAAUUGACAGGAGAAGAAGUUAAAGUGGAUGACAGGGAUGUUAUCGUUAAAAAAAUUGGAGCAAAGCUCAAGGGACAAAGAUAUUUCCUUGUUCUUGAUGAUGUGUGGGAUCAUGACCAAGGAUUGUGGAAUGAUUAUUUCAACACUUUGAUGGGACUCAAUGAAGCCAAAGGAAGCUGGUGUCUUGUCACCACUCGUCUGGUACCAGUGGCAAAUGCUGUGUCUAGACCUCUGAAGAUGAAUGAUGGUCCUUAUUUCUUAGGAAAGCUACCAGACAAUGAGUGCUGGUCUAUCCUGAAAGAAAUGGUAAUUGCAGGGGAAGAAGCACCAACAGAAUUGGAAGCAAUAAAGAAUCAGAUUUUAAGAAAAUGUGAUGGCUUACCAUUGGCAGCAAAGUUAAUUGGAGGUUUGUUGGUUAACAAGGAGAAAGAGGAGUGGAAAUCUAUCGUGAAGGAGAGUCAAACUGAUGAAGAUCAAGAUGAGAUUGAUCAAAUACUUAAGGUGAGUUUUGAUCAUUUGUCACCUGCAUCAGUUAAAAAAUGUUUUGCAUAUUGUUCAAUUUUUCCCCAGGACACUGAAUUGCGAGAAGAUGAACUAAUUCAGCAUUGGAUGGCGGAAGGUUUUGUUCAACCAGAUCGCCAAAACCAAAGAUUGAUGGAGGAAAUAGGAGGCGAGUAUUUGAGGAUUUUGUUACAAAAUUCCUUAUUGGAAAAAGUAGAAGAGUCUUGGAGAACAUAUUAUAAAAUGCAUGAUCUCGUGCAUGAUUUUGCAAAAUCAGUUCUCAAUCCUAAAACCAGCAGCCAGGAUCGCUACCUUGCAUUACACUCAUAUGAAGAAAUGGCAGAAAAUGUCAGAAGGAAUAAAGCAGCAUCAAUCCGCUCGUUAUUUCUCCAUCUAGAGGGUGGCAUAUCUGCUGACAUGUUGUCAAGGUUCAAGCACUUGCAUGUUCUCAAAUUGUCUGGAUAUCAUGCCAAGUUUCUGCCGAGCUCUAUUGGCAAACUACUACGUCUGCGGUUGCUCGACAUUAAAUCUUCUGGAAUCAGAAGUUUGCCGGAAUCUCUUUGCAAGUUAUAUAAUUUGCAGACACUAACGAUUAAUGAUUAUGCACUUGGAGGAGGUUUUCCAAAACGGAUGAGCGAUUUGAUCAGCUUGCGACAUCUAAACUACUACCAUGAUGAUGCAGCAUUGAAAAUGCCGGAGCAGAUGGGACGAUUGACUUGUCUUCAAACUCUAUGGUUCUUUAAUGUAAGUCAGGAGAAGGGUUGUGGCAUCGAAGAGCUUGGGACCUUGAAAUAUCUGAAAGGAUCGUUGAUUAUAAGAAAUCUUGGACUAGUGAAGGGCAAAGAAGCAGCUAAACAAGCAAAAUUGUUCGAAAAGCCAGAUCUGUCUCGCUUGGCGUUUGAAUGGGAGAUUGGGGAUCGGGAAAGCGAUAACCGCGAGGAGGAUGUGUUGGAAGGUCUCCAACCUCACCCAAAUUUGCAAGAGUUGGGAAUUCGUUCUUUUAUGGGUAAUAAAUUUCCACAAUGGCUUAUCAAUUUGCCAAAAUUGGAGACAUUGCGGAUAGAAGACUGCAAGAGAUGCAGUGAACUCCCAUCCCUCAAACGUCUCUAUUUGGAGGGAUUGGACAACAUUCGAUUUAUUGGAGAUGAAUUCUACGGUAUUACUGCUAAUGAGGAGGAGGGCAGAUCACGAGCAUCAGGGAGUAGCAGUAGAAGGCGAAAAUUCUUUCCUGCCCUUGAAGAAGUCCGUGUAAGGUAUAUGGAGAAUUUGGCAGAGUGGAAGGAUGCAGACCAAGUGAGGUCAACAAUAGGUGAAGCAGAAGCAGAUGUCUUUCCCGUGCUGAGGAAUUUUCGCAUUGAAAGUUGCCCCCAGCUGAUCACUCUUCCAUGCUCGUGUAAAAGUCUACACGUGGAGAAUUGUGAUAAUCUAACAAGUAUAAAAACGGGUUACGGCACUGCUUCUGUUGAGGUGUUGAGUAUCGACUCUUGCGACAAUCUUAGGGAGCUGCCGGAUCUGGAUCUGUUUGGAUCGAGUUUGCAGCGAUUGACCAUCGCAAGUUGCCCAAGAUUAAUUAGUUUAGGAGUAAAUGGACAGAAAUGCCCCCUACCAUGCCUUGAGGAAUUGAGUAUUUAUAAUUGCGCAGGGUUGACCACUAUAUCCGACAAAAUGUUCCAGUCAUGCCGGUCUCUGCGGUCCCUGUUGGUGAAGUGGUGCCCCAAUCUGGUAUCAUUUUCGCUUAAUUUGCAGGAGACGCCUUCUCUCGAGGAAUUCAACUUAUUCAGAUGUCCCAAAUUGAUCCCUCACAGGUUCAAAGGAUUUGCUUUUGCCGCCAGCUUAAGAAGAUUGAGCAUCAACAGUCCCUUCUCCUCAGAUGACUCCUCAGUCGAUGAUUUUGAUUGGUUUGGUUUAAGAUCUAUAUCAACACUCCGUGAGCUUCGAUUAGAAGGGAUGCCUCACACGGAGUCCCUGCCACACCAGCUUCAAUACUUGACUACCCUCACUUCACUAAGUCUCUUCAACUUUGGAGGAAUAGAAGUGCUACCGGAUUGGAUUGGAAACCUUGUGUCCCUUGAAACCCUAUCGCUAUCGAAUUGCGAAAACAAGUUUUUACCAUCCGAGGCCGCCAUGAGACGCCUCACCAAGUUAACAAGUGUUGAAGUUCAUGAAUGUCCUCUACUAAGACAACGAUACACUUCCCAAAGAGGCAUCUACUUGGAGGAGGAGAUUUCAACUUAUUUUGUAAGAUUUUCCUAUCUAAAGUUCACACUCAUAUAUAUAUGUGUAUAAAUUUUUUGUAUCUGCAUCUCAUUGACAUAUAUUUGCUCUUCAGUCUCUUGUACUCUUUUUCUCCAUCUCUUUCCUGCAAAGUUAUUCUCCGUAAUUAAUUCUCUUCUUUUGGGCAAACCUUGGUUUCUCUUCAAAGAUUAGUUUUAACAAAGCCUGGUUUUGAGCAAAUUGGAAGAGGCCAAAAUUCUGGAUUUUCUCUGCAUCUCGCCAUUGAAAGAUUUUGAACAUCUUAAAAACUCAACUUGUUACCUUCUAUUUGGCCAAGCAUGAAAUUAUUAGCAACGGUGCAUACACAAUUAGCCUCUUUGUUUGAAUGUGUUAGCAAAUGUUCCAUUGCAUGUGCAAUGCUAGAUGUGCAUGGGAGCAUUCAUCAUUUUUCUAUCACCGAUAUUGCCAGUCUGAAUGGACAACAUUAAAGCUAAUCAAGAAACAUUUGCGAAGAAAAAUCAAGAUACAAUUUGAUGUUCAAGUUACAAUAAUUUUGGAUGGUUGUUUGUUAUGUUUCACAAGUUUCAGAAGUUUAUACGUCACAAUUACCAUGCAGGCAAGCAGUGAGAGCGAAGAAGAAGAAUCGACGACAAUGAACUAGCAGGCAGGGACGAUGAAUGAAAAAGCAUUCAUGGUGCUCAAACAUCAGCUUCAUGGUGUUUCCCAUCGUUGUUGAAGAAAAAGAAGAGGUCAGGAGGUAUGUUGUGCAGAAAAGUGAUAAUGCAGCAUUUCUCUCCCCAAGAACUCUUUUCUUACCUCCAUCCAAUUUAGUAAAAGUACAAGGAAUUGGUGCAAGUUUGCUUUUUAGUAUGCUUGGGUCAUGUAAUUGGCCUAAAAACAGGGCAUUUUCCUGUACUUUUAUCUGUUUGUGAACUUUUACCCUAUGCCUACAGCUUAUCUUUUGCUCUUUAAGAUUUUUAUAUUUACUUGGUGCUAAACAUGUCUUUUGAUUGGGACAGAAUCUGGUCUUUUCCGAUUUUCUUGACUAGUUACCAGACCAUAAGUUUUCUUUGCUUUCAUUGUUUAUUAUAAUUGGAGGCAUACUGAAAUGUACCAUUGUGAUGCUUUCCAGAGUCUUAGGAGGCAUAGCUUAUGUUAUUGGACAAAGGACAGCAUCGUUUGUUGUUUCAUUUCUUACUAGAAUACCAAGGGACAGAAGUUAUUUUCAUUGACCAGACAGGGUUUGAAGAUGAAGGCAAUUAUCAAUGAUCUUUAUUAAUCUCAUUAGAUAUCAUUAGCUUUGAUGGAGGCUUCAUAAAUAGUUGGUUCUCCCCAAGUUUCUCAAACAUAAGGUUUUCAUCUUCUCCUACUCAGACUGGAGAAAGGAAGGUAACAAUUUAGCUUGUUCAUCUUCAGGGAAGUUUUGGUAGUUUUUUAAUCUGCAUUCUUGAUAUGUAUUUAGUAAAUCAAUUACCAAAACUUUUUUUUCCUGUCGUGUAGCAUGCUGAUUGCUGAACUGAAAAUGGCUAGUAGCAGGCCUGCAAAGUGUGAUAUGGAGGAAGAAUAAAUUGGGGGGAGGGGGAGGGGGGAAGCAUGGAAGCUGACACUGGAGAGCUAUCAACAUACAAUGCUUAUUUCAAUCAAACUGGAGUUGGUCUAUUGGUUCAGAAGGGAUUUCAGGCGAAGAGUUGGAUGCAUCAGAAUGAUGUGAUAAGUACAUCCUGAUAGUACGUUUUCUUCAGCUUUAUUUGGAAGUAAAAGUGCAUCUGGUGACCAAAUUUAUGACAUUUUCAUCUUUUUUUUUUAAAAAAAAAAUUAAUCAUUUAAUGGAGAGAUCAUAGAACUCUUGUUACUUUUCCUCUUCCAGAAAUCAUUUUUCGUUAUUUCUUUCGCCUCUUUUAGCUGCUUCCCUUUCAACUACCGGGUCCAAGAUUUCGAUUAAUCCAUUGCAAUCACCACAGGAUUUCUCCUGGUUGGUUCCCUUAUUUUCACAUCUCAUGACUGUUUGAUUACUUUUGGGCUUCUGAUAGAUUCAUCUUCUCUUUUUUCCAGGAUUUUUACACUGGGUGGGCUUGUUUGGGUGUUCUUCAGGGUUAUGAUGCUAAUUUCUUUGCGGCCGUAAGUUUACUCUGACUUCUUCAGUUUGUUUUCCUGCCUUGGUUAUUUCACAGCACUUGGUUUGUAUUUAUGCGUGUGUUUUCUGAUAUAUGUUUUGUUGCUUUUGGUUUUGCUUAGGCUGCCAUCUUUUGUGUUUGCCAUUUGUUAACUACUGUGUUUUUCCUGCUUGUCUUUGUUCAGGUUGCCUCAUCGGUCCUAAAUUUCUCAUUCAGUGAAAGUAAUGGCAGUAGAAGCUAAAGUUGCGCGCCUUCCAAUCCUUAAACAUCCUUUCCCUUUCUUUUGGCGUGAAUAUUACUUUAUAUUAGGUUAUCUCUAUGGUCUAACUACCGAACUACAUUGGAAAGUUCUUUUUUUUUUUUCCAGUUCAUUGAAUGUUAAUUUCUUGUAAUGUAAUGUUUUACAGUUUGUGCUCACCAAAUUGAACGGAGCUCAUGGAUGAAUUACAUAUGCUUUUGAAAUUCAGUACACUUAAAAAAUUUUUGUGUCUUAAAUUUUAUUUAGGACUGGUGUAUUUUGGGAAUAAAAAGAUAUAAAUCUCUUAAUUUUAAACUGAAUUUCUGUUUUUCUUCUGGGGAAAAUUUUAUUGUGAAACUUAGGUCUUAUGCUUGGGUAAAAUGGGUAACUAGAGAACAAGUGGUUCCAAGGCAAUCAAUUGAAGGAAGUGUGAAGCAAAAAACAGGAGAAAAGGCUGAUUAAACAACACCGAGUAACAAUGUUCUGUUAUGAUGGCUCAGAUACUAAGGGUCUUGAAAGCUACACAACCACCAUAGCUUACCAAGAUCGACAGUGAUUUCAUAACUCUGCCCUCCUUACUUUCCAUUUUCUUAUUUUCUGUAUAUUUUUUAUAUGAAUUUUUAACUGUGUACAUUUUUUUUUUUUAUGAAAGACAAUGUUUUGUCAUUCGAUUAUUUUGAACCAAAAUUGUGAAAUCGGUUAAUGUAUCAGCUUCUGAUUUUUAUAAGUUCUGUGAUGGGAUAUUUCAGGUUAUGAAAGCAGUUGAAGCUAUCGAAGGCUACUAUUAAGGCACAGGUUCUGAUUUUCUCUCCUGACCAUGCUUCAAUUUCCAAUGAGGUUGUUACUUGGCAUAUGAAUUUUACCAUUCAGUCAUCCGGGAAAAGGAUUAUUCACAUGUGGUUCUUAUUUGCUUGCAAGCUGUAAUUUGGGUCUUGUUGCCCAUAAAAUGCUUUCUAGAGUUGCAAAUCAGUGAGUUCAUGGUUUCAUUAGACUUAAUAGAUAAUGCAGAUAAGUUUCUCUUGAUUAUGUGUGUACGGUUCUGAGAUAAUUUUGUAUUAUUGUUUGAACUUGCUCUCAAGUCUCUUUUUCUAAACUACAUUAAAGCCAAGUCUUUGUUAGUAAAGGAUGUCCGGAAGAUUAGUUAUUGGCUAGUAGCCUGGUACUAGAGAAAAAUUUACGUCUUUUCUAUUUUUGGUUCCUGCCAUAUUGUUGUCUUUAGUUUGAGCUACCAAAGGCUACUACACAAGGUAGAAAUUUAAAAAAAAAAGUAUUUUCUUUUCUUCCUGGUUGAUUUUUCUAUCUUUGUCUACAAAAUAAUAUGCAUUCUGCUAUCUUGCCCCACACACUAUCAAAUGGGGAAACUUUCUCGUCUCAGAGGUGGAAACAUACAAAAGCGGAGAUUUGGAUCUGACAUUGGACCUAGCAUAGUAUCCUCUGCAUUCUAAUCUCAUUUUGUCACUUAGAAACUUUGUUUGGUUUUGAUUUGGGAAGCAGCAAAGUUCAUUUUAGAUUUGUCAUUAAGCUCUGUUGUUAUUUCUUUUGUGACCAUGUGACAGCACGCUGAUACGUAUUGUAUAUAUUGUUCUUAUCAGCAAAUUACAAUUUUUUGUCUUUUUUCUUUGCUUUUACCUGGUAUGUGGAUAGAUUGAUGUCCGGAGGUUGUAAAGAAUAGUAAUGAAAGAUUGCAUGAGUCAUGUCUUUUCUUUUUCUAGAUAUUGAAAAAGCAUAUCUGCAUUUGACACAAUUUGUCCCCAGGAUUUUGACGCUGACAAGUACUUAUAUGCUACCUUUUGCAGACCCCGUCCAAGGUUCCAGAGGGAGUAUGUUGAGCGCAAUAACAAGCUGUUGUACUACAUCCUUGAUUGCCUUAGCAUGGGUUCAUCAUCAAGGUGACGAUAUGUCCUGUUCCUGGCACCAUCAAGAUUGAAAGUUUGGAGAUCAGCAGCAAGGCCUUGUCAGUGAAUUUGAUACUAGAAAGUUAAUGCAGUUGAUGCGGCAAAAGCUAAUUGAUAUACCUGAUUUCAUGGCUGAAACUUGAUUUCUCACUUUUGCAUUUUUUUUCCCUUCUUUUGAAUAAUGUACAUUCCUGGGAACACUUGACCAAUUAGGAAUGUGUUAGGAUGAUUGGUGAGAAAGCUUCUUUUUUUGGAUGAGGUAAAAACUUUUGUCAGUGAGCCAAUAUGCAUUAGGCAAGAUUUAUCAAAGAUGCUUUGCACUGCAUCUGUCUCUGUUUCUAGUAGAUUAUUUGUUUGAUUUGACUGGAAGCAGUGUGUCAUUACUAUAAUAGCAUGGGGCGAUUGAACAACGAAUGACAAAUAAGUCUAUAACAGCAUGUAAAUAUUCAACGAAUCAAAGAACAAAGAAAAUUAGAAUUUUGAGAGAGUUAUUAGAACUAUUGUGACGGUGCAAAUAGUUCCUUUUAAAUUGCAAAUAGAAUUAUACAAAAUAGAAUAUAGGCAGGAAAUGAGAAAGAUUCCUGAUAAAAUUUUGUAAAACAGAGUAGAAGGAAGAAAUGGAAAAGAUUCUUGAUGUAGCAAAGAAUGAUAAUAAAAUAAAAGAACGUCCUCUGAUCUUAUUAAAGCUAAGAUUAAAUCAAUUGAGUGUUUGAUAACUUGGAUAUAUACGGAGAUGGGCAAGUAAAGAAGUUUGUGUUACCAUUUAUGCCUCCUAGUCGAAAUGUCAUCUACGUCAACGUCGUAGACAAAGAAUGUCUCGUAGGCUAUGUUGGAACAUGCAGCAAGCAAUAGCUUCUCGUGCCAAAUUGUAUGAAUUUGUAUUUAUAACUAGUUGAUGUUGACAGAAAAUUGCUCUCUUACGCCGUAAGAAGUCUUCCGAAUGCAAUAUGCAUAUGUGUUUAUACAGCUAUACGAAGUAUAAGCACUAUGGAACAAGUAUCAAGGAACUAUUCGCUUGCAUGGCCGAGACCAGUGGCCAAUUUGGGUAUUUUGGUUCCAUUCUGAGCACUUUGGGAUUAAUUAACUUUAAGCCCGUGUAUUCUGUUUUAUUGUACAUUUUCCCCAAAUAAAUGCUUCAUGGGUCUAAUAUCAACUUGUAGAAAAAAAAAUAAACCAAGCCAAUUUUAGUUGUUUUAGAAUUAAAUUCAGUGUCGAAGUUGAUCUAAGAAAUAGAGUUAAGCCCUAUUUUGGUAUUAGAAUUUGAAUAGUGUAGUGCAUUCGUCUGGUCCAAUGGUGGUUUAGUCCCAUCGGCUUUUCAUAGGCUCAAUUGGGCACUCUCCCUUAAAAUAGGCUAGACUAGAAGUAGGUGUCGGAUAGACAAGUGCCGUUAACCAAAAAAAAUAAAAAUAAAAAUGGCUGAUUGUUGGAUGCAGGUACAAUUGCUUAGAGUUGCCAAAAUGAUUGACCUUUGUGUAGGAGGAGAUUUUACAAUACUAGAGGCAUUCAAUAUGCUUAAAAUGGGGCUUUUAUGCAGCCAAGCUAAUGCAAUUUUGAGGCCUGAUGAGGUUGUUUAGGUGCUCUGAGUUGUACCUAUGCAAUUGUUGAACCAAAUGAAUAGCCAGGGCAAGAUGUUGGUUUGCCUGCUGACAAUUCGACUGUGUUGUAAAGCUACUGGAGUGAAAUAGUUGACAAUAAAAUAGAGAAAUUUUUAGAAUUAGUUUAUAAGAAAAGGAAUGGGCAGAUUGUUUCAUAAAGAGGCUAAAGAGUGAAACGUACUUAGUGCAGAUGAAAAAACAUAGCUGUCAAUUAUUUUCUUACAUAAUUUUUAGAGAAAAAUGCAGUUUUAGUUCCGAUGUUUAGUUAGUAUGCCAAACUAGUCUAUAAUAUUUUGAUAAAAACAAAUGUAGUCUCGAAAAUUUCUAAUUUUGAGCAAAUUUAGGAUAAUUUAUCGAAAUUCAACCAUUCGUAGCGGUAAAUAUCAAAUUUCUAUUAGUCAAAUAUUUUGGCUUUUCAUUUUAGUUCCCAAAGUUUGAAAUUUCAGUCAUUAUAGCCCUUAAGUUUCAAAUGGUAUCUUCGGGGAUUUUAUGACGAAAUUGGACAUAAAAAGGGUUGAAAUUGUAUUAUACAUACUAAAUAUGUUGAUAUAAACUUGUCUUCUUCUUUUUAUUUCUUUUUUUUUAUUUAUACAUACUACUAAUUUAUAACAUAUUUCUUCUCUUUUACAUACUUGGUCAAAUUUGGCACAAUUCAUCUAAUCAUGUCUAAUUUUCAUUCAUGUUGAUAACUAAGCAAUCAAUUAAAUAUCCCUUUAAAAUGUUAAGUUGAUUGAACAGUAAAUUUUAUUUUUCUUUUUUUUGGCAUUUUAUUUGGUCAUCAAUUGAGUUUCAAAUGAAAUAGAUAUUUUAUAUGAUUGCAUAAAUUCAUAAUGAAAUUAUCUAUGUAUACAAACAUAGAUACAAACACUUUAAAAUUUUAAUAUGGAAAUAUUUGAUUUAAUAUGAAGGAAGUAUAAGAAUAAACAACAGGGUGGUUUGUCAAAAUUUCAUACAAGUUCUUCAUAUUAUUAAUUACCUUUACUUGUUAAUAUAAUAAUGAUUGAAAAUUAUAACAGUUUGAAACUUGCAUCCAACAAUCAAUUGACAAAUCUCUGAUCUCCAAUAGAGAAUCUACAUUUAUCCAACUCUUAACUCAAUCCUUAUAGUACUUAAAUUUUGAUAAAUCCAUCAUGAAAUUGCCUAAUAUUAUCAUAGUGAGCUUGGAUAUUGUGUUCUACGAUAGCAGCGUACUAAAUUAGUGAAUCAUAAUUUUGUAAAGUAUGAAGUUUCUGCACAUACUAGUUUGAAAGUUUCUCAAUAUCAAAUGUAACUAUUUUUAUUGCAAAUGGUUAUGGCAAUUCAUCUUAAAUGUUUCAUUGUUUGGUUGUUUGUAAUAAAAAAAAAAUCUAAAUAGUUAACACAAAUCACAAAAAAAAAAAAAAGGAAACACAAUAACAAAGGUUUUCCAUUGUUGCAGCCAUUUGUUCAUUUUGUUUUUCUCUGACUCAAAAUGAAAGUGGGAAAGUGUGGGGUUUUUAUGCGAGAGUGAUGAAUAUUGUAAAGGUUUAUAGUGUGAGAUCUUUUUCUUAAGAUUACAAAACAUAAUACGUAAGAUUACUCUUCAAAAAAUUUCUUUUGCUAUUUUCAUUUAAUUCUUAAAAGCUAUCCAAAGGAAUGUUUUGAUUUUUUUUUUUGAAUUAAAUUCCAAAAGCCAUCAAUAAAUGAAUUUUGAUCUGGUUCCAUUCAACAGGAAUUUUACAACAAAUAUUUCACGACAAAAAAAGUUCAAAUGGUAUAACUUUUGCUUCUAAUCCAUAGUCAUGCGUUGCCUCCUUCACAUUCAAAGAAGUGUCGUUAUCGCCUUUCUUUUUAUUUUAUUAUUUAUUUUUUACAUUGGGGACAAUGUAAGAUUUAGGUGUGGGGAAGGAGUUUGGACUGCUAGUUAGGCACUAAUUGUUCACUUUUUCUUUUCUUUUUGCUAGUAGUGUAUGGUGGUUAAGAUGAAUGUAUGCAAUCAAGAUGUGAGAAUGAAUAGCAAAUUUAUGCUAGUUGAGCAUUUUAUUUUUCUUGGCAAUGGAUUUUGACAAGGUGUCGGCCUGUGCAAUAAUAAAAACCUGCUCAAACUAGAAGUAAUUUCUGUAGAUAGUGGUAAGUAGGGUCGAAUCCACAGGGACUGGGUGUAAUUGCUUCUUUCCAAAUUCACAGUGACAAGAGGGGUAUUUUUAUAUCAGGGGUGAUAAUUUAAGCAAUUCAACUAAAAGUAAAAUAAUAAAAAUAAAACAGCCAACUAGAAAUUAAAUAAUAAUUUACCAAAAUCAAAUGAGUGAUAAUUAAGGAUCUAGCCAAGAAAUAACUUCAGCAAUGGUUCACCCAAUUGAUCAUCGAUGCACAAGCAAUUCUAAUUAUUUAUUAAUAAAUAGGUUAUAACUGCCAAACAAGCGAUGACAGUCAACCCCUUCUUACUGUGCCGGUGAUUAAGGUACGCCCGUUAACCACUACUCUAAUUGAGAAAUAACCUUAGGUACGCCCAUAAGAUUUAAUUCCCCAAUUGUCUUACAUAUUAGAGUAGCCCUAUUCUAACCAAAUAAUGCACUACCAGGGUUAUUUCAUAUUAGCCCGCGUAUCCCCCUGACACGAAUCUAAUCGUGCCAGUUGUCACUAUUUCAAGGUAAUUAAACAAUUACGGAUUUAAUACCUUAAUUGACAAUAGAUUAUCAAGUUAACUAAUUAUCCGGAUCCAAGACAAUCAAUUAAUUAAAUAAUCAUGAACACUGCAAUUAAGGGAUAUGCGAAUACCAAUAAAUAAAAGAAAAAGAUAAAAUUAAAUCAAUCUCACAAGUUUAGGCGAACCAAAGCCUCCGUUGCUCCUUGACUAGAGUGGAGAAAUUAGUUCAUGUUUAACGAGAACAAAACAUACGAAACUGAAGCAAAAGCUGCGGCCAUCUUCUGUGUUUGGGAGAAAAGCCACGGGAAAAUCAUUCAAUUGUCCCUAAUUGCUCCUGACAUCCCAGGAGACAAAAACUACUAAGAAGCCUCCAAGGAAAACAUUAAAAACUAAGCUUAGUAGUGCCCAAAAGAAAAGUCAAAGCUGAAACUACUAAGCAGUCCUGCCAUGCGUGAGAAAGAAAAACCAAAAGGAACACUAAGCUGAUGGAGAUAAUGAUCCCCCGCUACUCAAUCCAAUUCCUAUCUAAUUGUCUUCCUUUGUGCGGCGGCUCCCACGGAAAAGAAGACUUCGGCCAAAUGACCAAAAAGGGCUUGCGUCUCUUUGUUCUAAAAAUGCCCCUGCAAGCCUUCUAUUUGAAUUCUUUCCCGAUAACUGUCAAAUUAGCAUUGAUUGUGGUGUUUUCGAUCUACUCCCUGAAAUAACUGCAAAUUAUGAAAAGUGAGUAGAAUCCAAUAAUAAAUCCACAUCAGGUCAAGUAAUAGGGAAAAUUAAUAAUAAAAUAAAUGAUAAAAUCGCACCCUAUCAGAUUUGAAUGAUAAAUGUGUUGAAUUUGACAAAGUUUAACCACUUUGUGAGUUUGUUGGGUCUAUUAAUGAGCAUUUCAUUUGUGUUUGCUCUAAUUUCAUUUGUUGAGUGGUUGUGGCACAUGAUUUUGUCAUUCUAGAACUUGGUAUUAUGUGCAUAUCGUGUUGGAUCCUUAAUCCAACAUUGGACUUAUAUGUGAAUAAUUAUGUAUUGCAAACUGUCAAUUAAGGUUAAACCCAAUUAAAGUGAUCAAAUAUAGUUUGGGUUUAAUGUAUCUAAUAGGAUGUGGGCCCUUUAAUGUGUAGAAACUUAUGGGCUCCUAUUUUAAUGAUGGGCUGAAAUAGGGCUCCAAAAGGUAACAGGAAUGUUACUUAUAAAUAGGGUUAUGGUCCCCAGGUCACAGGUAUCAUUUUAGUUGUCGUACUUCCUAAUACCACAAAAUAUCUCUUCCCUGAUAUCUCAUCGUCGGGAAAGAUACUAGAGAGAAACUAAAGGCCUCUCUCAAAGGAUCGGUGAAUACCUGUUGACCUGGAAGACCACCCCAAAAUCUCUAGGGAUUCAAGUGUCAAAUUUAUCAAUAUGGAUUCAGGUACACUUCCGCUAUUUUUACAGUUAAUGUAUUUCUUAAUAAUCGCCAUACAAAUCUUGGGUUUAAAGGUGAUGGUUUUCACCAGUGGUUAAAUUUAGAUAACCACCCUAACAUAUCGAAAUCACAAUUUUGUUGAAUUUGAUGCAUGAAAGUGACAAGGGUACCUAGGAUUUAAUCCCUUUUGACUUUCUUAAAGGACUAGCCCCUCAUUUGUUUACCAUUAGUGAGACCAUUUGAGCCUUUAUCCCUUUUCUUUGUCUAAUAACCAAAAUUGUUGCCCCUAAGACCUUUUGUUUUGAUUUUUUUUCGAACAUUGUGUUAAAGGGAUGUCUAAAUUUGAUGGCAUGAAAGCUGGGUGUAUAGUUGCAAGGCAAUAGAGCAAGUGAGAUGGUCCACAAGUGUUUGAAUAUGCUGAGGAAUCAUGAAAAGUAAGAGAGAGAGAGAGAGAGAGAGAGAGAGUUGAAAAAAAAGAAAAAAAGAUGGAAAAGCACAAAAGAAAGAAAAUGGAGAGAUGCAAGCUUUUGUGCAUAAGUGUUGAAGUAAUAGAAGCAAAUUGCUGAAAAAUAUUUACAUUUAUCGAAAUUGAUGAAGGUGGAUGCUAAGCCUUGGAAGAUUGAAUUUGAGAAAUUUUCCUGUGAUGAAUUCUUGACAUUCCCUUGACAUGUUUAUGCCUCAAUUUACCUUUAUAUCCUGUCCUUUACCCCAGCCCCGUUAGAAUCUUAUAAAAGUCCUUUCGAUUCUUGUAUAGAAUUCACUUUUGAUGGUGAAAAUGUGAUAUAUGAACAAACUUAUGGUAAUAUCACUCCGUGGUGUGUAUUUGAAAGUUAUAUGAUACCCUAUACACUAUUGAGUGGCGAGUGUGCAUGUUCAAACCUUUGUAAGGUUUGUUGAGUUUGGUUCAUUCGAAUUUUGAAGAAAUUGUUGGAAGGGUAGGAUGUUUAUAUUAGUAUGAUAUGCUGUGAGUUACUUGCUAUCUUGAUUGUGUUUUUGCUGUGAGAUGCUUGAGAACAUGCAUAGUUUAGGUAUGGAGGAAGUUGAUAUGUUAUAUUUUUGUCAUAAAAUUCAUGAUUAUUUUUUCUUUAAUUUUGACCAAAUAUUGCAUUAAUUGGUAGAUUCUACUUAUAUUUGAUAAUCGUAUUGGUUGCAGGGAUCCGGAGCCAAAAAAGAUUAAAAACAUGGAUUUUACUAUAUUUUUGCGCAAUUCACCAAGGGCACGUCAAGGUCUAAUUCUGCAUGUCUGAAAACUCGGAAUUUGACACGUGAAUUCCAAUAUUAAAUUGAAGCUGUGGAAGUCCGUCUCUUCACCAAAUAAGUAGUCUCCUACUUCUAUUAGGACAUCGGUCUAGUUGGCCUAUCUCGACUUUUUGGAAAGAGUCCACUACCUAGUAGGAAUUUGAUUUCUUUGAUGAGAGAAACUUUUAGUGGAGAUAGGAAACAAAGUCCGGAAAAUUAGCAUCAUUAUAUGCUUGGAUUGUUUGUUUCCGUCGGAAAAUAUUGUCGUUUUCCGUGAUCACAUUUUUCUAUCACCUUUUUCCCUCACAUAUAUCAAAUCGCUACAGUAAUUUUUCCAUGAAAAAUGACGGAAAAUGCAAUCCAAACACAACCUAAAGAGUAACGGAGGGGAGACAUCUUUUUCUUUCAACCAAGAAACGAGGGGAGACAUCUUUUUCUUUUCUUUUCUUUUCUUUUUUAUCGUAUUUGUUGGGGAGAAUGGCAGCAAUAAAUUCAAUUAUUUUACGUGUGUCUUUUCCCUUAACAAUAAGCUAAAUUUUUUUUUUCCAAUCAAGGAGUAACGGAGGAUUUGGUUCAUUUAAAAAUGUGAUAUCGAAUUAAUUAUAUUCAUUUCUUUUUAUUUACUGAUAUUCGUAUGCUCUUUGAUUUAAUUUUUAUCGUUAUUUUGUUAUUUGAAUAUCAAAGGCCUAAUAUUUAAUUUAAUCUAAUAACCUAAAACCAUUUAGACCAGUUAAAUCCGUAAUUAUUUAAUUGUUUUAAAUUAGUGGUGGCUAGUUUGAUUAGGUUUGUAUCAGAGGAACAUAUAGGUUAACUUAAAAUAAUCCUCGUAGCUUGUUAUUUGAUUAGAAUGGAAUUUCUCUAAUUCUUAAAAUAAUUGGAAAAUUGAACUCUAGCAAUCGUAUCUAAGGCUAUUUCUUGAUUAAGAAAGUAAUUAACAGUCGUACCUUGAUCAGUGACACAAUUAGGAGAAAUUGUUUGUCAUCGCAUAUUUGACAGUCAUAACUUUUUUAUCAGUGAGUAAAUGAAAUUAUCAUUGCAUCAAUGAUCAAUUAAGCGAACCAUUUCCGAAGUUAUUUCUUGAUUGAAGUUUAUUUAUUAUUGAUUUAAUUUUAGCGAAGUGUUAUUUAGUUCUUUUUAUUGGAGUAAUUUAAUUAUUUUCAUUUUUAUAAAAUCCCCCAUACCUUAAAUUCUUAAAGAAACGAGUUAUCUCUAAUCCCUGUGGAUUUGACUCUACUCAUCCUAUACGCAAAAAUUUGUAUCUCAUUUGAAUAGGUUUUUCAUUAUUAUACAGGUUCGACACCUAUCAAAAUAGUCACAAUCCAUUCUUUCAGUAAUCAAGAAGAUGAUUUGUAACUGCAAAUAAUAAAGUAACAAUAAGAAUAAAACUAAAAAAAAAAAUACAAAGGCAAGAAGAUGCAAUUUGGAGGAAGUAACCACCGGGCGUCCAAUUCGUCCAGUAACGCCACUGAAAAAGGUUGAGAACUGCAAAGGAAGCAAUUACGGGGAAUCCAAUCUGUCCAACAGGUCUUUAUGGCGGCCUGUGAGAAGCACUGAUCCAAGAAAGUUACAUCGGAAAAUUGAACAAAGAACAAAAUAGUAAACACAUAACAAAGCCCUCUUUUGACUCUUCAAAAAUUUAACUCUAGACUACCAAGCACUUAAAAACAUUGACAAUUUCCCACUCAGCACGAAUCAUGCGGAAUAAAUUCUUUCCUUAUCUCUUCAAAUUAAUUUUACAAACUUUUCCACACCCGCUAAAGUAAUCAAGAAGUUGUCUGAUGAAAUGACGAAGUCCUGACCCCCUCUCAUUUCUUGGUUUCUUGUCUCAAUCACUUAAUUAACAAUAACAGAUUAACGAAAAGAAAAAAAAAGCGAAUUAAGAAAUACAUUUCAAGGAACUAGCCACCAAGGAUCUAAUGCCGAUGUAGACUUGGCCAAGAGGACUAAAUUAAUAUAGAGAGAUGAAAAGGAUCAAACCAUUGUGGUUGGCCCGAUGGAGUGAUUAAGAAAGGACCCUUACCGUUCUUUCUAUUAUUUAGAUUUAGCGAUCAAAGUCUGGGUUAGGCAGUUCAGCGUGAGAGGGCUGUGGGGAAGCUUGGGAGGUAAUAAAAAAAAUGAAAAAGAAUAAACUGAUAAAAUACAGUUUUAUACAUUAUCCUGGCAAUGUCUAAAACAUGUACUCACCCCUUUGAGUUUGGCGCAAUGCUUUUAUUUUGAGCUUCUUCUAUACGGUUUUUUUUUCCUUUGAUAUUUGUGGCUGAAACGUUGAAUCCUUCAAUUCGAAAACCCAAAUUAGAAAAUAGAUAUUAUCUUUAAUUUGUAAUUCCAAAUAUCUGAACACCAAAACACACCAUCUUAUGAGAUUUACUUGAUAAUCGAAAAAAUAAUAAUAUGGUAAAUUUAUCUACAGGGAUUACCAUACACUACUGCAAACUGUGCUUUCGUAUUGAAAGAUAUAGUACCAAAAACGAAAUAUUGCUAUUCGUUGACUAAUUAAUGAGAUGACCAAAUGAUCAACCACUUUCAUUUCUUUAUUCUUUAAGUACGUGAGAAGAAAGCAUUGCCUCUAUAUUAAUGCCUUAAUUAAUCAAGCGAUUUCCACUUGAAUAAUUGACUAAAAAAUUGGUCUGAAGAUGUCAUUAGCCAUUUUCACUUCAUUAUUUCAUUUCUUAAUUACUGUUUAUCGAUGGAAUCAAGAAGAUGCUUUCUGGUGUAAAUAAUAACAAAUUCAAAAAUAAAGAGACGCAAAUUAUGAUUUGGAGGAAGUUGUUGCGGGGCGUCCAAUCUGUCCACUCGCAUUGGUAGAUGGACACUUCAUUAUUCUUUGUUCUUGGCCUCUAUAGCGGUUUUCACAUUUGCCAGCGAUCCAGAAUAAGUCCCUACUUUUUUUUUUUUUUUGGGUUUUUGGCCUUUUAAAAAAAUGAGCAAUCAGACAGCCACUUUCAUUUCUUUAUUUUAAAUUGCACGAGAAGAUGCUUCAAGCAAAGGUGAAGCAACAUUGGCCGAUGAGCAUCUAAAGUCCAUGUGUAAUCACAUGGCAAGCCACAAGGGUUGUCCAUAUGUAAUUAUAUUGUACUUCUCUAAAUCAUUUGCAGUGAAUAACCUAACACGAGGGCGUGCAAACAAAAUGUCCAUUCUUCUAGUCUUGAGUCAUUCGCUAUUCUGCCUGCAUCAAAUCCAAUUUCAUGAUAAUGGCUCAUUAUUCUAAAAAAGAAAAAGAAGAAAUUCAUAAAAUUAAAAAAAAUGCUAGUACUAUUUUUCUUUCUUUUUUCUUGCAAAAACUGUUGUAAGAAGUUACCUAAAAUGGUGCAUGAACUCAAUUUGACGACUUGAUCGGUGCCUUUCACCUUAGUACCUAACUUUUAACUUUUCCAUAAAGUCAGCUAUCCUAAACAAGUCCUUGAUUGCAGUUACAUUUUCAUGCAUUAGUAUAUGUGAGUUAAACAGUUUCAAGUUUUGGUUUCUUUCGGGGUACAACUUAUUUGAAUGCUAUUAACUACAGCAAACUUGUAUUUAACAGUAGUAAAUUGGUAGCGCCCAUGUUGAUGUCACAGUUUGACUUUCAAGUUAGCAAUUUAUUGGAUGUUUCAGGCUUGUAAUAAUGUCGACGUCCAAUGAUGUUUAACCUACUAGUAUUAAACGUUUCAUAUUCAUUCAAAUAUUUGCUGCGUUUAAGUAAGCUAUUUUAUCGCAUAUGCAUGACUUCAAACCUUCUCAUUCACUGCUCUUUCUAUAUUUAGCCUUUGUUGUUUUGAUCUGGACUUGUUUUAGUCAAGGUGAUUUUAUUUUCUCAUAAUUUUUUUAUCACACAUAUUAUAUUACCGAAGGUACUACAAUAUUCAUCUAAAUAAAUUUUCAGUUUCUAAUUUACACUUCCGAAGUAAGGGGUUGGGGGGUUGAAGGAGAGGAGAGAAGGGGAUGAAAUUAAUUAAAGAUGACGCUAGAAAAAACUGAUGCAGACAACAUCCAAUUUCAUUGUUUUUUGUAGAUAAAACACAUUAAAGAAUUGAUGUGACCAAGAGAACCUUCUUGUUAUUUUAACCUGGCAAUAGGGAAGCUGAAGAUUUCCACUUCCAUAAUUACAUCCAAUUUGAGAAUUGAAAGCUAUCAUCAUUCAAUAUUGCAAGUGGAGAACCCUCUUAAACCGACCUUCUUCACGAUCUAUCUGCUGACCCACCCAGCCCUUGUUUUCCCUUUUGUCUUCUUUUAUAAGGAGAGGUGCUCGUAAUUUAUAGUGUGUCGUACUGACUUGCUUUGGUUUAUUGCACCCAAGCCAUGUUGUAUUAUAAUAGUUCAGACCUUUUCUUCACAGCUAAUUUUAUUCCUAGAGAACAAAAAAAAAAAAGAAGUGCUGCCUACCACUAGUCACUUCUCCUUGAGGACUUGGGAGGUGGAGUUGGGAACUUUUGGGGGGUUGACAUGGAAGUGGUGGAAACUUGAAGCUUGGAGUGCAAAAGAAAGAAAGAAAAAAUUAGAUUGGUGAGAGUAUAAAAGAGUUAGCGGGAAAUCAUUAUUCGUCAUUUUACCAAAUUGAAAUUUCUCGAUCUUUUCUUCUUCCCUUUCUCCUAGCAAAAACCCUUGCUUUCUUCGUUCUUUUCAUUCUCUCACAAACGAUCACACUUGGGAAAUCAAGCUCAAGCAAGUGCUUCUCAAGAGCUAGGAGACCUUCCUCUAUCUCUUAAUCAAGGUAACUAUUGCAUCUUUUAAGUUUUCUUUAUUUGAUUUGAUUUGGUUUUGGGUAUAGAUGUAAGCUAAGCUUUGGUUUCGAGUGGACCUUGUGGUAGAGAUCCUUGUAUAUGUAGUUUUUAAAUUUAGAGUUUAGAGACUAAAUUAAGAAUCAUGGUAUAGUUAAAAGAUUAAAGUAUCCUAAUUUAGAAUUUAAGAACCGAAGUGUCAUGUGCGGUUAUCACACUGCUUCCAGGCCCUUAAUCUGGUAUACCACCGCUCUUUGUUGAGGUUUGCUUAUUUUAUUGAGCAACAUAUAAAUCAAGUGGUAAUUGAAGUCACUGACUCACACAAUUGUAAUUUCAUUCGAAUGCAGAGAUCAGAGAUAGUCUUUUUUUUUUUUUUUUUUGGAAAAACAAGAUAAAACCAAGCAAGUUCCAGCGAAGUGCAUCCAAUUGCUGUGGAAAUACAUUAUUUGAUCUGUAUUAUGAAGAAAAUUUAAGCGUUCACUUGUCCAAGAAUUCACUUGUUAGAGGAAAUAUCCAAAAGAACCCAUUAAAAAGGCCCAAUACAUAAGUCAAAAAUCCCAUCUUGACACAAAAAUUUAAAUUGUUAAGCUCUAGCCCUUACAUAUUAAGUGACCUUUUUUUUUUCCAUUUCUGAAACUAAUGUGAGAUACAAUUCUCUAUUUAUAAACCUAACAUUUUUUACGGAAAAAAAGCACCUUUUAUAAUUAAUAAAGAGGAUUACCUAAUAAUUGAGAUUAAAAAAUGAUCAAUCAGAAAACUACUUUCAUUUCUUUAUUUCUUGAAGAUGCUUCAAGCAAAGAAGAAGCUCUGUUACCCGGUGAGUAUUGAAAGUCGAUGGUAAUCACAUGGCAAGUCACCAGGGCAGACGAGUGACGGAGGACACUUUUCUACCGGACAUAAAAAAGAAGUUCUAACUAAUGUCUUAUUCAAAACCUACAACCAAAUUUGCAGAAUAAGAAAUAAUUAAUAAGCCACUAAAUUACCCAUUACUAAAUACGAAAAUUGAUAAAAGAUUGAGUCCAAUAAAAUCACUAGACAAGUAGAUGGAAACUCUUAAGCUUGGUUUUAGUUUACCAACAAGAUUUACAUAAUUCAUUCUCAGUUAGUUUCUUAAUUACUGAAGUAACCAAGAAGUACUUGCUUCACGAGAUGAAGAAGUCGCUGUCCAUUUGUCAUUUCCUUGUUAACGUCUAGCCUUAGUUACCUUAGUAAUAAAGAAGAAUUUUCAUUAUGUAAAGUAAUGACAAGUGGUGAAAAAAAAGAGCAAAUUAUGAAGAUGCAUUUUCGAGGAAGCAGCCACCGGGCAUCUUAUUACGAAUACGCGACCAAGUUGAAAGGUCACGCUUUUAUUUAUUUAAUUUUUUUUGGAGUACGGUCACGCUUUUAUUUGUUUUAUGAUCAGAUAAUAUCUAAAACAUAAUAUAUAGUGGAGUACUAGUAAACGGAAUUUCUUAAAUUAACUAAAGGCCGUCAGCAUGAAAAAAAAAAAAGAAGAAUGGCCGUCAGCGUCACAAGCCAUUGACCAAAACUAGUAUCAUGCAGUUUUAAAACCAAUGUUUUAAAACUCGGACAGUUAAUUAAACUGGUGAAAUGUUCGGAUUAAGGUUCAAUCUGUCGGACCGGUUCAACCCUAGUUCAAUGAAUUUUUAAAAAAUUAAUUUAUAUAUAUAUAUGCACAAAAUAAGAUAUGCUAUGGACUAAUUUAAAACUUUAUAUGAUGUAAAGUUUAUUAUUUUUGAAUAACUUAAAUUUUCAAAAAUAAAUUUUAAAUUAUAAGUUGAAACAAAUAAAUUUCAUUUCAAUUUCAAUUAUAUCUACCAAAAAAUAAUUUUAAAUCCAACCGAAAAAUACCACAAUAUUUUAAAAUUAUACAAAAUUCGCGUCUAUGAGAAUUUAGACAUUGUGAACUUAAAUUUUAAUUUACGUUUUUGAAAUUUAGAGAUUGCAAUUUUAAAAAGGAAGUUUGGAGUUUGAAAGAAGUUAAGAGAAUUGAAAAUAAAAAUGCAAACUUGAUAAGAAAAAAAAAAGAGAUAAAAGUGAGUGGUUGUGGCAUUAAAUAAUUAGUCUUUAGGGUUAAAGAAAAAUAAUUCUUUUUUUAACUUUUUUCAAUUUAUGGACAAAAAACAAAAUUAAAAGAUGAAAAAAAACAUCAAUAAAUUAAAACUAAAGAGGUUUGAUUAAAAAAGAAGUGACAAAAGAAAAGAGGAGAGAGAGAGAUAGAGAGAGAGAGAGAGUUGCAGAUUAAAAAGAAAGAGUCAUAAGAGAAUGAAAUUUUAUAAGAAAAAUGGAGAAAAGAAAGAUGGAUGUUUGUUUUAUAUAAAUAAGUUAUCAAAAAAGACUAAUAAGAUGUGAUUGUAUGAUGGUUUCUACAUUGGUUUUCUAUUAUAAAAGUCUUGAGUUUGAACCUUGGUAGCUGCAUUUUGCAAACCUUUAAAAAAAAAAAAAGAGGGGAAAUUUGAAAACCGAAAACCGCUGACCAAUUUUCUUUAGAUUUUUUAAAAUUUGUUUAAUUAUGUACUAACUAAUAUGAGAAUUGUUUAUGAGAAUGAUUUAUACAUUAAGCGAGUGCUUUUCUUUUUUAUUUAAUUACAUAAACCAAAUUAUAGAUAUUGUUUCUAAGAAUGAUUUUUAAGUUAUGCUGAAAUGUUUAUUUUUAAAUUGAUAUGCUGAAAUUUUAAUGCUAUAGGGUCAAUAACUGAACCUACGCUAAUAGCUCGGUAGUGUCAAGAUCUAAAGCGGUAACCUUCUUUGGACCCAAAUCAUCAUGGUAUUGGACCACUAUCUUCCUGCCACUGGGGGAAAGGGCAAAAAAAAGCACAAAUCGCAAAACACAAUUUUCAUAGGACGUAAGAAGUAAUAAUUUUGACUCAAAAUUCUUUUCAUACACUACUGUUUGAUUGAAACUGUCAUUAACACACCAUGUACUAAAUAGUCUAGAAGACGUGAUUAAAAUGAUUCGGUAAUUCUAACUUUCCUCCCAAGUUCAUAGACAGAGCACGCCUGUCGUUUGAAGAUUCAAAGUUGCGUACAUAGUUCAUAAUUUCUGCCGGCGCAAACACAGAUUAUUACGUAUACACAAAGGAAUUACCAACAAAUAGUGAAAAUUGGGACCAAACUUUUGUAAUUUGAAAACUUCGGGGGCCAAAAUGCAGCAUCGUUUAUAAGGGACUCAAUAAGUAUAAAUUCCAAAUGUUAUGGACCCAUUGUGAUAUAGAUAUCACACAUUUGCAUGUGGUAUCAAUCAUAUACAACUAAAGUUUGAAGGGUAAAGUUUUGUCUAUACAGUCACCAUUCAUCAGUACCUUAACACUCCCAUCAUGAGGCGGUUCAUUUCAAGAAUAGCAUUUCCCACAAGAAGGGAGUUAUUAUUGGGAUCAAAAUGCCAUCUCUUCUCGUUGCCCCGCCAACCGAGAAGAAACCAUAUUGCUGAUGGUUCUGCAGGAACUACCAAACCAGCGCUGUUUGGCUGCAAAUGUGCAUCGAAAGGGUAUAAUGAACAUUUCAUGAACAGGCAGAGUAAUGGCCAUGUCUAUACUUUUCCAAGUUCUGGCAUUGCUGGCUCAAGAAGGUAUGUAUGUAAACUUCUUUCUUUCUUUCUUCAUUACUCUUUAGAAUACGUAGUAUUGACUUCUUCUUUUUUUUUUGGUUGUCCAUGACUAUUGGAGGGAAGUUUUUUCAAUUUCUUUUUAUUAUAGACAAGGGGAAAGACAAAUAGGGAAAACGAAAAAGAAAACAAAAAUAACUAGAAAGGACAGAAGAAACUCCUUUGCUAAAACUAAAUGAGUGUCAAUUUUAGGCUGUGAUUAUAGGAAUAUUUUUUGAAAAGGGUCCAUGAGGAGAAGUUCUUGAAUUAAAGGGCUUCAUCUUCGAGAUACAUGUAAUUGUAGAUAGGAAAAUAUACAUUUUCUUUUUUGGUAUGCUCAAAAGUAAAUUUUGCCCUAGAAUUAGUAGAGAGGACCUUUCAUCAUUUCACGGUAAUGACAUAGCAAAAAUUUCAUGUUUUGAGUUUUGUUCUUGUUUAUGAUAUUAUGGAAUAGUUCUAAAAGUCCCAAAAAUUCAUCACAAUAACGUGAAGUUAUUGAAACUCUAGCUAAUUAUGUUUUUCUAGUCCAAAAGCAAUAAUUAUUCGUGAAUUUGAUAAUACUCUUAUUCAUAUUGCUUUCUUUUUAUUGUCAUUGGCAGGAAAAUUAAGACUUUCUCAAUUUAUAGGGGAGUAAUUCAUUUACUACAACGUACUAGUAUAAUACUAUAAUUUGAAAUUUAUUACUCAAAAGCAGAAUUGCUAAUUAAACAGCCCCAGACGAGCUGAUCUUAACUAUGAAAAACAAACAAUAAAGUUUAUUUUUCCAUUAAAUUUAAAAUUUUAAUUUUAUGAUAAUUUUAUCCUCUUUUGUAAUGGCUAAAAAUUCUUCUAAACAUGUCCCUGCAGCAUUCAUUUGAGUGUCGAUCAGAAAACUGCAUAUAUGGGCAUAGAAAUUAUCUCCAAGGAAGAAAUCAAGCCAGCAUCUCCAACUCCCCCUGAGUUGAGAACUUUUAGGUUUUCAAUCUUGGAUCAGCUUACUCGGGACUCUUAUACAAAUAUAUUGUUCUUUUUCUUCCCAAGAAAACAACAAGGCACUUAUCUCAACGAUGUUAUUUCCCAAAGAAGUCGAUGUCUAAAGGAAUCACUAUCAAAAACCUUAGUACCCUUCUAUCCACUAGCAGGAAAAAUAAAAAAUAAUUUGCAUAUUGAGUGUAAUGAUGAUGGAGUUUACUACGUCGAAACUCAAACCAAUAUUGGACUGUUAGAUUUUCUGAGGAAGCCUGAAAAUGAGUUCAUGAAUCAGCUAUGUCCAUUUCAUCCAGAUUCCACGGAAUUAUUGUCAAAAAGUUAUCCUAUCAUGGUUCAAGUAAACAUUUUUUACUGUGGUGGUAUUGCCAUUUGCUUGAGUGCUUCCCACAAGAUUUUUGAUGGUCUCUCAGUUUCUACAUUUAUGCAAUCUUGGGCAGCUACAGCACGCGAAUCAACGGUACAAAUAAAUCCCAGUUUUAUUUCAUCUUCCUUAUUUCCUCCUAUUUUGGAUAUGUACCAAGAUUCACCUCCUGUGGUCUCCAAACCACAAAAGAACGAGCCUAAAUAUGCUACAAGCAGAUUUGUGUUCGAUAGCUCAGCCUUGGCUGCGCUUAAAUCCAAGGCAGCUACAUCAACAUCUUCCGCGAAACCAAGUUCAGCCAAGGCUGUUAUGGGACUUCUAUGGAAAUCUGCCAUAGCAGCUUGGAAAGUGAGGUCUGUUUUGUUUAUCCCGGUGAAUCUGAGGACAAAAGUUUCGCCCCCUUUAUCACCUCAUUCACUGGGAAAUAUCGUCUGGUUGGCUCGUGCUAAAUGUUGUGACAAUUCUAAGCUAGAGCUGGAAUUGCUGAUAAACAAGAUCUCAAAUUCCAUUGGUACAAUGAACGCUGAUUUUGUUGAAUCUAUAAAUGGUGAGAAUGGGAUUCAGAAGCUGAUGGGAGCCUUAAAAGAUUUCCAUGAAGUGUUCUAUGACCCUAAUAGUAUGGCUGAAUGUAUCUAUAUCAGCAGCAUCCGCAAGACUGGUUUUUAUGAGGCUGAUUUUGGAUGGGGAAAGCCCAUAUGGACAUGCAUUGCGCGUGGAAACAGGGAUUUACACGGAUUGGGAAAUAUUGCUCAUCUGAUCGAAACAAAAUCUGGUGAUGGGAUUGAAGCAUUGGUGACCAUGAAAGAAGAGUACAUGGCUACACUGGAGAAAAAUCAGGAGCUUCUCCAUUAUGCUUCUUUAAAUCCUAGCCCUCUUGAUUCAAGCUAGCUUUUCAGCAUGUUUUGUCUGGCUAUGUUUCAAAUCCUACAAAGCAAUUGUGAAGGUUGGAUUGUUAUCAAAAGAAAGUUGUAGGAACAGAAAACCAUGAAUUUGUGUAUUAUUCCCCAUUAGUUUGUUGACUUACUUUUGAAAAGAAAAAAAUAACACCUGAUAUGAUUGGGAGUUUGGCAGACCCUGUUUGUGUAUAAACAAAGAAAAACUUUGGGGAACUUAAGGCCUUAGUUCUGAAUUAUGUGCCAUUAGUGCAGUGGCAGAUGGUUUUCUGAAAGAGAGUGGCUCAAGUCAUGUGGUUCCUGACCCCAAAAACAAUAACAAAUCUACCGUUGUACCUUUAUUUCUUGCUAUGGAGCACCUCCAUGACCCCAUGAUCAUGAUUUUUCUGGGGCUGAAAGUGGGGUAAAUUUAACGCCAUACGAGUCUGCGGUAGUUCCUAGAGAUAAUAUCAAAAACUUCUCUUGAAGUUUAUCACUUAGCACUCUUAGAUCGUGUUUGUAUUGUAACUUUUUGAAAUUUUUGUAAAAAAUAUACUGUAACAAUUUAAUAUAUAUAAGAUAAAAAGAUGUUUGAAAAAUGUGUUCAUGUAAAACGUAAAAAUUUUUGAUGAAAAAUUCCUUUUCAAACAAGGCCUUAAAAUUGCUAUUCAUUGACUAAUUAAUGACAUGACAAAAUGAUCAACCACUUUCAUUUCUUUAUUCUUUAAGUGCGUGAGAAGAAAGCAUUGCCUCUAUAUUAAUGCCUUAAUUAAUCAAGCGAUUUCCACACGAAUAAUUGACUAAAAAAUUGGUCUGAAGAUGUCAUUAGCCAUUUUCACUUCAUUAUUUCAUUUCUUAAUUACUGUUUAUCGAUGGAAUCAAGAAGAUGCUUUCUGGUGCAAAUAAUAACAAAUUCAAAAAAAAAGAGACGCAAAUUAUGCAAUUUGGAGGAAGUUGUUGCGGGGCGUCCAAUCUGUCCACUCGCAUUGGUAGAUGGACACUUUAUUAUUCUUUGUUCUUGGCCUCUAUAGCGGUUUCCAAUAAGUCCCUACUUUUUCUCUUUUUUGGUUUUUGGCCUUGAAAAAAAUGAGCAAUCAGACAACCACUUUCAUUUCUUUAUUUUUAAAUUGCACGAGAAGAUGCCUCAAGCAAAGGUGAAGGAGAGUGAAGGAGAGCACUUUUCUACUGUUAAUAAUUUUAUUCCUAGAGAGCAUAAAAAACAAGUACUGCCUACCACUAGUCACUGCUACUUGAGGACUUGGGGGGCUUACAUGGAAGUGAUGGAAACUUGAAGCUUGGAGUGCAAAAGAAAGAAAGAAAUUUUCUUAUUAGUUUGGUGGGAGUAUAAAAGAGUUAGCGGGAAAUCAUUAUUCGUGAUUUUACCGAAUUGAAAUUUUCUCGAUCUUUUCUUCUUCCAUUUCUCCUAGCAAAAACCCUUGCUUUGUUCGUUCUUUUCAUUCUCUCACAAACGAUCACACUUGGGAAAUCAAGCUCAAGUAAGUGCUUCGCAAGAGCUAGGAGAUCUUCCUUUAUCUCUUAAUCAAGGUAACUCUUGCAUCUUUUGAGUUUUCUUUAUUUGAUUUGAUUUGGUUUUGGGUUUAGAUGUAAGCUAAGCUGCUAAGCUUUGGUUUCGAGUGGACCUUUUGGUAGAGGUCCUUAUAUAUGUGGUAGUUUGGGUGAUUGUGGUGAUUUCUUGAUUGAGGGAUAAGCGUUAAAGUUUUGGAUGUUUGGUGAUGUUUUGGGUUGGUUUGUACUUUGGUUAUAUGUUGUGUUGGGUUGGAAAUAGGUAGAGCGGUGAAAAAGGAAGUAAAACUAAUUAGUAUCACAUUUGCCAUCGAUCUAAAACAAGCCAUUAAUUGAUGAAAAUUAGUAUCAUGGAUUCAUCUUAAUGUAGUACUAUUAAAUGGAAUUUUUUGAGUUACUAAAAUUGCAGCAAAGUGAAGGGAAUUCAAGCAAAAAGCAUCCAAUAGCUGUGGUACAAAUAAAUGAUUAAGUGAAUAAUUAACUGAUAGUCGAUGAGAAGCUGUCCUCACUUCUUUAUUUUUCGUCUUAAUUACUAUAAUAAUAAUAAUAAUUAAGAAGUGGCUUGAUGGGAUGAAAAUGUCACAGCCCAUUUCUUUGUUUCUUGUCUCAGUUCCUUCAGUAAUCAAGAAGAUGAUUUGUAAAUGCAAAUAAUUAAGUAACAAUUAUAAAAAAAAAAGAAAAAAAAAAAGAAGCAAGAAGAUGCAAUUUGGAGGAAGUAGCCACUGCGCUUUGAUCAUGACAGAUGCUUAUCAAGAUGACUCAUUUAAACUAGAAAAUUUUGAAAAAAAAAAAGUAAAGUGAUACAUCAUCUCUUUUUCUUUUUUUUUUUUUUUUUUUUUUGGGUGUUGCUUUCUUGACCAAGAAAUAUCUAAAUCAUAUCUUACCUACUUAAUAAAAAAAAUAAAAAGAUAAUAAAAAAAUGUGUCCUACCUGCAAUUAUACUUUAUCACCCUUUUUUUUUAAUGCCAAUUAGUGAUAAGAUAUCAUUAACAAUUAUUCAGCCACUUUCAUUUCUUUAUUUCUUAUCCACUCGAGAAGAUGCUUCAAGCAUAAAAGAAGAAAUUCCUCUAAAUUAUUGCCUUAAUCAAGAGGGUGCAUCUGCGAGGAAAAAGUCUUACAUCAUCCAAUUCCAAAGAUGAGUUUGCUUUUUUCAACAUCAUUGAAUCUACGAAUGAAAAAGGAACCAAACCAUAAUACUUCUUAAUCACCUCAAAACGCAAUCUUUCUACUAUUAAAGUUUUUAGCCCUACCCACUACUAGAUAGAAUAUUUAAACACUAAUUAGUCUCACAACAAAAGAUUGCUCUCACGUCCUGUCUAGCUUGAUCAGAUUGAAGGAUGAGAUUCAUUAUAUGUUGUCUUAAACGUCACAUUGUUGGAAAACAGACUGGCUUAGGUGAUGUUUGAAUUGUAGUUUUCUAUUAAAAAUUUCUCAUAUUUUUAAUGAAUAUAUGUCUUAAUCACCUUUUAUUUUACAUAUAUUAAAUCAUUACGGUAUAUUUUUCUACAGAAACUAUAAAAAAUAAAAUACAAACGGGACCUUUUAUUCUCAACCAUAAACCCCGCGGGAAAAAAAAGGAAAAAGAAGGUGUUUAAGCAUGAUUUUUGCCGAAUUUGUAAAGGAUGAUUCUGAUAACAUAUAGAAGCUGGAUCAACCAAUGAUUAAUAGUCACGGAGAAAAGGAAAAAUCAAUCACUAAUAUAUAAUCAACCAAGGAUUUUAAGUUUUGAUAGGGUGGCACGUCAAUGAUUCAAAUCUUGGCUUCCUAUUAUAUGUGAUUUUUUCUAAAUGUAUACGGAUGCGUAACGCACCUAUCUAAUCCGAUUUGCUGGUUAUUCAGUCCCCAUCAACAUUUUAGGUCCUUUUGGACUUCUCAUUCCUUCCUAAAGUAGGUUAGAGUAGGAGUCGAUUGUGUUAGGUAUUGAAAAAAAUCAAUAAUAUAUAAGUCACGGAGUUGAAUAUCAACUUUUCAGUACAGGUACCAAUAAUAUGUUGCCUUCAUCAUUUUCAGCUAAAGUCUGUUUCGUUUUGGGACCUUGAUGAAUCCGACAAGUAUUAUGAAGAAUUUUUAAAAAUCCGACAAGCAUUAGAUAGAAUUUUCUAAACAACCGUUCUAUCUAAACAAUUAAUGACCAACACCGUUGAUCUUCCUCCUAUGGAGGAAGAAGAGUAGAGAGAAAGUUAAGGGUAGAGAGAUAGGGGAUAGAGAAGGUUGAGGGAAAAGAGAAAACAGCCCCUACGGCGACAAGAUUUUCGUCUAAGCUUUCAUACACCUAUUCUUUAUCAAAUCAUGCAACAUAUAUUUAUUUGCGAACCAAAUCUUGUAACAAAUAUUACAACCGGUUGACACAUUAAAACCGUACUUAGCCAUAUUUCUAGAUUACUCUGGCCAAUAUAAUCAUAGAUACGGAUUGGUUACAUGAGGAUAGGGUCAAUUUUAAUACAGAAAGUGGAAGACUGGUGGAUGAGUUUUGGAGUGUCAACUAUCAUUUACCUUGUAGUUCUGAAUAAUGGCAUAUAGAUUGUUUAUACAGUUAAGCACAUUCAACUAAAGCGUCUCAAUUUAGAACUUAGAGACAGAAUUUAAAGUUUAAAGACUAAAUUAAGAAUCAUGCUACAAUUAAUGGAUUAAAGUAUGCUAAUUUAGAAUUUAAGAGCUAAGUUUCAUGUGCGGUUAUCACACUGCUUACAGUCCCUUAAUCUGCUAUACCACCACUCUUUGUUGAGGUUUGCUUAUUUUGUUAAGCAACGUAUAAAUCUAGUGGUAAUUGAAGUCACUGGCUUAUACAAUUGUUAAGUUCUGACUUUUACAUAUUAAGUGUUUUUUUUUUCCAUUUCUAGAACUAAACGAGCAUGUUUCGAGCUCGAGCUCGACUCGUUAACCAAAAUUAACGAGCCGAGCUCGAGCCUUAACGAGCCGAGCUCUAACGAGCUUUCGAGCUACUUGAUUAACUUAACAGCUCUAAGUACAAUCACACUUUUAUUUGUUUUAUGAUCAGGUUACUAUACACUGGAGUACUAGUAAAGGCCGUCAGUGUCACAAGCCAUUGACCAAAACUAGUAUCAUGUAUUUUUAAAACUAAAGGUACCUUGGCUGUGUCUUGCACAGCCCGAGUCCGCUAAUAGCUUAAUUGAACAUAUAGCAACAUAUUUUUUUGGUAUAUAAUAAAUAGAAAUAUAGGAAAAAAAUUAAGUAUCAAAACAAUUAAAUUUUGCUAUAAAGAAAAAUUCCAUCUAUGAAAUUGGCCACCUCCCCCUCCACGGAUUUUAUAAGAAAUAAAUUAGCUCCUAAUUAUUGUGAUUUGGACAAAGAAUUUUGAGCCUAUAUUACGUGACAUGAUGAUAUAAAAAAAUGGAGAGAGAGUAAAUAAACUAUGAAUGUACUACUAAUUCAAUAGCAACAUAGCUUUAAUUGUAAUUAAAUCAAAAGUAGUCAAUUGAAUCUCCAAUUUCUCUUAAGCGAAAGUGAAGAAUCAUAUUAUAAUUAAGGGAAGUAGGUAAAAAAGAAUCUAUCAAAUCCAUCACUAAUCUUGAGGUUAAUGAAGGAAGGCAAUAAAGCAAGUGCACAGUUAAGUACAAUUGGGAAGAAAGAAAGCUGAUUUUCUAUGCAACUUUGAGAAAUGAUUUAUAGCACAAGAAGAAAAGAGACAUUAAUCAGUCAUAUAAAGGAGCUGUUUAAAUAUAAGUGUUGGGUGAGCUAUUAAUGAAACAUAAUUAAUCAAUAUCCAAGGACUAAAAGUUUUUCAUUAAUUUGUAAAAUUUGAUACUAUAGUUAUAAACUAGACAAUAGUACAUAAAAGCAGUAGAAGUCCAUAUGAUUAAACAAAAUGACCUCUAGUGAAAAUCUUCGGUCUUGACCCAUAUAGUAGAUCUUCAGCCUUUACCCAUCAAGGUAGAAGUGAGAAAAUAAAAAAGCGGAAAAAAUCACAACGUUUCUCAAAGGAGAGUUGUGCCACGUGUUAAAAAAUUGGUGUGAUACAGUAAACUCCCAUAUCUUCUUAUAUAAUAGGUACAAAACUCGUUCGCCUCAGAAAGGACAACAUAAGGGCCAAACUUGUUUAGCUUGGCAUGAACAAAGGGACAAAAAAAAAAAAAGAUAUUCAAGGGGUAAGAAAUAUUAGAAUCAUGUCACUUGUGAAACUAUUAGAAAGUCAUGUGACAAGAAAGGAGGCAAAGAACUAUAUCCUCCUUUCUUCUUAUAUACGGAAAUUGGGUUUCACAGGUUCCAUUUCGCACAAGUUGGAGUAAAUUAACAAAUUAGUCUCAAUUUAUACCAAAUUCUCCUUAUCUUACACUAAAUGAUAAUAAUCGAUUUAUAACAAAGUGUACCUGAUUUACACCAAAUAAUAACAAAUUACCAUACACUGAACUACACCUGAUUUAUAUUAAACUGAACCUAAUUCAUACUGAAAUCCUACUAAUUUAUACUAAAGUCAACUUUGUGCGAAAUUUUACAAAAUACAAAUUGUGAGGACCUAGACCCUAUGCUUAUAUACAAGGUAGACUAGAGCGGCAACGGGAUGGGCUCUCUCCCAUCGCAUGCUAUAGAAGUCUUGGAUUUGGAUCCUCUCCAGUGAAUUGUCUCUCCAUUUCCCACAAUGUACAUUUGGAUAGAUGACAUGUGCCUCCAUUUACUAGAAAAGAAUAAGAUCAUUUUAAGUUUAACUAAUUCUAAUCCUUGAUAAUAAAUUAAGACACAUGUCAUGCAUUAAAAUGUAUAUUGUGAGAAAUGAAGAGAGAAUUCACUGGAGAGAAAUCAAGUCCUAGAAGUCCUACCACCUCUUUUAGAUUUAUUUUAAAUGACUAAAGGGCUCUGUCUAUGGGUGCAAAUGAGUUGAGCCGAGUAGAGUUUUAGUCUAAUCAAGCCAUACUUCAACCUAGAUUUAUGAAACUCGAGCUCGACGAGCUCAAAAUGUAAAGCUCGAGUAAAAAAAUAAAAAAAUUACUAUUUUUCUAAAAUUGAAUAAAAUAAUAAUUUUUCUUAAUAAAUAAUAAAAUAUUAAGGAUAUAUAUGUAAUUUUACUAUUAAAAUAAAAAUAAAAAAUAUAUAUAUAUAUAUAUAUAUAAUCAAGUUCGAGCUAGCUUGCGAGUUAACGAACUUAAUAUUUUCGAUAUCGAAACGAACUUAGUAUUUUUAAUAUCGAAUUCGAGCUCGAGUUCGAUUUGAUUAGGUCGAACUCGAGUCGAGUUCGGACUCGCGCCACUCGCGAUCGGCUCGAGUCAUUUGCACCCAUAGCUCCACCAUUGACCCAUUUUCGAGGAAUAAAUUAACAAGAGAGAUAAAAUAGAAUAAAUUGAUUAAUGAGGGCGGCACUUCAGAUCUAGGUCUCCAGUUGUGACUUGUGAGCCUUUAAUGAGUUAACUCUUUUGAGUUUUGCAUACUUUUACGAUAAAAUUAUUUUGAAGGUUGCGGACUAAAAAUUCAAGGUUGCGGAAAAUUUAAAAGAUUUAAUUAUCAACAGUUCUACAACUUGGACAAAGAAUCUCAAGAUUUCAUUAUUUAACGAAAACAAGUAAUUUGAGAUCACAAGCCUCACUAUCAAGACACUAAGGUGACCAUCCGCUAGACACUAAGCAAAUUAAGUGGUUUAAAAAGAGGGGUCUGUUUUUGUUUAUUGAUUUGCUAUAUAAACUUUUUGGUCCCAUUAAUUUUCGCUACCUUAAUUCCCUAAUUGAGGAACUGUCUUAUAAAAGUUUCACCACCUACUCAGAUUACUACAAUUUAUGAGUUCCAAUUUUCUUUUCAUCCGACCACAGUGGUUUAAUUUCUUCCACAACUAAGGCCCCCAUCAGUGACUAAAUCAGAUUGCGCUAAAAUUAUUUUGAGGUGACCCCACGCAAUUUGAUUAAUCACAAUUAUACUAAUCUGAAUCUCUCUUAUACAUCAGCCCACUGGAAUCGUUUAAUCAUCUCUCUCUUGUUCUGACUGGCUUCUAUUCUGAUUUCUGCCAUUUGUUGCUGAAACAUUCCUUCCAUCUCUUCUAUCAGAAAACCUUUCGAUCCUAGUUCCAAUUCCAAGCAAGAAACAAUGGCUGACGCUGCUAUCAGUGCUACUGUUAAGGUCGUCUUGGAGACGGUCAUUUCCAUUGCCACGGACCGUGUUGGUAUGGUUCUCGGGGUCAAAGCAGAGUUGGAGAGACUAAGCAACACUGCUGCAACGAUCCGAGGUCUCUUGGCUGAUGCUGACGGGAAAAUGCAUAGCCCAGGGGUGCGAGAUUGGCUCAAGAAGCUAGAGGAUGAGGUUUUUAAAGCUGAUACCGUGCUGGACGAGCUCAACUACGACAAUCUUCGUCGGGAGGUGAAGUACCGAAAUCAACUCACCAAGAAGAAGGUAUGCUUCUUCUUCUCCUUCUUUAAUGCAAUUGGCUUUAGUUCCAGCUUGGCUUCAAAGAUCCGGGACAUCAACACCAACCUAGAAAGGAUCAACCAGCAAGCCAAUGACUUGGGAUUGGUAAUCAAGUACCAAAUUGAAGCUGCACUCCCUGCUGAUGCCGCUGGUGCCACGACAAGCAGACAGACCGACUCUAUCAUUGUUCCAAACGUUGUAGGAAGAUCCGGCGACGAGUCAAAGAUAGUGGAGAUGCUAUUGACCCCAUCUGAAAGAGUUGUCUCAGUUAUUCCCAUAACAGGCAUGGGUGGCCUGGGUAAAACAACUCUUGCUAAAUCAGUCUACAACAAAAUAGAAAUUGAUGAGAAUUUUGGCAUAAAGAGUUGGGUUUGUGUGGCUAGAAAAAUUGAUAUAGUGGAGCUGUUUAAAUUGAUUUUAAAAUCGUUGACAAGAACAAAGGUUGAAGUGGAUGACAGAGAGGUUAUCGUUAAAAAAAUUGGAGAAAAGCUCAAGGGACAAAGAUAUUUCCUUGUUCUUGAUGAUGUGUGGGAUCAUGAUCAAGGAUUGUGGGAUGACUAUUUCAACACUUUGAUGGGACUCAACGAAACCAAAGGAAGCUGGUGUCUUCUCACUACUCGUCGAGAAUCAGUGGCUAAUGCUGUGCCUAGACAUUUGCAAAUGAAUGAUGGUCCUUAUUCCUUAGGAAAGCUAUCAGGUGAUGAGUGUUGGUCCAUCAUAAAAAGAAAGGUGCUCGCAGGGGAAGAAGUACCAAAAGAAUUGGAAGUAUUGAAGAAGCAAAUUUUAAGGAGAUGCGAUGGCCUCCCACUAGCAGCAAAGUUAAUUGGAGGUUUGUUGCUUAACAGUGGAAAAGAGGAGUGGCAAUCUAUUGUGGAAGAGGGUCUCAUUGUGGAAGAGAGUCUUUUGAAUGAAUAUCAAAGCCAAAUUAAUCAAAUACUUAAGGUGAGCUUUGAUCAUUUAUCACCUGCAUCAGUUAAGAAAUGUUUUGCAUAUUGCUCGAUUUUUCCCCAGGACAAUGAAUUAGAAGAAGAUGAACUAAUUGAGCAUUGGGUUGCCGAAGGUUUUGUUCUACCGGAUCAGAAAAAUAAUAGAGUGAUGGAGGAAACAGGAGGCGAGUAUUUGAGGAUUUUGUUGCAAAAUUCCUUGCUGGAAAAAGUCGCAGAGUCGCAGAGAACAUACUAUAAAAUGCACGAUCUCGUCCAUGAUUUUGCAAAACCAAUUCUUAAUCCAGAAAGCAGCAAUCAGGAUCGCUACCUUGUAUUGGACUCUUCUAAAGGUUUGGAAGAAAAUACCAUGAGGACAAUACCAGCAUCAAUUCGCACAUUAUUUCUCCAUCUAAAGGGUGGCGUAUCUACUGACAUGCUUUUAAGAUUCAAGCACUUGCAUGUUCUCAGAUUGUCUGGCGAUGAUGUCGAGUCUCUACCGAGCUCCAUUGGCAAACUACUACAUUUGCGGUUGCUCGACAUUUCAUCUUCUAGAAUCAGAAGUUUGCCGGAAUCUCUUUGCAAGCUAUAUAAUCUGCAGACACUAACAAUGAGAGAUUAUGCACUUGAAGGAGGUUUUCCAAAACGGAUGAGCGAUUUGAUUAGCUUGCGGCAUCUAAAC
rnacentral:lncRNA from 1 species